UUUUUUUUUUUUUUCUUUUUUUCUGAGGGGUUCUCUCUAAGUGAUGUUUGGCAAUUUCCAGGGUUAAGCUCACGCAAUUAACUACGCGAGUAUUAGUCUUGAAGCUAAAAAGUUGAAUAGGCUAUGAGUGGUACUAAGUCAGGAGAAUGCAUAACUCUUGGCCUCCUAAUAAUCUCAAAUUAGUUUUAGAAAAAGCAUAAACAUUCCUAGAUUGUUUUAUGCUUGACUUAGUAUAUUAUUGUGAUUAUGUAUAUGUUCGCAUAACAUAAUUGCGAAUUUAGUUCUAAAAAGUAACUCAAGGCAUGCGUUUUCGCAACUUCAAACAAACUUCUCUAAAAACAAAAAAUAAACAAAAUAUUAUUGAUUGUGGACACGUUCGCAAGACAUGAUUUUUGACGCGCCAAAGGAAAAGGAAUAUACGUACGCGCAACUCAAUUCUUUAAUUACGAACAAAUCAAGUGAUUAAAAGCGGUAAAAAAAAUAAAUGCACAUAGGUCUUAAAAAUGAGUAGUUAAACAAUUUAAUCCAAGUAAUAAAUAUUAAGCGGAUGUGCUAGAAUCACGAAAUCCGAGAAUGUCUAACAUCUUCUCCCGGAUUAAUAGAAUUCCUUAUCUAGAAUUUCUGAUUCGCAUACUUUAAAUAAAGUUGAAAAUUUUCUCAAUUUGGGAUUCUAAAAUAAACCGGUCACUUGAGACACCAAAUAAUCUAUUCCAAAGUGGGACUCUGAAUGAACAAAAUAAUUCCAUUUCGAUUUAUGUCACUUUAAUUGGAAAAACUCUCUUAUAUCCCCCUCGGGUGGGUAAAAAGGAGGUGUGGCAGCUUUGGCGACUCUGCUGGGGAACAAAACCCAGAACUUUGGUUCAGGAUUCAAGAAUUCGAGCUUAGAAUAACUGUUAUAGUUGGCUUUUAUCUAUUAUCUGAUUUUUACAUGUUUGAGCCUAAUAUGCUAAUUGCUGCUUUUAUACUACUUUGACAUUGAUUGAACUGUAUAUAUAAAUUGUUACGAGACCAUCAUCUCUCUGAGUCUUCUAAGUCAUCUAGGAAUGGUGCACUUCGUGUGACUUCUUUUCUGUUAGAGUCAUAUCCCAAUUUUAGAACGAGCUUCGAACAAGUUGCAAAGCCGGUGAAGCUUCUGUAUUCCCGAUACGCUGCCCUCCUCGUCCCCCUCCCCCCCGCUCGAGCUGUCCGCUCAGGUUAGCCAGGUUUAGAACAAUACACACACUUUUUUAAACCUAGAAUAACAUAGCCUCAUGUUGGAUCCUUAGUAGGAACGUUUGUUUGCAUCACGCGCAUCUGACUUUGAGGGCUCAACACAGGAGUUUGGGUCCAUCUACGAUAGGUGUACCCAAAUUAAAAAGACCAUCCUGAUGCAUCUUACGUGCUACUUGCGCAUCUAUUUAUUCCGGCUUGCAUGUUGAUCGGCUUUUAGAAUAGGGAAAGAAUGAGAGAGAAGAGAAAAAAAAAGUAAGAGGUAGGUAUUUAGAAAAUUCUGAAACUCUGCCUAAAUUCUGAAAAAAGAAAAGUCAUUUCUUUGUUUCGUCAAAACUGAUCGAACUAUGCAGGUCUGUUUCUCACCAGAUAUGAGAUACGUAGGCAAACCCCAUCAGUUCCGAUCUUAAUUUUUUUUAAAAGAUCCAAAAACAAUUUCCUUUAAUUCCAUCCUUGGAAGCAUUUCCGUAGAAAAUUAAAAAAAAUAUUUUUAAACUAAAAGAAAAAUAGUUUCCUUCUUUCUGAAGUCUUUCAUAUGGAAAAAUAAAAUAAAAUAAGAAAUCAACCAAAAAUCAAAAUCCAAAAUACGGGUUUCAUUUAUUUUGAAGUAUUUUCUCAUAAAUUAAAAAAAUUAAAAAAAAUCUUUUCCUUGUUUAAAAAUCUUUCUUCCAAAAAACCAAUUUUGAAAAAUUGAAGCCCAACAUUAUUUUCGCUUUUCUUUAGAAGUGCUUUUGUAAAUAAAUAAAGACUCAAAAAUUCAAAAUAUUUUUUUAAAAGUCCCUCUUUCUAAAAUUAAGAGGCAACAUCCAAAAAUAUUUUAUUUCUUCUUUAGAAAAAGAGAAAACAAAUGAAAAUUCAAACAAAAAUAUUUGUUUUACUUUUAAAAUUCCCAAAGUUCAAAUCAAAAAUAUUUUUAGAAGUCUUUGUUUCCAAAAAAAUAAAACAAAAUUCAAAAUAGAAAAGGCGAAAAAAAUAUUUCCUUUCUUCUUUUAAAGUAUUUCUUUCAAAAAUUCCAAAAAAAAAAAGAAUUUAAAGAACAAAUAUUUUUCUUUUGCCUCAAAGCUUUUAUGUUCUAAGUGUUAUAAAAAAAGAAAAAAAGUUAGUUUAUUUACUCCAUUCUCAAUUUUUUUGAACUACGCAAGAUUUGAUUCAUGUGAGGUCAUGAUACAUAGGCAAUUCCCAUCGGAUUCGAUCAUAGCCAUAAAAUAAAUUGAGUGAGAAAUAAACUGGAAAAAAGAGGAAAAAAAGAGUAAAAGAAUAAAAAAAGAGAGUUACACAAAAAUAAAAGAGUAAAAAAAAUAAAAGAAAAGAGAAUGCCAAAAAUAAAGACCGAUAGAAACGAAAUGAAAAGAAAUCAAGAGUGAUUAGAGAAAAGCAAAAAUGAAGAAAAGAGGUGCAUAUUAAAAAUAGGGUAGUUAAAGCUGGGAUGAAACAUGUAACCGUUUAAACACAUGGUAUAAACGUUUAACUGUUAGGUGCAUUUUAUACCAACGUAUGAUUUCCUAUAUGCUAAAUAUUUCAAAACUAACAAGGUCGAUGGGUGUGCAAACAAUUUAAGAUUUUGGUUGUUGGUUUUGUUGGUAGUAUAGCCCCCCUCCUUCACAAGAUCCAAAGGCACAGAUGGCCUCUGUAAGCAAUCUAUCAAUUAUCGGUCCUGAGGAUAGCCCGACAUCGGCUAUUUUGUAGCUAGAAUCAGCACUUGAUGAAGAGAAUAAGAUAUUGCGUGUCUACAUGUUGGAAAUGUAGGACGCCUGGUCUAAUGGUAGAGAACCGCCAAGUGCAAUCCCUGGGUUCCCUGAGUUGAUCCCCAGGUCAUGCGAGGUUACCAAUGCCCCUGUGCCAAACCCGCUCAUUCCAUGCGGGCACCCUCCAUUGAUCUUGGUAUGCAUGCUGCGGUUCGCCCACCAAACCCUCUCAUUCCAUGCGGGCACCCUCCAUUGAUCUUGGUAUGCAUGCUGCGGUUCGCCCCCAAGCACCGACUUCAAACGCACCACCUCCAAUGUUUAUCUCUCAGGGUACACAUCUUCAAUCAAAAAUAACAAAUGUGACCCCAUACUCUUUCACUAAACCUCCACAAUAUCAUCUCUUGGUGAAGCAAGAAAAGGUUAUUAAAAAUCCUGAGCAAGAGGAAAUGGCUCGGAAGAUGAAGAGCCUGGAACAAAGCCUAAAAAAAAUGCAAGGUCUGAGUGGUCAAAAGAGUGUCUCAUACUCUGAACUCUAUAUAUUUCUCCAUGUCCACUUGCCAGCUGGCUUCAAGAUUCCAAAAUUUAAAAAGUACGACGGGCAUGGAUACUUGAUCGCCCAUUUGAAAAUAUAUUGCAACCAGCUAAGAGAGGCGGGUGGAAAAGAAGAACUUUUGAUGGCUUUUUCGGAGGGAGAUUAUCUGGAAUUGCAUCAGAGUGGUAUGUGGACCAAGAUAUAUCUCAUUGGCACGUGUGGGAUGAUAUGACCCAAGAUUUUGUCCGUCAGUUCCAGUAUAAUGUGGACAUCGCUCCCGACAGAAACUCUUUGUCCAAUUUGAUAAAGAAAAUUGUGGAAAGCUUCCAUGAAUAUGCUGUCAAAUGGCGUGAGCAAACUGCCUGGGUAAGGCUUCCAAUGGAUGAAAUUAAAAUGGUCACGAUCUUUCUACAGGCCUAAGAGGCGGACUACUUCCAGAACAUGAUGUGUGCUUUGGGAAAGCCGUUUGUUGAGGCUAUCAAAAUUGGGGAGAUGGUAGAACAUGCGCUAAAAACGAGUCGAAUAUUGAGUCAUGCUGUAAAGCCACAUCACAAGAUGUUCAAAAUGGUUCAGAGGAUUUGACAAAUGGAAACAGAAAAGAAGAAUGAGCCAUGAUAGUUUUGAGCUCGAGGGGGACUCGGAGGUCAUCCAGCUGAUCAUAUCUGCUUCUUGAGGUCCCCUCAACAUUAUUAUCCUCUUCAAUAUGCUGCUUAUUCCAUGGCAUUGACUCCUUAUGCGGUGAUGAACGCACAACCUUACACGCGGCCACAACAUCAUACACAAAACUGAGCUCCACCUCCCAGAAAUGCCCAUCCUUACCAAGCUACAUAUAAUCCCCAAACAAAUGAUCAUAUAAUCCUCGCCCAAGAGACCCUUUCAGAAAGAAUUAGUUCACCCUUAUUGGUGAAUCAUAUUCAAGCUUGUUCCAAAAGGUAAUCAGGCUAAAUCUAUUGCAUUCAGUGGCCCCAAACCACCCUUUCAGAAAGAAUUAGUUCACCCUUACUGGUGAAUCAUAUUCAAGCUUGUUCCAAAAGGUAAUCAGGCUAAAUCUAUUGCAUUCAGUGGCCCCAAACCAUCCAAACCCCGAGUCCCCCUUGCACCAAGCUGAUGCUAGAUGUGAAUACCACUCAGGAGUAGUGGGAUACAACACAGAGGAAUGUUGGACCCUCAAAGGGCAGUUGAAGAUUUGAUUGAAGCUGAAAGAAUCAUUUUUCGGGAUGAAGAAGUUCCUAAUGUGAUGAACAAUCUAUUGCUUGCUCACAACAUCGGGCCAAUAGUCGGAAUAAUGUGUGAAGCUGAGAAAUUUGAUCUGGAACUGAAGGCCAUUGCCGAGACAGAAUAAAAGCCAAAGAACGGUCACCAAGCAUGAAAGUUCCCCAUCAUACUGGAGUUUUAGUAGCCAGUCUUGCUAUCCUUUCUGCAUCCGGAUUAUCUCAGGUGUGAUCCAGAUGUUUUACCUUAUUGUCUUACUUUAUGAUGUAAACCUUUCUAUCUUCAAAAAUUUGAAAAAAAAAUUUGAAAAAAAAAUCAAAAAUUAAAUGAAAUUAAUAUUUCAUUGUUCAAGAAUGUCUCUUUUCUUAAAUCUUGUUAUUUUCUUUCUUAUUCUCUUUUUAGUUUUGUAAAAUGAAGAGUUCAAUAACAUGACAUGCUUGUGGACUUCAUGCUUAGAUCCAGAAAGCUGCCAGACCUCGAAAUAAUGAAUCAAGGAUUAGAUCGCAAUGAAGAUAAAGUUAAAGGAAAUAAAACAAAGAUUUGGAACAAAUGAAGGAAAACUGGUUCCCGAAUUGGAAAGGUCCAUACAUUGCAACAAGAGUACUGCCAAAAGAGUGCGUUGUACUUGGUACACAUCAAAGGAAAUUUCCCUGAAGAAACAAUCAAUGCAAAUGCAAUCAAAAGGUACUAUGUUGGAUUCUCUAUAUAACAUUAAUGUUCUCCGGUUAGGAUGAAGAAGGCUUUCUUUCUCACUAUCCAAAUAUUUAACCAUUUGAAAACCCUUUGAGCCGGUUACUCCUCUUUGAUUAUUCUCUUUGGAAUCUGAAAGUGUUAUUAAAAUAAAAUGAAAAAAAUGAAAAAAGGAGAAGGAAAGAAAGAUACAAAAAAAGAGAGGAGGAAAAUACAUAGAAAAUGAGAAUAAAAGAGAGUAAAAAAAGGAAAGGAAAAAGAAAGAGAAAGGAAAACAAAAACAACAACAACCCAGCAUAAUCCCACAAGUGGGGUUUGGGGAGGGUAAUAAGUACCCAGACCUUACCCCUACCCCAAUGGGUAGAGAGGCUGUUUCCAGGAGACCCUCGGCUAAAGAAAUCACAAGCAACGAUAUAUUAGUACUAUCAAUAGACUCAUAAUAAAAUAACAUAAAAACAUCAUAUAACAAAAUAAUAGCAAUAUAAGAAAUAUAUGAAAUACGAAAAGGAUGGAAGGUAUAUACUAAUAUCCAACAGAUAAAGCCUUCAUCAGUAGUAAAUUAGUAGGAUACUAAGACGAAUUCCUAACUGGCUAUUCCAAAUAUAGUGCAUUGUAGAAAUAUCCACAACUUUCCCCUAACCUACAACCUUUGUGCUCGACCUUCACAAUUCUCUGUAAAGGGCCAUAUCCUCAGUAGAAAGAGAAAGGAAAGCAAAACACAAAAAAAAAACUAAGUUUCCUGAACUACGUUCGACUUGAUUCUAAAAGGAUACGUAAGCAGCCUCUCUCCGGGGUUUAGUCAUACCAAGAUAAAAAUCCAAAUUUCCCCAAAAAUAAAACUAGGGCAGAUGUUAUAACAGUUCGGUGAUGGUUCGCCUAAAAUGUUCCAAAGUUAUAAUUCAAUCCAAAUUCUUUUUACCCAAAUCCUGUUCAAGUCCUUCUGAUCAAUCAGUGAGAAUGUUCAAGGACCAAAAAAUACAAUUAAUUGGAUCUGAUAUAGUCAAAAUAAUAGAAAUAAAAUGAGAGAGUCUUAUUGGUUAAAACCCACAUAGGAACCGUAAGGCAACAUCAAGCAAGGAAAUCGAAAUGAGAGAGUCUUGUUAGUGAAAACCCACACAAGCACUAUAAGGCGAUGGAGAGAAGAGAAAUGAGAAAGGUCAUCUCGUGAAAACCCGCAAAGGACACCCCUGAUCAAAAAGAGGAUCCUCGCAGCCAUCGGCACCGAUAUAGUCCUCGUAAGGUUUCUCGAUUUUGAGGCAAAUGUUAUAAUGAAUUUAUGUUAGUCGGACGGUUUACACAGAUCAUGCAUCCAAUCCAAAAAGGUAUGUUAUGUUCAUUAAAGACCUCAUGCACUCUAGAUAAGGCCUUCUUUCUCCUCCCCCGAAGCGAUACCUCUCGUUUAAGUUCAUUGUCCAUUCUAAUAGUUGUUUUUCUUUGAACCCCUUUUGGUCUAAAUCUGUUCCGAAAAUGAGACAAAGAAGGGAUGUCAAGACUAAUUUACAGGGUUCUCAUUUGAUACAAGCCGAUAUGCAAAAAGGGUACCCAGCCUCAUCAGGGGCAUCAAGGUGACCCCGACUGGCCAUGGCCGCAGAUGCUUCAAAAUCAAAACUCUUGGAAGAAGAAAAUCAAAUUGAAGCCCCCUAUAAAGUCAAAUGAAGUUGAAAAUGGUUAAGUCCCACGUGGCUAAUCAUCUCGGCAAGGUUUGAAAAGCCAAGAUACCUCAAAUUCUCUGAAAUUAAAGUUGGAAGAAAGAAGCCAGAAAUGAAAGGCCUAUAAAGGGAAAAUAAAAAUGGAAAAAGGCAAAGUCCCACACGACUAGAUGUUGCAGCAAGCUUGAGGAGCCAAAAGUUCCCCAAUGCUCCAAAGUAAAAAUAAAUAAAAGAGAGUCAAAAAGGAAAGGCCUACAAAGGCUAAAUAAAGUUGAAAAAGAUUGAGUUCCACCGAACAACCUUCAUGGCAAAGUAUGGAAAAACCAGAGGUUCUCUACGGACUGAAAUAAAGUCGUUAGUCAAGGAAUGAGUGGCCGCAUUAAAGAUUAUUAUCAAAGAAUUCGGGCCGAGAUCAAGUGAUUGAAACAAUCAAGGCCACAAAACCAACCACCUUCGAGAUACCCCAAAUGCUUUGAAAUUAAAGUUGGAAGAAAGAAGCCAGAAAUGAAAGGCCUAUAAAGGGAAAAUAAAGCUGGAAAAAGGCUAAGUCCCACACGACUAGCUGUUGCAGCAAGCUUGAGGAGCCAAAAGCUCCCCAAUGCCCAAAGUAAAAAUAAAUAAAAGAGAGUCAAAAAGGAAAGGCCUACGAAGGCAAAAUAAAGUUUAAAAAGAUUUAGUUCCACUGAGCAACCUUCAUUGCAAAGUGUGGAAUAACCAGAGGUUCUCUAGGGACUGAAAUAAAGUCGUUCCUCAAGGAAUGAGUGGCUGUAUUUAAGAUUUUUAUCAAAGAAUUCGGGCCGAGAUCAAGUGAUUGAAACAAUCAAGACCACAAAACCAACCACUGUUUCAAAAUAACAAUUGUUGUAUGUUCGAAAACAGGAAAUGAGUGCAAUCCAAAAGCAACCUUGCAAGAACAGGUGCAACAAAAAGAAACUGUGCCAUGGCUAAAAAUAGCUUUGCAGCAAUAAUCAAUCCAAAAGGAAAGUCUCCUCCAAAUUUUUCCUGCAUUUUAUUCAUUUUCUUAAAAUUAAAAAAAUGAAAAGAAAGAAGAAGAAAAUUUCAAAAUCAUGGUAGCAUAGGGUCCUACUCGCUAGGUGAUGCCAAUAUAACCUGGUAAUUUUUUCUAACGUAGGGUCCCAUUUCUAGACAAUGCCAACAUAACCUGGUAAUUAUUUUCAAUGUAGGGUCAUUCCCUAGUCGAUGCCAACAUAACCUGGUAAUCUUUCCAAUAUAGGGUCCCAUUCUCUAGUCGCUGCCAGCAUAACCUGGUAGUUUUUUCAGUAUAGGGUCUCACUCCCUAGCUAAUCCCCGGCAUAACCCGAGGAUCUUUUUCCUGCAUAUCCCAAUGACUUUCCUAGCAUAACCCGUGGACCUCCCCAGCAUAACCCGAGAACCUUUUUUAUUUUCGGGCAUAACUCGAUGACUUCUCCGUUAUAACCCGUGGACCUCCCUGGCAUUAACCCGAGGACUUUUUUUCUUUUCUGGCAUAACCCGAUGACUUUCUCGGCAUAACCCGUGGAACUCUCCGACAUAACUUGAGGACCUUUUUUCUUUUUCGGCAUAACCCGAUGACUUUCCCGACAUAAAUCGUGAACCUCCCCGACAUAUUCCGAGGACCUUUUAUCUUUUCCGGCAUAACUCGAUGACUUUCUUGGCAUAACCCGAGGACCUUUUUCUUUUCAGGCAUAACCUGAUCACCUUUCCCGGCAUAACCCAUGGACUUCCCCGGCAUAAUCCGAGGACCUUUUUCUUUGCCGGCAUAACCCGAUGACUUUUUCAGCAUAACCCGUGGACAUCCCUGGCAUAACCCGAUGACAUUUUCUUUCGUUUUCUACAUAACCCGAUGACCUUUUUUUUCUUUUCCGGCAUAACCCGAUGAUUUUUUUCGGCAUAAUUCGAGGACCUUUCCGGCAUAACCCGACCAUUUUUUUCAGCAUAACCUGGUGAUCUUUCCAACUUAGGGCCCUCGAUCUCUAGUUGAUUUCAUCAUAGACAAAAGGCCCCACUAUUCUUCUUUUCAAAGGAUACACAAUCAUUAUUUUAUUGCUUUCAAUAAAGAAAUAUUUUAGAUUUUGUUACAAUAACUCACGAAAUUUUUCUAAUGAAAACUGGGGCAGAAAAAGUUUCGUUUGUUUGUUUGCUUUGGUGCCUGAAAAGGUUUUUACCAUGAGGCACAAGGAUUGAGAUGACAAAACGAAGAAGUCUCAACCUGUCAUGACCCAAAACUCGGACCCAGUCAUGAUAGCACCUCUCAUGAAGACAAUGCCAGCCGACACAUUUCCAAUUCGAAGUUAAAUAGCUAACAUCAAUGAAACAGGCUAAAACAUGAUCUAAUAAUGCUAAACAUCAGAUAAUUUUAUAACAAUGCGAAAGUACAACCCAAACACAGCCCAAACCGGGGUAGUCACUAGUCAUGAGCAUCUACAAAGGUCUAGCUACAUCCGACGAAGUCUGAAAUAUAGUAAGUACAUACUAAUAGAAUAAAAUGGGAGAAAAGCAGUGAUGGGAAGGACAAAAACUACCUUGCUAAACUUUAAUGACUCCGCCUCCAAUCAACCAAUACCCGUUGCCGGGUUCAGAAAAGAAUACCUGAAUCUACACACAAGGUGCAUGGAGUAAAGUGAAUAAUCCGACUCAAUGAGUAAUAAUCAUAAAUAAGACCGGGUGAUAAGAAAUCAUGUAAGGCAUAUCAUCAUGUUGUAUAGAAGCAAAAACAAUGAAGCUGUGAAAUCCCUUUAAAACAUCUUAGCGUAGUUUAAACUUAUUUGAAACUUCCUUUUUUCAAUAGUUACGCAAUUGAAAGCAGAACAACUAGUGCAGAUAAGCACAGAAAUCCACCCCUCAUGCGCAAAUACACAAGUAAACAGGUAAACAAUAGGUAAAUAUGAAAGGUAAACACACAAGGUUUGCCCUCGGGCACAAUGUCAAAAAGUCUGCCCCUCUAGCAAUAUCUUAGAACGGUACCAACCCCUAGGGCAAUCAUAUGGAACUAUAUCAGCCCCUCGAGCAAUCACGUAGAACAAUACCAGCCCCUUGGGCAAUCACAUAGAACAAUACCAGCCCUUCGAGCUAUAUCUCACAUCACAAUGGGUACCCGCGUUCACUGGGGAUGUACAGACUCCGGGAGGGGCCCCAUAUGGCCCAAGCGCCAUAUCAAGCUAUCUCGUGGCAUCAUAAACAAGUCUUCGACCGCAUAUCAAUAUUAAGCCACCUCGUGGCGUACAAUCUCAGGCCCUCGGCCUCAUAAUCAAAAUAAGUAUAUCAUCGCUGCAGCAUGUAGCCCGACCCAAAGGAUAUCCUCACUACACAGGCCCUCGGCCUUACUUAGUCAAAAAUCACAUAAGCCUCUCGGGCAAUAGUAAAAUAGUAUUUCUCAGCCUAAACCAUCAUUUAAAAUAUCAUUUGAGUAUUAAACCUGAGUGAACAUGGCUGAGUUGUGAAAACAGUGGAAAAAACAUGAAUGAAUUCAAGUGUAAAGUCGAAACAGCGAGGAAAUAUCAACAAUAAUCCCCGAAGGAUUCAAAUAAUUUGCACGAAGCCCAAAUAUGGAAUUCAGCCCAAAUAAUGAUGAUAACAAAUAGAUUUUAAUCAACUACUUGGUAAAAUCGUCAAUCGGGAUGGACUAAGUUAUAAUCCCCAAUAGUGCUCUACCCCACACUCGCCAUCUAGCGUGAAAGUUACCUCAACAUACACUACGAUGUGCAAUCCGGGGUUUCAAACCCCUCAGAACAUCAUUUACAACUAUUACUCACCUCGAUCCGGUCAAAAUUCUAGCCCGCGAUAUCUCGCCCGCAUGAAUAUAUCCUCCGGAUGCUCCAAAUCUAGCCAUAAUCAGUACAUAAUCAUUAAAAUAUGCUACGGGAACGAAGCCCACUCCAAAAUAUCCAAUUUAACAUAAAAAUCUCGAAAUUGCUCAAACUCGGCCCCUAGACCCACAUCUCGAAAUCCGAUAAAAUCAACAUCAACGGAGUCCUCGCCCUCUCACGAGUCUAUACAUACCAAGAGCAUCAAAAUCGGACCUCAAAUGACCCCUCAAAUCCCAAAUUUAUACUAUCCAAAUUCAAACCCUAAUUCCUCAAUUUUAGGCUUAAUUUCAUAAUUAAAUUAGGUGGAAUUCACACAAGAAUCGAGUUUUGAGUUCAAAAAUCUUACUUCUAAGAGAUAUUCUUGAAUUCCCUCUUCAAUUAGCUCUCCCAAGCACCAAAAUCGCUCAACAAUGGAGGUUCUUAGCCUUAAAAUCGCGGAAUAGCCUUUUGAAAACGAAGCCCACUCCAAAAUAUCCAAUUUAACAUAAAAAUCUCGAAAUUGCUCAAACUCGGCCCCUAGACCCACAUCUCGAAAUCUGAUAAAAUCAACAUCAACGGAGUCCUCGCCCUCUCACUAGUCUAUACAUACCAAGAGCAUCAAAAUCGGACCUCAAAUGACCCCUCAAAUCCCAAAUUUAUACUAUCCAAAUUCAAACCCUAAUUCCUCAAUUUUAGGCUUAAUUUCAUGAUUAAUUUAGGUGGAAUUCACACAAGAAUCGAGUUUUGAGUUCAAAAAUCUUACUUCUAAGAGAUAUUCUUGAAUUCCCUCUUCAAUUAGCUCUCCCAAGCACCAAAAUCGCUCAACAAUGGAGGUUCUUAGCCUUAAAAUCGCGGAAUAGCCUUUUUAAAACAUUUUACCCAGGCAUAAAAAUCCUUCUUCACGAACGCGGUCAAAGCCUCGCGUUCGCGAAGCACAAAAUUACUUUAACCAAAUUUCUUUCACUGGGAACAUGCCCUACCACUCGCGAACGUGAAUACUUGGCUCCCUACCAAACACGAUCGCGACUCCCCUUCCACGAACGUGAAGGAAAAAUAGAUCCUCAAACCAGCUGCUUGUUUCCCCUACGUGAAUGCUUAGCCUCCCUAGCAAAUGCGAUGCACAACAAACCCAGACCUUUGCGAACACGGAGUAUCCCUCGAAAAUGCGAAGGAUAAAAUCUUAACCUCACCAGCUAAUCCUUCGCAAAAGCGUGGGCCUACUCGCAAAAGCGAUGGCCAAAUGCGUGCAACACUGAACAACAAUUUUCUGCAACUUUCCAAAACAUGAAAUGCUCCAAUUGACCACCCGAAACUCACCCGAGGCCCUCGGGAGCUCAACCAAACAUGCCAACAUAUCCCAUAACAUCAUUCAAAAUUGUUCCAACCUUCGGAGCGCUCAAAACAACAUCAAAUCACCAAAAUCACAUCGCAUUCAAGCCUAAAAAUUUCAAAAACUUCCAAACUCCGUUUUGAUAGAAAAUCCAACCAGACCACGUCCGAAUGACCCUAAAUUUUUCACACACAUCAAAAAUGAUACAAAAAAGCUACUACAACUUUUGGAAUUCCAUUUCGACCUCUAUUUCAAAAUUUCACCCAUCAAUAGAAAAACGGCGAAAUCUCAAUUUCGCCAAUUCAAGCAUACACCUUCCUUGGAUCUCCAAAAUGCAUUUCGAUCACGCUCCUAAGUCCCAAAUCACCUAACAGAGCUAACGAAAAUAUAAAAAUUCCGACCCGAUAUCAUAUACAAACAAGUCAAAUCUUUCAAAUUUCAAGCUUCAAAGUAGGAACUGUUCUUCCAAAUUCAUUUCGAUCACCCUGAACACCAAAAAUCAAUGAUUUACAUGAAUCAUAAUACAUCACACGGGACAAUUCAUGCCCGAGAGCUGGCGAGCAAAGUGAAAAUGAUAUAGAUAAUCGGUAAGAUCAUUACAUAACCUAAACAAAAGAAAAGAAGAACAAGAAAAGAAAUGAACUCUAAGUGUAGAGGUGGAGAAAAGAUGUGAGCUUAAAACAUGAUUGAAGUCACUAGCUUUGCAUGUACCACCUUGAUCUGAAAAGCUGAAGAAGAAUGAACAGGUGGUUGCAGCUAACGAGCAUAAAGAUUCAUGUCAGAGUCUGUAGGAAGAACCAGCCAAGACUCAAGAUCAAGCUUUAGGAGGUUUAUAGAUAGGAAUCUUAUAACUCGUAGUUGAUAGGCUUAGCUAGUUUAGCUUUUCAUCUUUCAUUUUGGUGUAAUAAGGAGCUCAGCAAGUAGAAAAAAUAGCAACAACAAUGAAAUCACAAUUUUCCGGUAAUACUAACCUGAUUCUUUUAUAGUCAAGGAUAUGUAGGCAACCUCCGAAGCAAUGUUCGAUUAGACUUCUUCAAAAGAUGCUUCUCAUGGAGUUUCAAAUGGGCAAAAAUCACUUAUAAUUGCUCACUUUAUCUUUGAUCGAAAAUCCUUCAUCUUUCCAAGAAAAAAAGGGGGCAGCUGUAAGCACGCGAUUUUUGUCCUAUGUGAAAUACUCAUAUAAAAUCCAAGAAAAUAGAUUUUUUAUUUCUUAACUAUUUGCAUUUUUGUGCACAUUUCAUUUUUAUUAAAAUCAUGAAAAAGUCAAAAAUAUCAUGCAUUGUAUUUAUGUUUUGUUUUAUACUUUUUAGGAUUAAUUAGUUAAUUAAUUAUCUUGUUAAAAAUAAAAAUCACAACAAAUGACUCAUUUUACAUUUUUUUACCUUUUAAUUUUUUUAGAUUAGUGAUUUGUCUCUAUCAAUUUGGGAUCAAGUAUUUUUUAUAAUUAUUAUAAUUAUACAAUUAGAUAGUUUUACAACAUAGGUUGAUUUAGGAGUGUAACACAGGAUUUUGAAUAAAAGAAAAAAGAAAAAAGAAAAAAAUAAAAGAAAAAGGAAAUAAUUGAUUAGUUGAAAAUAGAGAUUAUUUUUGAAUUUGGGUCAUAUUAAAUGCCAAAACCCGUUCUUAAAAACCACCCAAGCCCAAAUAACUAGCCCAUUUUCGCUCAACCCCCCUCCAACCCACUCCACCCAAGAUCAAUGACCCACUGAUCCAUCUCACACCAUAUUUAAUUUAAAAUCUCAGCCGUUCAUCACCUCUAAUCUUAGGGCCAUUAUUAGUUCUCAUAUACCACAUAAAAUCCCUAUCUCCCAAUUUCCACAAACCCUAAACCUAAUCCCUCAUCUCCCAAAAAUUGUGCCCCAAUCCCUCCCCUGAUCUCUGCGGAAAAAUAACGCCCAAACCACUGUGGUAUAUCCUCUCAUCCCUUUGCACGUGGUCUGACAAAUAACGGACAUGUACCAUCAGAAUCUUGCUCAUUCUCUCUCACGUGCUUAUCUUAUCAAAAAUUAAUUUGAAUACGAGAUUAGGAUGAAUGGGGGGGGNNNNNNNNNNNNNNNNNNNNNNNNNNNNNNNNNNNNNNNNNNNNNNNNNNNNNNNNNNNNNNNNNNNNNNNNNNNNNNNNNNNNNNNNNNNNNNNNNNNNNNNNNNNNNNNNNNNNNNNNNNNNNNNNNNNNNNNNNNNNNNNNNNNNNNNNNNNNNNNNNNNNNNNNNNNNNNNNNNNNNNNNNNNNNNNNNNNNNNNNNNNNNNNNNNNNNNNNNNNNNNNNNNNNNNNNNNNNNNNNNNNNNNNNNNNNNNNNNNNNNNNNNNNNNNNNNNNNNNNNNNNNNNNNNNNNNNNNNNNNNNNNNNNNNNNNNNNNNNNNNNNNNNNNNNNNNNNNNNNNNNNNNNNNNNNNNNNNNNNNNNNNNNNGGGGGGGGGGGGGGGGGGAGUACAAUUGAGUCUCACUCGAUCUACUCCCUCUACUUCUCUUUUACUCGGUUGAAGAGAUGGAAUUUCGGAUUUUUCUAAAAAAAAAAAGAUUUUUUAUGACUUGGAAGAAAGAGGGGAGAAGCUUCGAAAGCUUCUAUAUAUUUGACGGUUUGUCUUGCUAAAAAGAGGGAGAGAAAAAAAAUUCGAGGGCUUGGAGUGUCCUCAAAUUUUGGGGUCUAAUUUUUUUUGUUUAAAUCAUCUUCUUCUAUUUUUGAUUUUUUGUUCUUAAGUCUGGAAUGAUUUGAACUUCAUAUUUACUCUCAAGAUUGGUUCAAGCUCUAUUCACCGUUGAGAACAUAUUCUAAUUUCUGGGUUUUGGGAGAUCAAGUUGGUCUCGAAUCGCUUUUGCUCUGUUGUUGAUUAUUCUAGUGCACGCAGAGCUUCACUCUUCCAUUCCAGUCUUUAUUUGGGUUAAUUUUAAAUUGUAUUACUGCUGGUUGAGAUAUGAAUUUCAGUUAAAAAUGAUGUAACAAUUUUGAAUGUCAUCUUCUCGCAUUUGUUCUACUCUGUCAAUUUUUUGUCAUAAUAACAUAUCUGUCUUCGGAUUUGCGACAUGUCUAUAUCUUAUUUGUUAUUGUUUGGAUUAUUCUUAGAAUCAAAAGAUUAAAUCCAUCCCUCAUGGCAGUACACGUGAAUGUUUGUCCGAUGGAAGUUGAUAACUAUAAUAUGAAUAUGAUUGUUUGAACAUGAUUCUGCUUUUAAGUUUUAUUAAAUUCUAAACCAUUAUGAUCCAUAUCUGCUAUGGUUUUUUUUUUGAUUCGUCGUAUGUGUCAGUUUGGCUAUGAGUGGUACUAAGUUAGGAGAAUGCAUAACUCUUGGCCUCCUAAUUAUCCCAAAUUAGUUUUAGAAAAAGUAUAAACAUUCCUAGAUUGUUUUAUGCUUGACUUAGUCUAUUAUUGUGAUUAUGUAUACGUUCGCAUAACAUAAUUCCGAAUUUAAUUCUAAAAAGUAACUCAAGGCAUGCUUUCUCGCAACUUCAAACAAACUUCUCUCAAAAAACUAAACAAAGCAUUAUUGAUUGUGAACACGUCGCAUGACAUGAUUUUUGACGCGCCAAAGGAUAAGGAUAUACGUACGCGUAACUCAAUUCUUUAAUUACGAACAAAUCAAGCGAUUAAAAGAGGUAAAAAAAUAAAUGCACAUAGGUCCUAAAAAUGAGUAGAUAAACAAUUUAACCCAAGUAAUAAAUAUUAAGCGGCUGUGCUAGAACCACGAAAUCCGAGAAUGACUAACACCUUCUCCCGGAUUAAUAGUUAUCUAGAAUUUCUGGUUCGCAUACUUAAAUAAAGUUGUAAAUUUUCUCGAUUUGGGAUUCUAAAAUAAACCGGUCACUUGAGACACCAAAUAAUCUAUUCCAAUGUGGGACUCUGAAUGAACAAAAUAAUUCCAUUUCGAUUUAUGUCGCUUUAAUUGGAAAAACUCCCUUAUAUCCCCCUCGGAUGGAUAAAAAGGAGGUGUGACAGCUCUGGCGACUCUGCUGGGAAAGAAACCCAAAAUUUUGGUUCAGGAUUCAAGAAUUCGAGCUUAGAAUAACUAUUAUAGUUGGCUUUUAUCUAUUAUCUGAUUUUACAUGUUUGAGCCUAAUGUGCUAAUUGCUGCUUUUAUACUGCUUUGAUAUUGAUUGAACUGUAUAUAUGAAUUAUUACGAGACGAUCAUCUCUCUGAGUCUUCUAAAUCAUCUGGGAAGGGUGCACUUCGUGUGACUUCUUUUCUUUUAGAGUCAUAUCCCAAUUUUAGAACGAGGUUCGAACAAGUUGCAAAGCCGGUGAAGCUUCUGUAUUCCCGAUACGCUGCCCUCCCCAUCCCCUCCCCCCGCUCGAGUUGUUCGCUUAAUUAAGCCAGGUUUAGAACAAUACACCCAGUUUUUAAUCCUAGAAUUACAUAGCCUCAUGUCGGAUCCAUAGUAGGAACUUUUGUUUACAUCACGCGCAUCUGACUUUGAGGGCUCAACACAGGAGUUUGGGUCCAUCUACGAUAGGUGUACCCAAAUUAAAAAGACUAUCAUGAUACAUCAUACGUGCUACUUGCGCAUCUAUUUAUUCCGACUAGCAUGUUGACCAGCUUUUAGUAUAGGGAAAAAUGAGAAAAAAGAGGAAAGAAAAAGUGAGAGGUAGGUAUUUCGAAAAUUCUGAAACUCUUCCGAAAUUCUGAAAAAAGAGAAGUCAAUUCAAAAUGAGCCAAAAUUUUCAAGUACCAUAUUUCCCUUGUUACGUCAAAACUGAUCGAACUAUGCAAGUCUGAUUCUCACCGGAUAUGAGAUACGUAGAAAAACCCCAUCGGUUCCGGUCCUAUUUUUUAAAAAAAAUCCAAAAACAAUUUCCUUUAAUUCCGUCCAUAGAAGCAUUUCCGUAGAAAAUUCAAAAAAAUGUUUUUAAAAUAAAAAAUAGUUUCCUUCUUUCUAAAGUCUUUCAUAUGGAAAAACAAAAUAAAAUAAGAAAUCAACCAAUAAUCAAAAUCCAAAAUACGAGUUUCAUUUAUUUUGAAGUAUUUUCUCACAAAUUAAAAAAUCUUUUCCUUGUUUAAAAGUCUUUCUUUCAAAAAACCAAUUUUGAAAAAUUGAAGCCCAAAAUUAUUUUCGCUUUUCUUUAGAAGUGCUUUUGUAAAUAAAUAAAGACUCAGAAAUUCAAAAUAUUUUCAUAAAAGUCCCUCUUUCGAAAAUUAAGAGGCAACAUCCAAAAUCCAAAAAUAUGUUAUUUCUUCUUUAGAAAAAGAGAAAACAAAUGAAAAUUCAAACAAAAAUAUUUUUUUUACUUUUAAAAUUCCCAAAGUUCAAAUCAAAAAUAUUGUUAGAAGUCUUUGUUUAAAAAAAAUAAAACAAAAAUCAAAAUAAAAAAUUUAAAAAAAUAUUUCCGUUGUUCUUUUAAAGUAUUUCUUUCAAAAGUUCCAAAGAAAAAAAGAAUUUAAAGAGCAAUUAUUUUCUUUUGCCUCAAAGCUUUCAUGAUCUGAGUAUUAUAAAAAAAGAAAAUAAAGAGUUAGUUUAUUUACUCCAUUCUCAAUUGUUUCGAACUACGCAAUAUCUGAUUCAUGUGAGAUCAUGAUACAUAGGCAAUUCCUAUCGGAUUUGAUCAUAGCCAUAAAAUAAACUGAGUGGGAAUCAAACUGAAAAAAAAAGAGAAAAAGAAAAAGAGUAAAAGAAUAAAAAAAGAGAGUUACACAAAAUAAAAGAGGAAAAAAUAGAAAAGAAAAGAGAGUGCCAAAAAUAAAGAGCGAUAGAAACGAAAUGAAAAGAAAUCAUUAGAGAAAAGCAAAAAUGAAGAAAAGAGGUGCGUAUUAAAAAUGGGGUAGUUAAAGCUGGGAUGAAACAUGUAACCGUUUAAGCACAUGGUGAAACAUUUAACUGUUAGGUGCAUUUUAUACCAACGUAUGAUUUCCUAUAUGUUAAAUAUUUCAAAACUAACAAGGUUGUUGGGUGUGUAAACAAUUUAAGAUUUUGGUUGUUGGUUUUGUUGGUAGUAUAUCCCCCCUCCUUCACAAGAUCCAAAGGCACAGAUGGCCUCUGCAAGCAAUCUAUCAAUCAUCGGUCCUGAGGAUAGCCCGACAUCGGCUAUUCUGCAGCUAGAAUCAGCAGCUGCUAAAGAGAAUAAGAUAUUGCGUGUCUACAAGUUGGAAAUGUAGGACGCCUGGUCUAAUGGUAGAGAACCGCCAAGUGCAAUCCCUGGGUUCCCUGAGUUGAUCCCCAGGUCAUGCGAGGUUACCAAUGCCCCUGUGCCAAACCCGCUCAUUCCAUGCGGGCACCCUCCAUUGAUCUUGGUAUGCAUGCUGCGGUUCGCCCCCAAGCACCGACUUCAAACGCACCACCUCCAAUGUUUAUCUCUCAGGGUACACAUCUUCAAUCAAAAAUAACAAAUGUGACCCCAUACUCUUUCACUAAGCCAAACCCGCUCAUUCCAUGCAGGCACCCUCCAAUGAUCCUGGCAUGCCUACUGUGGUUUGCCCCCAAGCACCGGCUUCAAACGCACCGCCUCCAAUGUUUAUCUCUCAGGGUCCAUAUCUUCAAUCAAAAUUAACAAAUGUGACCCCAUACUCUUUCACUCAACCUCCACAAUAUCAUCUCUUGGUGAAGCAAGAAAAGGUUAUUAAAAAUCCUGAGCAAGAGGAAAUGGCUCGGAAGAUGAAGAGCCUGGAACAAAGCCUAAAAAAAAUGCAAGGUCUGAGUGGUCAAAAGAGUGUCUCAUACUCUGAACUCUAUAUAUUUCUCCAUGUCCACUUGCCAGCUGGCUUCAAGAUUCAAAAAUUUAAAAGUUACGACGGGCAUGGAGACUUGAUCGCCCAUUUGAAAAGAUAUUGCAACAAGCUAAGAGAGCCGGCUGAAAAGAAGAACUUUUGAUGGCUUUUUCAGAGGGAGCUUAUCUCGAAUUGCAUCAUAGUGUUAUGUGGACCAUGAUAUAUAUCAUUGGCACUUGGGAUGAUAUGGCUCAAGAUUUUGUCCGUCAGUUCCAGUAUAAUGUGGACAUCGCUCUCGACAGAAACUCUUUGUUCAAUUUGAUAAAGAAAACUGUGGAAAGCUUUCGUGAAUAUGCUGUCAAAUGGCGUGAGCAAAUUGCCUGGGUAAGGAUUCCAAUGGAUGAAAUUAAAAUGGUCACGAUCUUUCUACAGGUCUAAGAGGCGGACUACUUCCAGAACAUGAUGUGUGCUAUGGGAAUGCCGUUUGUUGAGGCUAUCAAAAUUGGGGAGAUGGUAGAACAUGCAGCUAAUAACGAGUCGAAUAUUGAGUCAUGCUGAUUUUAAAGCCACAUCACAAGAUGUUCAAAAUGGUUCAGAGGAUUUGAUAAAUGGAAACAGAAGAGAAGAAGGAGCCAUUAUAGUUUCGAGCUCGAGGGGUACUCGGAGGUCAUCCAGCUGAUCAUAUCUGCUUCUUGAGGUCCCUCAACAUUAUUAUCCUCUUCAAUAUGCUGCUUAUUGCAUGGCAUCGACUCCUUAUGCGGUGAUGAACGCACAACCUUACACGCGGCCACAACAUCAUACACAAAACUGAGCUCCACCUCCCAGAAAUGCCCAUCCUUACCAAGCUACAUAUAAUCCCCAAACAAAUGAUCAUAUAAUCCUCGCCCAAGAGACCCUUUCAGAAAGAAUUAGUUCACCCUUAUUGGUGAAUCAUAUUCAAGCUUGUUCCAAAAGGUAAUCAUGCUAAAUCUAUUACAUUCAGUGGCCCCGAACCAGCCGAACCCCGAGUCCCCCUUGCACCAAGCUGAUGCUAGAUGUGAAUACCACUCAGGAGUAGUGGGACACAGUACAGAGGAAUGUUGGACCCUCAAAGGGUAGUUGAAGAUUUGAUUGAAGCUGAAAGAAUCAUUUUUCGGGAUGAAGUUCUUGAUGUGAUGAACAAUCUAUUGAUUGCCCACAACAUCGGGCCAAUAGUCGGAAUAUUGUGUGAAGCUGAGAAAUUUGAUCUGGAACUGAAGGCCACUGCAGCCAUUGCUGAGACAGAAUAAAAGCCAAAGAACGGUCACCAAGCAUGAAAGUUUCCCAUCAGACGGCAUUUUUAGUAGCCAGUCUUGCUAUCCUUUCUGCAUCCGGAUUAUCUCAAGGUGUGAUCUAGAUGUGAUCCAGAUGUUUUACCUUAUUGUCUUACUUUAUGAUGUAAACCUUUCUAUUUUCAAAAAAUUGAAAAACAAAUUUGAAAAAAAAUAAAAAAUUAAAUGAAAUUAAUAUUUCAUUGUUCAAGAAUGUCUCUUUUCUUAAAUCUUGUUAUUUUUCUUUCUUAUUCUUUUUUUAGUUCUGUAAAAUUCAGAGUUCAAUAACAUUACAUGCUUGUGGACUUCAUGCCCAGAUCCAGAAAGCUGUCAGACCUCGAAAUAAUGAAUCAAGGAUUAGAUCGCAAUGAAGAUAAAGUUUAAGGAAAUAAAACAAAGAGUUGGAACAAAUGAAGGAAAAUUGGUUCCCGAAUUGGAAAGGUCCAUACAUUGCAACAAGAGUACUGCCAAAAGAGUGUGUUAUCCUUGGUACACAUCAAAGGAAAUGUCCCUGAUGAAACCAUCAAUUCUAAUGCAGUCAAAAGGUAAUAUGUUGGAUUCUCUAUAUAACAUUAAUGUUCUCUGGUUGGGAUAAAGAAGGCUUUCUUUCUCACUAUCCAAAUAUUUAACCCUUUGCAAACCCUUUGGGCCGGUUACUCCUCUUUGAUUACCCUCUUUGGAACCUAAAAGUGUUAUUAAAAAAAUUGAAAAAAAAGAAAAAAAUUGAAAAAGGAGAAGGAAAGAAAGAUACAAAAAAAGAGAGGAGGAAAAUACAAAGAAAAUGAAAUAAAAAGAGAGUAAAAAAAGGAAAGGAAAAAGAAAGAGAAAGGAAAACAAAAACAACAACAACCCAGCAUAAUCCUACAAGUGGGAUUUGGGGAGGGUAAUAUGUACCCAGACCUUACCCCUACCCCAAUGGGUAGAGAGGCUGUUUCCAGGAGACCCUCGGCUCAAGAAAGCACAAGAGAUGAUAUAUUAGUACAAUCAAUAGUCUCAUAAUAAAAUUACAUAAAAAACAUAAAAAAACAAAAUAACAUCAAUAUAAGAAAUAUAUGAAAUAUAAAAAGGAUGGAAGGUAUAUACUAAUAUCCAACAGAUAAAGCCUUCAUCAGUAGCAAAUUAGUAGCAUCCUAAGACGAAUUCCUAACUGGCUAGUCCAAAUCUAGUGCGCUGUAGAAAUAUCCACAUCAUUUCCCUAACCUACAACCUUAGUGCCCGACCUUCACAAUUCCCUGUCAAGGGCCAUAUCCUCGGUAGAAAGAGAAAGGAAAACAAAACAGAAAAAAAAAACUAAGUCUCCUGAACUACGUUCGACUUGAUUCUAAAAGGAUACGUAGGCAGCCUCUCUCUGGGGUUUAGUCAUACCAAAAUAAAAAUCCAAAUUUCCCCAAAAAAAACUGGGGCAGAUGUUAUAACAGUUCGGCGAUGGUUCGCCUAAAAGGUUCCAAAGUUAUAAUUCAAUCCAAAUUCUUUUUUCUCAAAUCCUAUUCAAGUCCUUUUGAUUAAUCGGUGAGAAUGUUCAAGGACCAAAAAAUGCAAUUACUUGGAUCCGACAUAGUCAAAAUAAUAGAAAUAAAAUGAGAGAGUCUUAUUGGUGAAAACCCACAAAGGCACCGUAAGGCAACAGUAAGCAAGGAAAUCAUAAUGAGAAAGUCUUGUUAGUGAAAACAUACACGGGUACUAUAAGGCGAUGGCGAGAAAAGAAAUGAGAAAGGUCAGCUUGUGAAAACCCGCAAAGGGCACCCCUGAUAAAAAAGAGGAUCCUCGCAGCCAUCGGCAUCGAUAGAGUCAUGGUAAGGUUUCUCAAUUUUCAGGCAAAUGUUAUAAUGAAUUUCUGAUAGUCGGACGGUUUACAUAGACAUCCAGUCCAAAAAGGUAUGUUAUGUUCAUUGAAGACCUCAUGCACUCUAGAUAAGGCCUUCUUUCUCCUCCCCCCCUAGCGAUACCUCUCGUUUAAGUUCAUUGUCCAUUCUAUUAUUUGUUUUCUUUGAACCCCUUUUGGUCUAGCUCUGUUCCGAAAAUGAAACAAAGAAGGGAUGUCAAGACUAAUUUACAGGGUUCUCAUUUGAUACAAGACAAUAUGCAAAAAGGGUACCCAGCCUUAUCAGGGGCAUCAAGGCGAACCCGACUGGCCAUGGCCGCAGAUGCUUCGAAAACAAAACUCAUGGAAGAAGAAAAUCAAAUUGAAGCCCCCUAUAAAGUCAAAUGAAGUUGAAAAUGGUUAAGUCCCACGUGGCUAAUCAUCUCGGCAAGGUUUGAAAAGCCAAGAUACCUCAAAUUCUCUGAAAUUAAAGUUGGAAGAAAGAAGCCAGAAAUGAAAGGCCUAUAAAGGGAAAAUAAAAAUGGAAAAAGGCAAAGUCCCACACGACUAGAUGUUGCAGCAAGCUUGAGGAGCCAAAAGUUCCCCAAUGCUCCAAAGUAAAAAUAAAUAAAAGAGAGUCAAAAAGGAAAGGCCUACAAAGGCUAAAUAAAGUUGAAAAAGAUUGAGUUCCACCGAACAACCUUCAUGGCAAAGUAUGGAAAAACCAGAGGUUCUCUACGGACUGAAAUAAAGUCGUUAGUCAAGGAAUGAGUGGCCGCAUUAAAGAUUAUUAUCAAAGAAUUCGGGCCGAGAUCAAGUGAUUGAAACAAUCAAGGCCACAAAACCAACCACCGUUUCAAAAUAACAAUUGUUGUAUGUUUGAAAACAGGAAAUGGGUUCAAUCCAAAACCAACCUUGCAAGAACAGGUGCAACAAAAAGAAACUAUGCCAUGGCUAAAAAUAGCUUUGCAACAAUAAUCAAUCCAAAAGGAAAGUCUCCUCCAAAUUUUUCCUGCAUUUUAUUCAUUUUCUUAAAAUUAAAAAAUGAAAAGAAAGAAGAAGAAAAUUUCAAAAUCAUGGUAGCAUAGGGUCCUACUCCCUAGGUGAUGCCAACAUAACCUGGUAAUUUUUUCCAUCGUAGGGUCCCAUUCCUAGUCAAUGCCAACAUAACCUGGUAAUUUUUUUCAAUGUAGGGUUCCAUUCCCUAGUCGAUGCCAGCAUAACCUCGUAAUCUUUCCAAUAUAGGGUCCCAUUCUCUAGUCACUGCCAGCAUAACCUGGUAGUUUUUUUCAGUAUAGGGUCUCAAUCCCUAGCUAAUCCCCGGCAUAACCCGAGGAUCUUUUUCCGGUAUAACCCGAUGACUUUCCUAGCAUAACCCGUGGACCUCCCCAGCAUAACCCGAGAACCUUUUUUUUUCCGGCAUAACCCGAUGACUUUUCCGGCAUAACCCGUGGACCUCCCUAGCAUUAACCCGAGGACCUUUUUUCUUUUCCGGAAUAACCCAAUGUCUUUCCCGGCAUAACCCGUGGACCUCUCCGAAAUAACCCGAGGCCUUUUUUCUUUUUCGGCAUAACCCAUGACUUUCCCGACAUAAAUCGUGAACCUUCCCGACAAAAUUCGAGGACCUUUUUUCUUUUCCGGCAUAACUCGAUGACUUUCUCGGCAUAACCCGAUGACCUUUUUCUUUUAUGUCAUAACCUGAUCACCUUUCCCGGCAUAACCCGUGGACCUCCCCGGUAUAAUACGAGGACCGUUUGCUUUGCCGGCAUAACCCGAUGACUUUUUCAGCAUAACCCGUGGACCUCCCUAGCAUAACCCGAUGACCUUUUUUUCUUUUCCGAUAUAAUCCAAUAACCUUUUUUUUCUUUUCCGGAAUAACCCGAUGACUUUUUCCGGCAUAAUUCGAGGACCUUUCCGGCAUAACCCGACCAUUUGUUUCAGCAUAACCUGCUGAUUUUUCCAACUUAGGGCCCCCGAUCCCUAGUUGAUUUCAUUAUAUACAAAAGGCUCCACUCCCUAUUCUCCUUUUUAAAGGAUACACAAUCAUGAUUUUAUUGAUUUCAAUAAAGAAAUAGUUUAGAUUUUAUUACAAUAACUCACGAAAAUUUUCUAAUGAAAACUGGGGCAGAAAAAGUUUCGUUCGUUUGUUUGCUUUGGUGCCUGAAAAGGUAUUUACCAUGAGGCACAAGUUUUGAGAUGACCAAAUGAAGAAGUCUCAACCUGUUACGACCCAAAACUCAGACCCGGUCAUGAUAGCACAUCUCAUGAAGACAAUGCCAGCCGACACAUUUCCAAUUCGAAGUUAAAUAGCUAACAGCAAUGAAACAGGCUAAAACAUGAUCUAAUAAUGCUAAACAACAGAUAAUAUUAUAACAAUGCCAGAGGACAACCCAAAGACAGCCAAAAUCGGGGUAGUCACUAGUCAUGAGCAUCUACUAAGGUCUAGCUACAUACGACAAAGUCUGAAAUAUAGUAAGUACAGACUAAUAGAAUAAAAUGGGAGAAAAGCAGUGCUGCGAAGGUCAACAACUACCUUGCUAAACUUUAAUGACUCCGCCUCCAAUCAACCAAUACCCGCUGCCGGGUUCAGAAAAGAAUACCUGAAUCUACACACAAGGUGCAUGGAGUAAAGUAAAUAAUCCGACUCAAUGAGUAAUAAUCCUAAAUAAGACCGGGUGAUAAGAAAUCAUGUAAGGCAUAUCAUCAUGUUGUAUAGAAGCAAAAGCAAUGAAGCUGUGAAAUCCCAUUAAAACAUCUUAGCGCAGUUUAAACUUAUUUGAAAAUGCCUUUUUUCAAUAGUUACGCAAUUGAAUGCAGAACAACUAGUGUAGAUAAGCACUGAAAUUCACCCCUCGGGCGCAAAUACACAAGUAAACAGGUAAACAAUAGGUAAACAUGAAAGAUAAACACAUAAGGUUCGCCCUCGAGCACAAUGUCAAAAACUCCGUCCCUCGAGCAAUAUCUUAGAACGGUACCAACCCCUACGGAAAUCAUAUGGAACAAUAUCAGCCCCUCGGGCAAUCACGUAGAACAAUACCAAACCCUUGGGCAAUCACAUAGAACAAUACCAGCCCCUUGAGCUAUAUCUCACAUCACAAUGGGUACCCGCAUUCACUAGGAUGUACAGAUUCCGGGAGGGCCCCCUUAUGGCCCAAGCGCAAUACCAAGCUAUCUCGUGGCAUUCCUCGACUGCAUAUCAAUAUCAAGCCACCUCGUGGCAUACAAUCUCAAGCCCUCGACCUCAUAAUCAAAAUCAGUACAUCACCGCUGCAGCAUGCAGCCCGACCCAAAGGAUAUCCUCACAAUACAGGCCAUUGGCCUUACUUAGUCAAAAAUCACAUAAGCCUUUCGGGCAACAGUAAAAUAGUAUUUCUCAACCCAAAACAUUAUUUAAAAUAUCAUUUGAGUAUUAAACCUGAGUGAACAUGGCUGAGUUGUGAAAACUGUGGAAAAAACAUGACUGAAUUCAAGUAUAAAGUCAAAACAGUGAGGAAAUAUCAACAACAAUCCCCGAAGGGUUCAAAUAAUUAGCACGAAGCCCAAAUAUGGCAUUCAGCCCAAAUAAUGACGAUAGCAAAUAGAUUUUAAUCAACUACGUGGUAAAAUCGUCAAUCGGGAUGGACUAAGUCAAAAUCCCCAAUAGUGCUCUACCUCGCGCUCUCCAUCUAGCGUGAAAGUUACCUCAACAUAGCACUACAAUGUGCAAUCCGUGGUUUCAAACCCCUCAGAACAUCAUUUACAACUAUUACUCACCUCGAUCCGGUCAAAAUUCUAGCCCGCGAUAUCUCGCCCGUAUGAAUAUAUCCUCUGGAUGCUCCAAAUCUAGCCAUAAUCACUACAUAAUCAUUAAAAUAUGCUAAGGGAACGAAGCCCACUCGAAUAUAUCCAAUUUAACAAAAAAUCUUGAAAUUGCUCAAACUCGGCCCCCAGACCCACAUCUCGAAAUCUGAUAAAAUCAACAUCAACGGAGUCCUCGCCCUCUCACUAGUCUAUACAUACCAAGAGCAUCAAAAUCGGACCUCAAAUGACCCCUCAAAUCCCAAAUUUAUACUAUCCAAAUUCAAACCCUAAUUCCUCAAUUUUAGGCUUAAUUUCAUAAUUAAAUUAGGUGGAAUUCACACAAGAAUCGAGUUUUGAGUUAAAAAAUCUUACCUCUAAAAGAUCUUCUUCUAUUCCCUCUUCAAUUAGCUCUCUCAAGCUCACAUUUCGCUCAACAAUGGAGGUUCUUUGCCUCAAAAUCGCGGAAUAGCCUUUUUAAAACAUUCUGUCUAGGCAUAAAAGUCCUUCUUCACGAACGCGGUCAAAGCCUCGCGUUCGCGAAGCAAAAAAUUACUUUGACCAAAUUUCCUUUACCGGGAACGCGCCCUACCACUUGAGAAAGUGAAUACUUGGCUCCCUACCCAAUGCGAUCGCGACUCCCCUUCCGCGAACGUGAAGGACAAAUAGAUCCUCAAACCAGCUGCUUGUUUCCCCUACGCGAGUGCUUAGCGUCCCUCGCGAAUGCAAUGCACAACAAACCCAUCCCUUUGCGAACACGGAGUCUCCCUCGAAAAUGCUAAGGCAAAAAUAUCAACCUCACCAGCUAAUCCUUCACAAACGCGAGGGCCCACUCGCAAAAGCGAAGGCCAAAUGCCUCCAACACUGAACAACAAUUUUCUGCAACUUUCCAAAACAUGAAAUGGUCCAAUUGACCACCCGAAACUCAUCCGAGGCCCUCGGGUUCUCAACCAAACAUACCAACAUAUCCCAUAACAUCAUUCAAAUUUUUUCCAACCUUCGGAAUGCUCAAAACAACAUCAAAACACCAAAAUCAAAUCGGAUUCAAGCCUAAGAAUUUCAAGAACUUCCAAAUUCCGUUUUGAUCGAAAAUCCAACCAGACCACAUCCGAAUGACCCAAAAUUUUUCACACACGUUAAAAUGAUACAAAAAAGCUACUACAACUUUUAUAAUUCCAUUCCACCUCUAUAUCAAAAUUUCACCCAUCAAUCGAAAAAUGCCGAAAUCUCAAUUUCGCCAAUUCAAGCCUACACCUUCCAUGGAUCUCCAAAAUACAUUUCGAUCAUGCUCCUAAAUCCCAAAUCACCUAACAGAUCUAAUGAAAAUAUAAAUGUUCCGACCCGAUAUCAUAUAAAAACAAGUCGAAUCUUGUCAAACCUUUCAAAUUUCAAGCUUCAAAUUAGGAACUGUUCUUUCAAAUUCAUUUUGAUCAUCCUGAACACCAAAACCAAUGAUUUACAUGAAUCAUAAUUCAUCACACGGGACAAGUCAUGUCCGAGAACUGGCGAGCAAAGUGAAAAUGAUCUAAAUAAUCGGUAAGAUCAUUACAUAACCUAAAUAAAAGAAAAGAAGAACAAGAAAAGAAGUGAACUCUAAGUGUAGAGGCGGAGAAAAGAUGUGGACUGCUUAAAACAUGAUUGAAGUCACAAGCUUUGCAUGUCCCACCUUGAUCUGAAAAGCUGAAGAAGAAUGAACCAGCGGUUGCAGCUAACGAGCAUCAAGAUUCAUGUCAGAGUCUGCAGGAAGAACCAGCCAAGACUCAAGAUCAAGCUUUAGGAGGUUUAUAGAUAGGAAUCUUAUAACUCGUAGGUUAUAGGCUUAGCUAGUUUAGCUUUCAUCUUUCAUUUUGGUGUAAUAAGGAGCUCAGCAAGCAGAAAAAAUUGCAACAAUAAGAAAAUCACAGUUUUCCGGUAAUCCCAGCUAUCAAAACUUCCAGAACUAUACUAACCUGAUUCUUUUAUAGUCAAGAAUAUGUAGGCAACUUCCGAAGCAAGGUUCGGUUAGACUUCUUCAAAAGAUGCUUCUCAUGGAGUUUCAAAUGGGCAAAAAUCACUUAUAAUUACUCACUUUAUCUUUACUCGAAAAUCCUUCGUCUUUUUGAGAAAAAAAAGGGGCAGCUGUAAGCACGCGAUUUUUGUCCUAUGUGAAAUACUCGUAUAAAAUCCAAGAAAAUAGAUUUUUUAUUUUAUUAACUAUUUGCAUUUUUGUGCACAUUUCAUUUUUAUUAAUAUCAUGAAAAAGUCAAAAAUAUCAUACAUUGUAUUUAUGUUUUGUUUUAUACUUUUUAGGAUUAAUUAGUUAAUUAAUUAUCUUGUUAAAAAUAAAAAUGACAACAAAUGACUCAUUUUACAUUUUUUUACCUUUUAAUUUUUUUUGGAUUAGUGAUUUGUCUCUAUCAAUUUGGGAUCAAGUAAUUUUUAUAAUUAUUAUAAUUAUACAAUUAGAUAGUUUUACAACAUAGGUUGAUUUAGGAAUGUAACAUAAGAUUUUUAAUUAAAGAAAAAUGAAAAAUGAAAAAAAAUAAAAGAAAAAGGAAAUAAUUGGUUAGUUGAAAAAAGAGAUUAUUGUUGAUUUUGGGCCAUUUUAAAUGCCAAAACCCGUUCUUAAAAACCACCCAAGCCCAUUUUCGCUCAACCCCCUUCCAACGCACUCCACCCAAGACCAAUGACCCACCGAUCCAUCUAACCCACCCUAUUUAAUUUAAAAUUUCAGUCGAUCAUCACCUCUAAUCUUAGUGCCAUUAUUAAUUCUCCUAUACCACAUAAAAUCCCUAUCUCCCAAUUUCCUCAAACCCUAAACCUAAUCCCUCUUCUCCCAAAAAAUGGUGCCCCAAUCCCUCCUCUGAUCUCUGCCGAAAAAUAACGCCCAAGCCACCGUGGUAUAUCCUCUCAUCCCUUUGCACGUGGUCUGACAAAUAACGGACUUGUACCAUCCGAAUCUUGCUCAUUCUCUCUCACGCGCUUAUCUUAUCCAAAAUUAAUUUGAAUACGAGAUUAGGAUGAAUUGGGGGGGGGGNNNNNNNNNNNNNNNNNNNNNNNNNNNNNNNNNNNNNNNNNNNNNNNNNNNNNNNNNNNNNNNNNNNNNNNNNNNNNNNNGGGGGGGGGGGGGGGAGUAGAAUUGAGUCUCACUCGAUCUACUCCCUCUACUUGUCUUUUACUCGUUUGAAGAGAUGGAAUUUCGAAUUUUUCUAAAAAAGGAUAAGAUUUUUUAUGACUUGGAAGAAAGAGGGGAGAAGCUUCGAAAGUUUCUAUAUAUUUGACGGUUUGUCUUGCUAAAAAGAGGGAGAGAAAAAAAUUCGACGGAUUGGAGAGUCCUCAAAUUUUGGGGUCUAAUUUUUUUUGUUUUCUUUACUGGCGAAAAAAAAAAGAAAAGCAGAAAUUUGUUUAAAUCAUCUUCUUCUAUUUUCGAUUUUUUGUUCUUAAGUCUGGAAUGAUUUGAACUUCAAAUUUAUGUUCGAGAUUGGUUCAAGCUCUAUUCACCAUUGGUUCAAGCUCUGUUCAUCGUUGAGAACAUUUUCUAAUAUCUGGGUUUUGGGAGAUCAAGUUGGUCUCGAAUCGCUUUUGCUACUGAUGUUGAUUAUUCUAGUGCACGCGGAGCUUCACUCUUCCGUUUCAGUCUUUAUUUGGGUUAAUUUUAAAUUGUAUUACUGCUGGUUGAGGUAUGAAUUUCAGUUUAAAAUGAUGUAACUAUUUUUGAAUGUCAUCUUCUCGCAUUUGUUCUACUCUAUUAUUUUUUUGUCAUAAUAACAUGUUUGUCUUCGGAUUUGCGACAUGUCUGUUUCUUAUUUGUUAUUGUUUGGAUUAUUCUUAGAAUCAAAAGAUUAAAUCCAUCCCUCAUAGCAGUACAUGUGAAUGUUUGUCCGAUGGAAGUUGAUAACUAUAAUAUGAAUAUGAUUAAUUGAACAUGGUUCUGUCGUUAAGUUUUAUUAAAUUCUGAAACCAUUAUGUUCCAAAUCUGCUAUUGUUUUUAGAUGUCAUAUGUGUCUGUUAUUGUAAGUUUUAUCAUUUGAGUUGAUUAAUUGGUUAAAAAUAAAGUCCAAAUUGGUUAUUAGUGUAAAGUGGCUAUCAUUGCAAUGUCCAAAGUGGCUGUGUGUGUAAUAAGGUUCAUCAGAGUUUAUUGAUUGAUAGAAUGGUUAUUUGGUACAAUCUGGGAUUUCUAGUCAUAUGUCAUUUAGUUUAGAACCUGAAAUUCCGGUCUUUGUAUUUUUGGAAACGUAACUGGAAUUGGUCAUUCGUGAUAUCAUUUGAACUACACUGUCGUAACUUGAAAAGGAAGUAAAGGAAUGAUAAUUUUCUUAGCUCAUUUAUUUAUUGAUGAACCAGGGGACUUAUUUUGUCUCCAAGCCCAUUCAUUAAUUGUUAAGUCAAUACCUAAUUUAAGUGUUUGUUAAAUUUUGAUGUUGGUUAGAUACUACUGUUCUUGAGAGCUUCUGUGCAUAUAACUUGGUUAAGAAAUUUAGAAAAUUGUAUUGUUUCCUUCUAUCAGCUUAAAACAUCCUUAGUGGCCAAAAUGUCACAUAUUUUUUUCAUUUUCGUUUAAUUAAAGUAAGUCAAUUAAUCAUACCCCUUCUUUUCAAAGAGCAAGAACAAAAAUAAAAAGGUUUUUUCACAUUACAGAAGGAAAAAUUUUCCACGUCUCAGUUGACGUUUCUUUGUUUUUCUCUGAGGGGUUCUCUCUAAUUGAUAUUUUAUUACCAUUUGUCAAGCUUUCAAUUUCUCUUUAAAUUUGGCAAUUUCCAGUGUUAAGCUCACGCAAUUAACUACUCGAGUAUUAGUCUUGAAGAGAAAAGUUUAAUAGGCUAUGAGUGAUGCUAAGUUAGGAGAAUGCAUAACUUUUGACCUCAUAAUAAUUCCAAAUUAGUUUUAGAAAAAAGCAUAAAUAUUCCUAGUUUUCUUUAGGUUCGACUUAGUCUAUUAUUGUGAUUAUGUAUACGUUCGCGUAACAUAAUUGCUGAAGGAAGUGGUUGAAUUGACAAACACAUUGAUAGGCGUUCUUCUUCCAAAGAACUCCUACUGGUAAAGCUGCCCGAGUGGAACUGAGAAGAUCAAAUGACCCGACAGAGCAGGAAGUGACCAAGUAAAAUUGACUACAGAACCUGCCCUUUACUGUCGUUGCUAAAGCAAACAGCCAAAGCUUUCCUGUUGAUUUCGCGUUCGAUUAGGGGCCCCUGCCCUCCAUUCUCUCAAGUACCUCUCCUCUUCCUCUGCUUGCUUUCAUGUAGUUUAUUGCUUAGGUAAAAAAGUUUACUCCGGCUAGACUUUCUUCUUCUCUUAACUAGGAUAUAGUUAAGAGAAGAAGAAAGUCCUGCUUGGGGGUAUAUAUACUAUACAAAUUGAUGAUGGUUUAUCAUCAUCAGAACAAAGAUCAGUCUAGGUCGAGAUGAAUGGAAGAUGCUUCUGGAACUCGUUUUUGAUAGGGUCUAUCUUAGCUCGAAGGAAAGAACAACCAAAGUUACACCCCAAAAGAAUAUGGAUUAAAAUCAGUUAGUAUUUGACACUAGUUUAGGCGCCGCCUUCCAGACUUCUAAAAGCGGGUGGUUUUAAGUCCAGCUUCGGAAUUACCAGGGGAACUUCUUCCAAAUAAAUCAGUCCACCUGAAGCCCCUUCCUCCAGCGCUCUCACCUGAUCCUGAGCCAGAGGCCCCCGAAGGAGCCAUCAUCAUCUGAUUUUCCAGAUCAAGACCCACAAAAACCAUUGUAAGUAGGAAACCUCCGGAAUACCACCCGAACCGACUAACAACCAAGUGAACAAGAAUUCGUUGGUAUAAGCGCCACAAUAAGAUCUCAAAAUUGAGACCAAAAGAUUGUAGUAAUAGAGAAGCGAAGCCAAGAACACCAAAAAAAAUGAGAAGGGAAAAGACCCUUCCUCGCCCCCCCUAGAAGGAGAUGAACUACCUAUAGAUUUGUAUGUAAGUGCACGAUAGGAAAUAAGAGAAAGCUGGCAUCUUUUUCCUAUCCCUAUCCCGAUGAGCCGAAACUAAAGCUCUUAUUUUCUGUUGAGUAAUAGUUCGAGAUCGCGCAUUGGAACUGAAAAGGGCUAUUCAUAAACAGUCUUCAUUCCUUUUAAUUCUACAAGUAACUCGAGAGAUACAUUCGUGCAACUUCAACCGAAAUUUUCUCAUAAAAAUAAACAAAUAAUAUUAAUUGUGGACACGUUCACGUGACAUGAUUUUUAACGCGCCAAAGGAUAAGAGUAUACGUACGCGUAACUCAAUUCUUUGAUUACGAACAAAUCAAGUGAUUAAAAACAGUAAAAAGAUAAAUGCACAUAGUUCCUAAAAAUGAGUAGUUAAACAAUUUAAUCCAAGUAAUAAUCAUUAAGUGACCGUGCUAGAACCACAGAACCCAGGAAUACCUAACACCUUCUCCCGGAUUAACUGAAUUCCUUAUCUAGAAUUUCUAGUUCGCAGUCUUUAAAUAAAGUCAAAAUUUUCUCGAUUUGGGAUUCUAAAAUAAACUAGUGACUUGGGAUAUCAAAUAAUCUAUUCCAAGUGGCGACCCUGAAUGAAACAAAUAAUCCCAUUUCGAUUUAUAUCACUUUAAUUGAAAAAGCUCCCUUAUACCCCACCCGGGUAGGUAAAAAGGAGGUAUAACACUACCCAAAACUGGAACCCACUUACCCGGUUGAAUCUUGAUUGUUUAUCUCCAAGAUCAACUGUCCAUAUACACCCUUUCCGUUUUAAUUCUAAGAGAGACCCUAACCCUAAACAUUUUUCUAAAUCCGCCUCCCUUAAACUCUCUCAUCUCCUCUCUUCUCUCUCAACCUAACCGUAGACUCUGUCAAUCGCCUCGUUCUCCGGUCAUCUCCAAUGACCACCCGUCAACCCCAAGACUCCAAUUGGUCUUUCAUCAUCUUGCUCAUCAUCUGUGAGGUCUUCAAGGGUCCUAGGUCAUGCCAAUUUAGACCUAGAGUUUCUGUUUAUGUUGUUUGUGGCUUCUCUGGUAUGAUUUUGGGCAAAAUCACCCCAUAUAUAUUAAGAUCGGUUAAGUUUGCAACAGGUUCUUUCGCUUCUAUUUGAGUUCCCUUUUAAACCCUAGCUCUCGUUUGAAUCUCUUAAGAUCUGUAUUAUUUUUAAUGCUUUAGGUCUGUUUCUUCCUUUGAUUUGCACUAUUCUCAAACUUCUUCUGAAACAUCCUCAACUUUAAAACAUUUUACUUUCUUUAAGAAUUAGGUUUUUCUCGGAGUUCCUUCUACACUUGUUCUAAUCGAUUUUUAUUUAUGAUUAAACCUCUUUCAUUGCAUAUUUUGAAUGAUACAUGUUUCUACUAUUUUUGACUUGACUCUGUAAAAAAAGCCCUAAUCUUUUAAGACCUUUUUUGCUUUGGUUCUGUGUGUUAGCAUGACUACUUGAUUUUGUUAAAGUUUUUGUUGGUUACCAUGCUUCGAAUGGAUUUUCUACUUAGUCUUUAGACUACUUAUACCACUUCUGUAUGAUUGUAUUUGCUCAUCUCUUGCGUCUUUAUGUCUAUACAACUAACUUUUCCUUUGUUGCGUCUGUUCCUGCUUCUCUAUUUAUAUGUUACAAUGUAGAAUCAUGACCCUUUCUUGAUUUGAUUCUGACUUCCUUAAUUGAUGGUUUGAUUGCAAGAUUUUCUUUCAAAACCCUAAGGUUUUACUCGUUUGUUUAAAUUGACUAAUUCCGUUUCCUUAUUUGCUGUGGUACUUCACUCUUACUGAAUCCUUUCCUUAAUUAGUAUAUUCUGUACUUAGACUCAAUCAUGAGCCCUAUACUUUUACCAUCCUUUAUAUGGUAAAAAAUUAGUCUUUCUCAAUUGAUUUUCUUUCCUUGAUUAUCCUUGUAGGUAUCCGUUCAAGAUGUGAUUCCUUGAUUAAAGGGAAGUACUUGUAUUAAUUGGAUUCUAAUUGUGAUUACUUCCAUAUUUGUGCUAAACCUUUACUUGUUACCUUAUUUUCUGCCUAUUUUCAAAACAAUAAAUACCCCAAGUCUUUCAUUAACAAAGGCAUAACACUUGGGUUUUCAAGAACUACCUCUCUUACUAAAAAUCUAUGCUCUCUCUUUCUCUUGUGCUAUGUGCUACUAUUAGCCGGCUGUAAUCCAAGUCUAAUCAUCUAUGCUCUUUGGUUCUUUCAUUCUGCUCACUUCUAUCUUCACUGGUAUGUCCUAGUUUUGAUUUAAAGCUCCAACAACAAUAUGCUUCUCUUAUUGUUUCUAUUUCUUUUAUUUUUGGCUUGCUUCUACUUGUGGUUUUGUUGUGAAACUUGUAGUUAAGUUACAUUAUCAGCAUGCUAUUAUGUCUCCCCUUCCCUUUAGAUCAAUGUAUUCCCUUAUGUGUUUCAAAGCAUGUCUUGUUAGUUGUUUUUACUUCUUAUAUGCUUAGCAUCCUAUGAAUCUCCCAAAAUCCUUAUCACCCCUUCCAUGUGUUUGUGUUCUUCCUGAAUGAUUUGUGAUUAUGCCAGUAUCUAAUGUUUCUGAGCAUGUCUAUAUCAGUCUUAAGACCCUUGCUGGGUUAUGCAGACAUACAUUUAUGUAUCCCCAAACCCAUUGACCUCUGUGUGACUACUAAAUUCAUUUGGAUUUUGAAAACUAGUUGUGUGUGAUCUUAUCUUAAGGUGUUUAAGCUUUGUUUACUACUCCAACCUCUUUUCAAACAAUCUCUGUUGCUUUACUAAUUAUUUUUAAAGUAGACUUUCCAAAAUAGUCCUUAAUAACCAUUUUCAACUUGUGUCUUGCACUUCCACUUUACUCUUAGUUAAUAGGUUUUGUCCCCUCUAGUAUGUGUACUGCCUUGGGAUCCUCUUGAGAGCCCUCUGAAUUCUAGUAUACUGAGGUUGGCCUGUCCACACUCCACUUGUUCAAUUUUUUGUUGCUAAAGUCUAGGUGUAAGCAUUGCUCGGGGUCCUUAAGACCCUUAGAGAACUUUGAUGUACCUAGACUCUGAGUUGUCUAUGGAAUUAAGGCUUAUGAGACCAUUGGAGGCUUUGAGAAGCUUGGGCCUAAUUGCAGGCUCCAUAUAGAAUAGCUUCUUAAUUUUCUAUUUCAUUUAUGUAAUUCAUUCAUUGGUCUGUAAUAAUUUGUAACAGAUGUUUGGAGUAUUUAGUAAAAAAUGUGGGUAGAAGUAGACUUUAUGGGGUAAUAUGGGUAGAAAUCCUGCUCUUAGGAUCUUCUUUUAAAAUCUAUCUGCUUUACUCAAUAGAAAAAAGGCUCGUAGGGUUUACUCUUUUAAAUCUGAUUGCUUUGCCUAAUAUAAAUCAUGGCUAUAGGAUUUCACUUCUAAUGUCGUUUGCAUCAAGUAGAAAUUAUGUUCCUAAGGUUCUGCAUUAUGUCAUGUUAGAACCUAUAUUCAUAGGCUCCAAACAAUCAUGUCUUAAAUCAGUUCAAAUAUAGAUGUCAUGCCUAUAAGAUUCGAUUUUGAUUCAGUUCUAAUAAGUCUUUCUGUGUGUUGUUACAAAUCGACUAAAAUCAGUAAUACACCUAGAUAUCAUGCCUAUGCGGAUCUAUACUUGCAAUUCUUUCUGGUAACUUAAUUUAGCCUAACAAAUCGAUUUCAUUAUGUCUAUUUCAUUUCUAAAGCUGGUCUUAUUAAGCGAUAACAUUUCCUGAAACCAGUUCUUUCAAAAUUGCAUUAGUCUCAUUAUAUACCAUGCUUAUAAGUAUUAAAGGAGUCUAUUUAGAAAAACCUUUUUGUUUCUUCAUUAAUAUAGACACAAUAUACUGCAUAUAGGCAAGCUUUAGGGCAUUUCCAAAACUGCAUUUCCCUGAAGCUGUCCCUGUCGUUUAACGUUUCUGAUUCUAAUAACUUUUAAAAGAGUCCCUAGGCAACUUAUAGGUUAUAACUUCGGGGUAUAAAAGUUUGGUCUGUUUUUGGAAGUCACUUAGAGAUCCUGCUUUAGGACUUUGAUUAAUAAAGACCUUAAUUGUGUAUGAGUCGUGAUGCUUGUAUGUUUACUUGAUGAGGAAACUUUGAGCCUCUUGUCUGCUCCUAUUAUAUGAAAGUCCUACAUGUUUUGAAUGUCGCCUUAGGGUUUCGCCUUUCUAAGACUUGGGGGUACGGCUAUAACUACCUAUAGGUAGAGGUCCUAACUCCCUCCGGGACCACUAAGAAGGGACGGCUAGCAGCACGCAAUAGGAAUCAGUAACCAAACACUCGCUUUGAAUGACCAACAAGGGGAUGGGAUGGGUAGACACGGUAUAUGAUACGCGUUAAUAUCAUGUGUCGCCCCUCAUUGAGGAGUGUCUAGUUGAUAUUGCGUGGGGUGAUCCUAUAAGAAAAACAACCUAGGACCCCUUUUUACCACCUUCUCUCUUUAUUUAAACUUUCGUCCUUUUUUUAACAACUUGUUUAAAACCUUUAUAUUACUACUUGAACCAUCUAACGUGCCUCACUAGCAACUUAUUUGAUUCAACUGCAUAUGUGGACUAAAGUGUGAAUAUAAGUUCGGACAGGACCCACAGUUAUGGACCAAGAGGGAUGCCUAACACCUUCCCCUCGAGGUUACUUCGAGCCUUUACCCUAAUCUCUGGUAAUGCAAACCAACUCAAGAGUUACUCACUCUAGGUGCCUUAACGCACCAUAAUCCGUUAGGCGGUGACUCUUCAAAUACCCAAUUUCCAAAAAGAAAUAAGUCAUUACACCCCGUGAAUGUUGAAACCCGAAUUUCUCCCUGCAAAAAAAGGGAGAAAAAAGGGGGCGUGACAACAUGGUGACUCUGCUGGCGUAUUUUUAGGCUCUUACCAUAACAAACUUAUGAAUUAGUCCAAGCAUGCUUUAUCCCGUACCUUUCUCCCUUAUUUGAAUUUAACUGUCCGUCUUUUUUAGCAUUUAUGACCUCUUUAUCCCUAAAAGUGACUUUUCUCUUUGUUUUGUUCUCCAGUAGGCAUCUUUUAAAUUAGUUCAAUACUGUAUUUAUUUUUCCUACGUGAAAAUACCUGCUACAUGUUAUUAACUACUGCAUAAAUCAUGCUCCACAUCAUAUUUCACUCGUGCAUAUCAAAUCCUAUAGCAACACUUUAAUGUGUGGUUGUGCUCUUCCUAUUUACUACCCUUAAAUUCGGAAAGGCUUAUUUGCGGUAAAACCAGUCUAUUAACGGUGCAGUCGACGGUUCUGUGCCUUCCUCCUCAAGUUGUUCGCUUGAGGACCAGUCUAAAACCUCAUAGAAACCUUACUCUGUUUAAAUUGUGCAUGCAUCAUGGUCAAACCUAGUCGGGUCAGUUAUGUUGUACACAUAACGAUCCUUUAAGAUAAGCCUUAUCAAAAGUCCAUCGGGUUUUCCGUAAUUUCAAUGGACGCAACCAUAUUUUGUGCAUUAAUUUGGAGAAAUAAAUGCCGAUAUGCUGAUCAUAAAUGUAUAAAUAGUCGAAUCCGGUCGGGGUAAGGACUAACCCUUUGUUUUGUAGAAAAUGAGGCACGAGGUCCUCAGAUUUGGUAAGGUUAGCAAUAUUCCUCCAUUGUUGCUAUAUUGGUGGGAAGAUCUCUCCUCAAGUGACUAGAAGCAUGUGAAAAAGUACCUGGGUAACUUGCCAUCCCUACUAGAUAUUGAACCAAACAACAAAUUGAUCGAGGCUGCUACCGUAUUCUGGGAUAGUGAAAGAGCAGUGUUCCAUUUCGGCAACAUAGAACUGGCACUGCUUCUAGAGGAAAUAGGAGGGCUUGCAGGGUUAACUUGGGACAGUCUUGGGCUUCUAGUGCCAGAAAAUCGUAUGGGUAGGGGAUUUUUGAAGACGAUGGGGCUGAAAAAGAAUGUUGACCUACUGUGCCUGAAGGACUCCUACAUACCUUUAGAAUACCUCUAUGUGAGGUAUGGCCAUAGCAAGUCUUUCCGCACUUACAAUGAUGAGAUCAACCUCACUUCACUGGGUCACAUCCACCGUAGAGUGAUCGUGUAAAUCGUGUGCUUUCUGGGGAUGAUAGUAUUCCUGAUGAAAAAGGGAAGAAUCCACACUAGAUUGGCCAUGGUUGCCAAAACUCUGAUGGUAGGGAUUAAUGGACGGACCUAUACCAUAGUCCCCAUGAUCAUAGCUGAUAUCUACAGGACCUUGAAGCGCUGUCAAAGAAGGGUCAAGCAUUUUGAAGAUUUUAACUUAUUGUUGCAGUUAUGGUUAUUGGAGCAUCUCUAAAAGGGUCGCUAUUGUCAAGAAUUUCCACGAAGGGCCUGGAACGACCACAUUGCUUUCCAUCACCCUAAGUAGAUGACCUACAUUUUGGAUAGAUUUGAUCAACCGAAAAGUGCCAGUGAAUGGGUAGAGUUCUUCGACAACCUGAUCGAGGGACAAGUGCAGUGGAUGGUUGAAUGGUUUCCAAUGGACGAGUUUAUUAUUAGGUCCAGGGAAACAGGUUGUACCAAGGGUCGCCAAGAUGAUCCACUUCAGGGUAGACUUUCAAGACGAUGAUGUCCCUUACAAGUGCCAAGCUCAACAUAUGUGGCACUGCAAAAACUUUGUGGAGAAAAAUACCAUUGAGUCGGACAGAUAUCAUACAUGGUGCAAGCCUCUGUAACCGACAUGGUUAGGGGAUGAUCUAAAAUGGAUGCUGACACUAGGGACCUGUCGAGGAAAUGGAAUCGUAGAUGAGGAAGCUAAAACCCAAGUCAAGUACAACAGGCUGCGCAAAAGGGUUCACGACUCUGAAAAUGAGCACUAGGAAAUACAUGAGAAGAAUGCAAUAGGAAACUAGCAUACUUGGAGCGAGGAAUAGUGGAGUUAGAUGGAAAAGUCAUAAAAAGGGUUGAAAACUGUCAGAAUAUCGAAGGAGCUGAGGGAGGACAUCUGGCCCGAGCCUACUUGCUGCUUGGACUAUGCGAGCUGGGGGAUCUAUUUGACGGAGUCUGGAAGAUCAAUUUUGGGGAAGGUCCUUCUGGCACCAAAUAGAUUAGGGUUAUUCGAUUUUCUUAAAAAAUAUAAUAAGGCCAAGUGCCAGUAGCAACUUGUUUUAUUAUUAUGUUAGUGUUGUUUUUGGAUUCGUCUACUUUUAUUUUAUAAAAUGAGGCAUUUGUUGGCGUUUGAAGUUCUUGCAUUUGUUGGCAUUAGAAGUUCUCCAAAUUUAUUUGUCUUUAGGCCUACCUCGGUCACAGCGAGGCCCCCAAAUUAGAAUGCGAUUUAAUAUUUCGCAAUAUGUGUUCAAAUACUGCAAACAUUUCAGGUUCCCCACUAACUUAUUACCUUUUGUUUUAUUUACUUUUUUAUUAUUAUUCUUAUCCCCAUAGGUUGGUUCAUCCGUACUGGCCUCGUCAGCUUAUCAUACCAGAUCUAGAGGCCCUCCUCCUCCUCCUCCUCCAAGCAACACAAAAAUCAUAGGAAAAUCAAAGAUGGACAACUUAAGUGGAAUCUGAAAGGAAAACAUUGAGAAUGUAGAGACUUUCGACGGUCGUAGUACCCCGGCCCCGAAUGACCUGGUUUUGAGACUUGAACAAAAGAUACUGGAACUGCAAGGAGAACUUGAGCAGGUCCGCAAUUUGGAAAACUUGUCACUCACCCUCAAUUUCCCUGAUAUCUACCAACAAACGCAAAGAACCCAACACCUCCUCAAAAUACACAAAACCGACAGCCGCAAAAUCCUACCAUACCAAAUCAAUACGUCACUCCACCACAAAAUAUCAAUCCAAUGCCGAUUCCAACUCUACCACAACAACAUCAACCAAUCCCGUACCGACCAAGUACCACUUACCACACUCCCUAAAAUACACCACCACUCAUUCUGGAUCCAUAAAACUCCACCAAUGACCAUAACUAUACGUGGAAACUGUACCAUAUUCGACCCAACCACUCUCCUGUGCAUCAGAACCCUAUGAAAAGGACCUGCUCAUUAAGAACAUGCCCGAAGAACUCAAAAAGUUAACAAGUCAAGUUCAAGGCGUUGAAGGCGAUAGAGGAAUAGAAGGUUUUAACUACGAAGACCUAUGUAUACAUCCCGAUGUAGAAUUGCCAGAAGGAUACAAACCUCCCAAGUUUGAAAUUUUUGAUAGUAGGGGUGAUCCCAGGGUUCAUCUAAGGACCUAUUAUUACAAUCUUGUCAGGGUUGGAAGAGAUAAAAAGAUUCGAAUGAAGCUCUUUAUGAGAAGGCUUACUAGGGACGCAUUAUCUUGGUAUAUCAGCCAGAAUCCCAAGAAAUGGUCAAAUUGGGUAAGCAUGGCAUCAGAUUUCAUGGACCGCUUCAGGUUCAACACAAAGAACGCACUCGAUGUCUUCUACAUUCAGAAUCUCAAGAAGAAACCAACUGAGACUUUCCGCAAAUAUGCUACUCGUUAGAGGUCAGAAGACGCCAAGGUCAAGCCCGCUUUGGAUGAAGAACAAAUGAAUAAAUUCUUCAUCAGGGCACAUGAUCCACAAUAUUAUGAGAGAGUGAUGGUCAUCGAAAAUCACAAAUUUGCUAAUAUAAUCAAGCUCGGGAAAAGGAUUGAGGAAGGAAUCAAGCGCGGGAUGGUAGCAAAUUUCGAGGCACUAUAGGCCACAAAUAAGGCACUACAAUCAGGUGGCAUAUCAAAGAAGAGAGAUGUUAGGGAAAUAAUGGUGGCCCAGGGCCCAAAAACUCCACUCACAUAUCAAGCGCAUCUACCUACAUACCAAGCGUCACCAGCUACAUACUAAGCAUCACCACCCACAUAUCAAUAUUCAUUUCCCCGAUAUUCCUAACCAGCCGCUAUCCAUCACACCUAUAAUUCUCAACCAUCCUACUUCCAAUCACCACCAACUCGCUAAAAUUAUCCAAGACCAAGACCCAACUUCGACCUCAAGCCACCCAAAUAAUACACCACCAUUGCUGAGCACAUUGACCAAUACACCGCCAUUGGUGAGCCUAUCGACCAAUUGUAUGAAAGUUUGAAAGCCGCAUAUUACAUUGCUUCUGUUCCCAAUGUGGCACUGUAAAAUCCAUUCUAAUAGGUCAAUCCGAACAAAACCUGUGCAUACCACUCCGGUAUGAAAGGGCACACCAUUGUUGCGUGACGAACAUUGAAGGAUAAGAUCUAUACACUCAUUGACAGCAAGGUCAUACAAGAAAAGGAAGCCAUACCUAAUGUCCACAACAAUCCCCUCCCUGAUCGUAGAGGUGAUAGUGGACAUGUUAUAGAAACAAAUGAGGAAUGGGACCUAAGGGUUCAAUAAGACUUAUCCGAGAAGGCGAUGACUCUACGGUCACAGUUAAACUUACUCCUAUCGUGGUUCAGACUCAAGCACCUAUUGAUGUGGAGGUAGCUGCAUCAGUUCCAGUCGAGGUGGAAGUAGCUCCUCCCGCAGCCACCUUCGUUCCAUUUGAAGUAGAAGAGGUUACACCUUUUAUUAUGACAGUGUAUGCCACACCUCCGUUCAACUCAAAAGUGAUACCCCUGGAUAAUGUCACCGAGGCUCGACAAAAAGGAAGACUAAGAUGGAGGAAUCUGACGCCGCACAAGGGAUAACUAGAACUGGAAGAGUCUACACACCUAAACACCUGAGAGGUUCAAGUAAGGAUGCCACUGCUAGGUAGCCUGUCAUUGAGAUUGGCCCGGAUGACCUGUGGAGGAAAGUACACGCAAAAGAGUAUUCUGUUGUUGAUCACUUGAACAAAGUCCCUGCUCAGAUAUCUAUCCUAUCACUAUUACAGAAUUCAGAAGCACACAAGAAUGCCUUGAUGAAAGUACUGAGCGAGGCUUAUGUACCAAAUAAUAUCAUUGGUGGAGAAAUGAACAACAUGGUGGGUUAAGUGCCGGAGAGCCAUAAGAUUAUCUUCCACAAAGAUGAAAUGCCGCCUGAAGGUCUGAAUCACAAUCGAGCAAUGCACAUUACAGUACAUUUUAAGUUCAUUGUGAGGAUCCUGGUUGAUGGAGGUGCUAGUCUGAAUAUUUGUCCACUGGAUACCUUGAAAAGGUUGGACAAAGAUUUCCAUGAAUUAUGGACUGGAAGCAUGAACGUGAAGGCUUUUAAUGGGUCCUAGAGGGCCACAAUCGGAGAAAUCAUCCUUUGUUUGCAGAUGGGACCAACUUGGUUCGACGUUGAGUUCUGAGUGCUUGAAAUACCAGCCUCAUAUAAUCUUUUGUGUGGCCGCCCGUGGAUCCUUGCAGCUGGAGUCGUACCCUCUACACUAGAUCAAGCCAUAAAAUUCGAAUGAAACUAUCAAGAGGUAAUCAUUCAUGGAGACGAAGUAACCCCAUCUACACCAGUCAAACCACUUUGGCCAUUGGACAUAGAAAGAGGUUAGGAGGGGAAACCUACCAUCACAUUGAACGAGUCAAUGCCAUCGAGAAGGAUAAAUGGUGGAGUAAUAAAAUAGAAAGCAUACUAGCAUGGUCCGGAUACAAACCGGGCAAGGUGUUAGGAAAGAACCUCCAGGGCAUCAACAAGCCGAUACGACUGAAAAAUCACGGUAACACCUUUGGGCUCAGAUAAUAUAUAUGUCAAGAGUACAAGGAGUGGUCGCCUCUAUGGAGUGGACCGUAUUACCCUCUUGAGCAACCGGUACCCCGUUUGGAACAAGCUUUCCAUCAGGAAGACACAAUAUGGGGAACUACGAAAGAAUAAGCACUAGCUGGGCUGAAGGAUCAGUUCUUAGAAAAUGAGGAUAUAGAUUGCAGUGCCAUAAUUAAGGAGGAGGAGGAAGAAGGCCUCACCAUUCAGACUGUGGCAAAAGGAGAUGUUCUCAGAAACUGGACCGUCACACCAUCUCGAGCCCGCCGAGUCCCUGGGUAGCUUAGCAGAAUUUAUAGCUGUUCUAGGCAUUUAAAUUUUCCAGAAAUUUUGUUUAAAGAUUUCUCUAUUUUAAAUAAAUGCUCGAUCCACCGAGCCAAGCUUUUGCUUGAAAAAUUUUCUCAGUUUUAAUCAAACAUAUAUUUUCUUUAUCAUUAUUCAUUACUAUUUUUAUGCUUUUCCCUUCUACAGUGUUAUCCUUACUUUUCCUGAUGAACCUAUGAUUGUGACAUGUAAUGAGGCAACGCAAUAUGAGAACAAUGACUUAGAGGAAGAAUAUGAGAUACUCGAGAAAAUUGUCAGGGAAGUUGAGAAUUUUGAGAAGAAGCCUAAGUCCAACCUGGACGAAACAGAAUCAAUAAAUUUGGGAGAUGCCGAGAUCGUCAAGGAGACUCGCAUCAGCAUUCACUUAUCAUUAAUUGAGAACGAAUGGUAUAUCCAUUUUCUAAAGGAAUACGAGGAUAUCUUUGCAUGGUCGUAUGAUGAUAUGACGGGUUUAAGAACAUCUAUAGUAGCUCACAAGUUGCCUACCAAUCCCAUGUGUCUGCCAGUCAAGCAGAAACUCAGAAAAUUCAAACCAGACAUGAGUUUGAAGAUGAAGGAGGAAGUUACCAAACAGAUCAAAGCUAAGGUUCUCAGGGUGGUUGAGUAACCAACUUGGUUAGCUAAUAUCGUGCCAGUUCCAAAGAAAGAUGGGAAGGUAUGAGUAUGUGUUGAUUAUUGGGAUUUAAAUAGAACAAGUCCUAAAGACGACUUCCCGCUGCUGAAUAUACAUUUCUUGAUUGAUAACUGCACCAAGUAUGAACUCCAAUACUUUGUAGAUUGCUUCGCAGGUUAUCACUAGAUCUGGAUGGAUGAAGAAUAUGCCGAGAAGAUAGCUUUUAUUAUACCUUGGGGUGUAUAGUGUUACAAAAUGAUGCCAAUCUGAAGAAUGUUGGGGCUACUUACAUGAGAGCCAUGACAACCGUUUUCCAUGAUAUAAUACACAGAGAAAUAGAGGAAUUUAUGGACGACGUUAUUAUCAAAUCCAAGAAGAUCACAGAUCACAUAGCAGACUUGAGGAAAUUCUUCGACAAGCUAAGGAAGUACGAUUUGAAGUUGAACCCAACAAAGUGUGCAUUUUGGGUUCCUGCAGGAAAGUUAUUGGGAUUCAUUAUUAGUCAUCGAGAUCGAGCUAGAUCCGACUAAAGUCAACGCUAUUCAGGAGUUACCACCACCCAAAAGCAAAAAAGAAGUGAUGAGCUUAUUGGGACGACUCAACUACAUCAGUCGAUUCAUAGCCCAGUCCACUGUUAUAUGUGAACCCAUCUUCAAGAUGCUGAGGAAGGAUAUCGAGAUAAGUCGGAUUGAGGAUUGUCAGAAAUCUUUUGACAAGAUCAAGGAAUCCCUAUCCACACCACCAGUUCUGGUCCCGCCUGAACCAGGACGAACUGUGCUACUAUCUAUUUAGAUUGAGCCUUUGGAUGUGUUUUAGGACAACAUGAUGAUACAAGAAGAAAGGCGCAAUCCAUAUAUUACAUGACUAAGAAAUUCACACCUUAUGAAGCACGUAUUCUCUACUUGAACACACUUUUUGUGCUUUGACCGGUUAGCCCAAAAAUUCAGGCAUUAUUUCUGUGCCUACCCUACGUACCUCAUAUCUAGGAUGGAUCCUCUGAAGUAAAUAUUUCAGAAGCCCAUGCCUGCGGGGAAGUUGGCUAAAUGGCAGAUACUACUAAGUCAGUUCGAUAAUGUCUAUAUAACUCAAAAGGCAGUCAAGGGACAGACAUUGAAAGAUCACCUCACUAAAAAUCUGGUAGGAGGAGAAUACGAACCCUUGAAAAUGUAUUUUCCUACUGAAAAAUAUCAUUCGUAGGAGAAGACAAUACAAAAUCAUAUGAUAGUAGGAGAAUGUUAUUUGACGAAGCCGCAAAUUUCAAAGGAGUAGGCAUUAGAGCAGUCAUGGUAUUGAUAUUAGGCUAUAUAGACAAUCUUUACACCUUAAUAUUUCCAUGCUUUAUUGUUAUUUUAUAGGUAAAUUUCCAACAAAGUUCUCUAUAUGGUGUUCUUUUGUUUCGCAAGGAAUGUUCUAAGUGAGAAAGCACCACAGAGUGUUUUGGAGGCAAUAACGUAAAGAAAACACCUACUCGAGAAGUACCCAAGCACAAAGAAGCGAGAGAAUGGCCUGGAAAAAUUCCACCUCGACCGCAAUGAAACUGCGGUGGAUUAAAACUCGAGCUAGAAAGAUUAGCUCUGACUGCGGUCGAGCCGUGGUCUUGCCGCGACCGCAGUGCACUAUUCACGGAUUAGGAAGUUUGAGGACCAAAGUGUAAAUUCAAGAAAACUUGUUCUAAACCCUUAUAAGCUCGCCCAAGAAUGUUUUCAAGAUUGUUUUUAGACUACUUUGGAGGAAGAACAAUUGUGAGAAGAUCAACCAAACAUUUGAGUUUUUCUAUCUCUUUUAUUUUCUUGCAAUUACCCAGUAUGAAUAAUUUAGUAUUUUCAUCUUGUUUUGUCAUGAGUAGUUAAUUCCUUAGUCUAGGGUUUUGAUGGAACCUAUUGAAGGAUUAACUUCUUGAUUAUGUUAAUAUAGUUUGCCAGUUUAAUCUCUAUUUGUUCAGCUACGUGCUUGUUGUAGUUAAUUGACAGGAUCCUCAAUUAGUUGUGCCUAUUUAGUGUACAUGACUCGGGAUAGAGUGCAUAUUUAAGUAAUUAUUGAACAACACCACUCCUAAGGUAUAAGAGGGAUCUAUAGCUGUUGUUUUAAAGGCGGGAUUAUGGAUAACGAAUUCUUGGGUGCAAUCUAAAGUGAGCUAAAAUAAACAAUGCAGCUAGCGUAACUCGGGAGAGAGAUUCUAGUAAAUUAUCGUAAUUACUCAGGAGAGAUUUACGGUAAGAGGAGCGUUCAUGAUUGAUAGAUAUGAUUUGGUGAUUUUAUGUGAAGCAUAACCAGAAGGGAUUCCAUCAAUAAGGAAAAUCAUAGCCUUAGAACUUUCUCCUAAUUGUUUACACUUUAAUCAUUGUUAGUUUGCAGUUAUUUAUUUACUGUCAAUCAUAGUUAGUAAUAAUACUAUCAAGUGUUGUUGACAACAUUUGAAAAAUUGAUUCCACAAAAUUUAGUAAGUCCAACAAAAAUUAUUGAUAGGUCAAUUCCUUGUGGGUUCGACUCUGGGCUAAAUACUCAGAUUAUACUUGCAACUUCCGCGUGUCCUUUUUACAAGGCAUAGUUGGGCAUGAUCCAAUUUUGGCACCAUUGUCGGGGAAUUAACAGUGUUAUCAAUUACUAUUAAAAGAAGUACAAAAAUUCUUAGUGUAGUUAGUUUUCCCUAUACCCAAUCUUUAAAUUGAAAUGUUAACUUUUGUUGACUGGGUUGAAUAGGUGUAUGCCUAGAAACUCACCGAGAACUGGUAAAGUACUUGAAGUAUUAUCAGAUCCCGAGAGAGUUUUCAAGGCCUUGAAUCGGGCCAACCGAAAGAACAAACAACAACAAACAACUGAAUAAUUCGAAACAGACAUGGGAGAUCACGAUGAGAACCGAGCUGUAUCAAUAGUGGCAGAGGCUGCUAUCUAUGACUGGGCACAACCCACAGCUGAAAAUCUGGCCACAACGAUUGUAGUCCCGUAGAUACAGGCAGAAUCUUUCCAAAUCACGAAUAACAUGGUGUAGUUGUUACAGAACAAGGGACUAUUUUUGGGGUCACAAGUUGAAGAUCCUCAGCAGCACUUGAAGAAUUUCUUGUCAAUCUACAAACCCAAAGGCAGCCCAACGUAACUUAGGAAGCAAUCAACUUGUUGUUGUUCCUAUUCUCAGUGACAGGAGUUGCUCAGACCUGGCUAAACUUACUCCCCAUAAAUUCCAUAAGAACUUGGGAGGAGUUUGUCAAUCAAUUGCACAACAAGUUCAACCCACCCAACAAGACUGCUCAAAUAAUGUAAUUUUGAGUUUUAAACAAAGACCAGCAGAGACACUGCAUGAAAUAUGGGAAUGCUUCAAAAAGAUACUGAUUAUAUGUCCACACCAUGGUAUUCCAGAUCUGAUAUUAGGGUAGUAGUUUUACAUGAGAUUGUUAGAUAGUGUAAAGAACAUAGUUGAUGCUUUAGCUGGUGGAGCAUUUUUGAGGAAAAAAUGGGGAGAGGGCCAGAGUCUUCUAGACAAGAUGGCACAAAAUUCUAGAUGGAAAACCAGGAAUGCACCUAUCACCCUAGUGGUUCACUUAGUGCCCCUAGAUCCAUCCAACUCUAUGGCUGAAAAUAUAGCAACCUUAUUAACACAGAUGAGUAUACUCACCAAAAAGGUGGAAGAGUCAGGGCAGAAGUAGCAACUACACAUAGUAGAUACUACCAAUGGGGGCUUGUGCGCAUCUUUCAUUAGCCAACCAAUUGGUAACCAGUGGAAUGCAGAACAUGAUCAUCAUCACUACCCUAAAGACAUGAAUUAUGUGUCUAAUUAUAGAGGCCAGAUAGAGGGUGGUCAAAAUUGGGUUCAGCAGCAGCAGCCAUACAUGCCAGUCCAGUCACAGUUCAACAAUGAAAACAUGGGAGGCAUGAGACCCUCUAACAAUAUGGCACCUUGCCCAAGGCCACAGGGAUAUAACAAUCAAAAUCAGCAGCAGGGUAUCACCCUACUCAACAGCAGCAUGGUGGAUGGCAGGAAGAUGGGUUUGCUAGACUUGAGGUAAUGAUGCAGCAGGUUAUUGGGUCGAAUGCAAAAAUUAUAAGAGAGUAGAUGCACAUGAUUCAACUCAAGAAUAUUGAACUGUAUAUGGGACAAAUUUUGAUGUCUAUGAAAAAUUGUCCUCAUGGGACAUUACCUGUAGACACCCAGAUAAAUCCAAAAGAUCAAGGCCCAAAGCAGUUGAUGAUUGUGAGUCUACAUAACGAUAGAGAUUUGGAUAUAGAGCAUGAGAGAGCUCGAGAAACUAGACAGACUGAGACACUCAUACUAGUGCCAUUGAGCUGGAUGAGGCAACGAAACUAAGAAAGAAGUUGAGCAACCCAGGAAGAAAAGACUGAUAGAGCCGACAGUCAAGCCUACCCAGGAAGAAAAUAACAUUCAGAUUGAGACUGAUAGAGCCGACAGUCAAGCCUACCCAGGAAGAAAAUAACAUUCAGAUUGAGACUAAGAAAGAAGCUGAGACAGCCCAGGAACCAGUAGUUGAGGUGACAGCUGAUAAAGAUCAAGCCCAAAUUAUUAGGAAGAAGAGACCUCUUGCACCAUUCCCUUAGAGGCUAGCUAAGUACCAAAAAGAGGAGCAAUAUAAGAAGUUCUUGGAGAUGCUGAAACAAAUCCUGGUAAAUAUUCCAUUGAUUGAUGCUUUGAAAGAGAUGCCUGGGUAUACAAAAAUGAUGAAGGACUUAAUUUCCCGAAAAUUCAUUUUCAAGACUUGGCCAUAGUUACUCUUACUCAGACCUGCAGUGCAAUGGUGACUAGACCAAUUGCUAAGAAGCUGUCUCACCCAGGAUGCUUUACAAUUCCAUGCACGAUUGGUAAUUUUGCUAUUGCUAAGGCACUGUGUGAUAUAGGGUCCAACAUAAAUCUUAUGCCCCUAGCGAUUUAUAAGAGGCUGGGGAUUGGAAGAGCAAGACCCAUCUCUAUGUUGUUGCAACUAGCUGGCAGGAUUGUAAAAAGACCCUAUGGUAUCCUAGAUGAUGUAUUGAUUCACGUAGGGAAAUUUGUGUUCCCUACAGAUUUUGUGAUCUUAGACUGCAAAGUGGGGAUGAGGAGAUUCCCAUAAUUUUGAGAAGUCCAUUCUUAGACACUGGGAGAGCUCCCAUUGAUUGUGAGACCAGGGAGCUCAAGAUGAGAUUGAACGACGAAGAGAUAACAUUCAAUGUGCAGAAAUCUAUGAGGCGACCAAGUGAAUUCACCAAUUGCUCUCUGGUUGAUGCAGUGGAUGUAAUCGUAGAGACUGAUGAUGAGAUGCUGACUAUUGAGGACCCUAUUGCUGCAUGUUUGAUGAAUUUAGAUGAGGUGAAUGGACAAGAACUUACAGAAUAGGUGUUGGCGUUAGAGGGUAUAGGGUUCUGGGAUAGAACUCUUGAAUUUGAGCCCUUGCACUUGGAAAAUAGAGAAACUCCUCCAGCCGAACCAUCUAUCGAAGAACCACCAAAGUUGGAGUUGAAGCCACUGCCCGCCCAUCUUAUGUAUGAGUUCCUUGGACCUGAAUCCACAUUACCUGUUAUUAUCUCAUCUAGUUUGUUAGAUGUGCAGGCACAACAAAUCUUGUAGGUACUCAAGGAGUGUAAGACUGCCAUUGGGUGGACCAUGGAAGACAUAAAGGGGAUCAACCCGCCUACUGUAUGCAUAAAAUUCUACUGGAAGAGGGACACAAACCUUCUAGGGAACACCAAAGAAGGCUGAAUCCCAACAUGAGGGAAGUGGUGAAGAAAGAAGUGAUAAAGUGGCUAGAUGCGGGAAUCAUUUUCCCAAUUUUUGACUGUAGUUGGGUUAGCCCGGUUCAAUGUGCACCUAAAAAGGGUAGCAUGACGGUAGUUAAGAAUGAUAACAAUGAAUUGAUCUCUACGAGAACUGUCACGGGCUUGAGAAUUUGCAUGGAUUAGAGGAAGUUAAAUCUAGCCACCCGGAAAGACCAUUUCCCACUUCCCUUCAUUGAUCAGAUGUUAGACAUGUUGGCAGGAGGUCAUACUUCUGUUUUAUGGAUAGGUACUUAGGGUACAAUUAGAUCUUCAUUACACCAGAGGACAGAGAGAAGACUUCCUUCACUUGCCCGUAUGGCAUUUAUGCCUUUCGUAGGAUGCCCUUUGGCCAAUGCAAUGCACCCGCCACAUUCUAAAGGUGCAUGAUGGACAUCUUCAGUGAUAUGGUAGAGGACAUAAUGGAGGUGUUCGUGGAUGAUUUCUCAGUAGUGGGGAACUCAUUUGAUGAGUGCCUUAUAAAUUUGACUCGUGUGCUGAAACGGUAUAUCGAGAAUUGAUUGGUUCUAAGGUAGUUGUAUACACUGAACAUGCAGCUCUCAGGUACUUGAUUGAGAAGAAGGAGUCUAAGCCGCGCCUGAUUUGUUGGGUGCUGCUACUGCAAGAAUUCAACCUCAAAAUUCGUAAAUGUAAGGGCACAAAGAACUAAGUCGCUGAUCAUGUAUCACAACUUGAGGUAGCUAAAAAUUCAGUUGAGGUUGAGGAUAUCCUGGAAACCUUCCAGACGAGCAGCUGCUCGCUACUAGUUUUGAGGAAGCGCCAUGGUAUGCAGACUUUGCAAAUUACUUGUCCUGCAGUAUAGUUCCCUAUGACCUUUCAUAUGUACACAAGAAAAAAUUUUAUCGUGAUAGUCGCAUGUAUUAUUAGGAUGAGCCUUAUAUGUAUAGAGUAUAUGAUCCGGAGGUGUGUCCCCAAGAUAGAACAAUCUUCUGUUUUGCAGGCUUGUCAUGCAUCGACGUAUGGAGGACAAUUUGAAAGGGUCAAGACAGUUGCAAAAGUGCUAGAGGCCGGAUUCUUUUGGCCAACAAUGUUUAAAGAUACGCACUAAUGGGUGAAGGGAUUCAAUGAAUGUCAGUGGACCGGGAACAUUUUCCUUUACCAUCAGAUGCCCAUGAACCUGAUUCAAGAGGUGGAAGUGGUUGAUGUUUGGGGGAUUGACUUUAUAGGUCCUUUCAUCAGCUCCUUUGGUAAUAAGUGCAUACUCGUUGUUGUGGAUUACGUGUCCAAACGGGUAGAAGCUGCACUGUUGCUUACUAAUGAUGCACUAGUGGUAGUGGGAUUUUUAAAGAAGAACAUAUUCACCUGAUUUGGGACACCAAGAGCUAUCAUCAGCGACGGAGGCACCCAAUUUUGUAAUCGAGUCUUUGAAAAGUUUCUAGCGAAGUAUGAUGUGCGUCACAAACAAUUUGACAGGUGGAAGUGUCUAAUAGAGAGAUAAAAAGUGUAUUGACCAAGACUGUAAACACCACAAGAACUGAUUGGGCGAAAAAUCUAGAUGAUGCACUCUAGGCUUAGAGAACUGCUUUUGAAAUACCAAUUGGUAUGUCACCAUAUAAGUUGGUGUUCGGAAAGGCCUGCCACUUGCAAGUAGAACUUGAGCAUAAAGUGUGGUGGGCAAUGAAACAGCUGAACCUAGACAUGGAGGCUACAUGCACAACAAGAGUCACUGAAUUGCAUAAGCUCGACGAGUUCAAACAUCUUGCUUUUGAGAGCACAAGGUUGUACAAGGAGAGAAUGAAGUGGUUGCACAACCAGAACAUUUUUGAGAGAUAUUUCAAACUUGGGUCAUGGUAUUGCUCUACGACUCAAGAUUGCGGUUGUUCCCUGGUAAGCUUAAGUCAUGAUGGUCUGGCCCAUUUCGGGUGGUAGAAGUAUUCCCUUCGGGGACUGUGGAAAUUGCCUCAGAGAAAGAUUCUCACACAUUUAAGGUCAAUGGGCAGAGAUUGAAGCUAUACAUACGCAUGAAAGUACGAAAGAAAGUGUCAGAGAUUCAACGACGGAACCUCAUAGGUCGAGCGAGCCUUAAAUGCGCUUGUCUGCAUCAUGCCGCGACAUUAAAUUGGGUGCUGCAUGGAAGGCAACCCACGAAUGUGUCGUUAGUAUAUUCUCCUAUAAUUUUCUCUAAUUAAAAAAAAAUAAAAUAACUGGGAGUCACUACGGCCGCCAAAGAACCGCAGCAAGACCGUGGUGAGAGGCAAAUAUUCUGCCUCGUGGAAUUUACCUCACCGCGGUCGUUGCAGGACUACGACAAACAGCAGUGAGACAAAAAUAUUUUGCCUCAGAUGUUCAAACCCACCGCGGCUGCAGUGGGAUCGCGGUCGACCGCCGUGGGUACCAGGCAUUUUUUAUUUUUUUUUGUUUUUCAUUUUUUUCCUUCUUCUUUUAAUUUUAUAACUCCUAAUAUCAACCCCUCCUAAAAUAUCCGUUCCUCCCCCCCCCUAACAAUAUGGCACCUUGCCCAAGGCCACAGGGAUAUAACAAUCAAAAUCAGCAGCAGGGUAUCACCCUACUCAACAGCAGCAUGGUGGAUGGCAGGAAGAUGGGUUUGCUAGACUUGAGGUAAUGAUGCAGCAGGUUAUUGGGUCGAAUGCAAAAAUUAUAAGAGAGUAGAUGCACAUGAUUCAACUCAAGAAUAUUGAACUGUAUAUGGGACAAAUUUUGAUGUCUAUGAAAAAUUGUCCUCAUGGGACAUUACCUGUAGACACCCAGAUAAAUCCAAAAGAUCAAGGCCCAAAGCAGUUGAUGAUUGUGAGUCUACAUAACGAUAGAGAUUUGGAUAUAGAGCAUGAGAGAGCUCGAGAAACUAGACAGACUGAGACACUCAUACUAGUGCCAUUGAGCUGGAUGAGGCAACGAAACUAAAAAUACCUAUCUUCUUCUUCUUCUUCUUCUUCUUCUUCUUCAAUCAUUCCACUUCCACCAUCUCCAUUCCUCUCACCCUUUCUCCAUUAAGGUAUGUAGCAUCACCUCUCCCCUCUCUUUUCUUGUGUAUUGUGUUGUAGUUUAUGAUUAGUUUCAUGUUAUAAUGGGUUGUAAUUGUUGGUAGAUUUGUGUUAGUUUCUUCUUGUUUUUCUUCUUUGAAUUUCAUUUUUGAGACUGAUUGAUGAAGGGGCUGUGUGUUUAUUAUGGUGGAGAGGUGUAUAUUGGUAGGUGUUGCCUGACGUAUUUUUGGGUGUGAUGUUGUAGUAUUAUCUUUGAUGUGGGCAAAGUUUUGAUGUACCCAUGUGGUCUAUAUGUGUUAGGAUAGUGCCUUGCCCACAAGAUGUUUAAGAAAUUCCCUAAUGGAGUUAUAAGGGCUAAUAUGACAUGGUUGUGGUGAAGUCUGAGUAACCACCCAUAGUCACACAUUUCACGCACUCACUAAUAGGCGUUUCUCUAUUUGACAGGUAAAAUGAGUUCAUCUAGGAAGAGAUGCACCAUCGGGCCCUCCACUAGUGGACCAGGAAGCUCCUUGAGAGGUAGGGGCAAGCUAAUGCACCACAGUUUUACAAUACUAGGUUUGUCUCCCAAGCGGCGGAAGCCAGGUACAAUGCAAAGGCGGCAAAGAAAUUGAUACAUGAGGUGCAUAUUGACCACCAAGCCUUAGAGGUGGAAUGCCCAAAUAUCUUCACUGAGUUGAGGAGGUGUCAGAUCGACAUCUUCUUCGAGAUACCGAAGGAAGCUAAUGUCAGAUAGUACGAGAGUUCUAUGCAAACUUCCCAAAAAAUAAGGAGGGGAUUGUUACUGUUAGGAAUAUACUGGUAAAAACGUCCAUUGAGGCCAUCCGUAGGGUGUACUGAUUGCCAGUGUUUAGGGGAGAUACUGAUGAUUAUCGCACUUAUAGCUCAACAUGAUCCUUAUGGUGUCCUAUUCUUGAGAUUAUUUGUGUGCCCGACAGGGAAUAUACUUGAUAAAGCCCAGGAUCACACUUAACUCCCAAUCUCUCAAUUGAGAGGCUAAGUGUGGGCUCAUUAUUAUCAACAAUCGUUUGUUUCCCUCCAACAACAUGACUGAUGUCAAUCUACCACGGGCGGCUGCUAUUUACUAUUUGGCACACAUGGAUUUUGAUUUGGCCAGGCUUCUCCAUGAAGAGAUGUUCAUUAGUUCACCCGAGUUGCUCAAAGGCUUCUACUUCCCUUCUCUAGUCAUCAGGCUGUGCCGCCUUGCUAGAGUCCCUGAAGACCCUCGAAUUGAUGGGAAGUUAGCAAUGAAAGCACCGUUCCUAGCUAGAAAAAUUAGAAUUGGGAUGGAGCCAGUAGUGAAUGUUGAUGAGUCUGAUGAUGAUGAUGAUGAUGAAGUACUGCGGUCCUCCCACCUCCAAAAGUAGAUGAGGCAUGCCGAUCACAGGCCCAUCGGAGCACCCACAUGAUAGCUUUGGAGCAAGAGCUGGUUGGGUUGCGUACCUCAGUCACUGAUUUGGGUGCCCGUGUAGACACGGUGGCUGACCGGCCGGUGAAGUCGGAGAAGAAAUUCUUGGGCUGGCGGAGAGCUCUGGGUCGUGCUUGUAACGUGAACCCAGACACUGUCUCUGAUUAUGGGUGAUCCUUCAAGGAAGUUCCUUUACCUCACAAUUCUUUUGAAUUCUUAAGCCAUGAGGACAUGUCUUCAUUUUAAGUAUGGGAUGGGGAAUACUUCAUUGUAUGUGUGUAAUUAUAGCAAUUGAUGCUUUGAUUUUAUUGUGUUUUGCUUUGCUUUGAUUGUUUUGGUGUUUGAGUAAUAGUUUAAUAGGUAAGUUAAAAUAGUAAGUGAUGCGUCCCGACGACGGAUCUCUUUCAGCGGGGUACUUGAGGGACUAUGUCAAAAAAUGGAAUAUGAUGACUCUUCCUGAUGAUGGAUCCAUUAGACAAUUUUCUUGAGGGAAGUUAGUCUAGAGAAAAUAUUAAAAAGAUUUUUUCUUUUAUUUUAUUUUUAGGUAGUGUAGUAACUCCCCCUUGGUUUUUCUUUGGGCCACGGUUCUUUUCCAAGGGUUUAGCUUGAACCAGGUGUAGCUAGUUUUUGUUCAUUUUAUUUCUUUUUAGUUUUUAGAUUACGAUUAAUGGGCUACAAGCAUAAGUCAAAGGAGAAAACCUUACCGUUGAUACACCUAAACACAAUAGACACUAGAGUACGCUUAGUCUCAAUGGUUGAAUCUUGCUAAAGUGCCUUAAAAUUAUAUUUUUGCAUCUAACGUGAACAUUCAAAAGAGAAUUUCUUAAUAAAUCAAUUCGGAGUGAGUCAUGUUCCAUGUGUAUAUGAGUUUUACUGCAUUCCAUGAUUCACAUUUGAUGCCUAGAACGUGCUCUAUGUGUUUGCAAAGUGAAAUAGUAGUUUCACUCAGUUUUAGAAGUGAUAUACGCAUUUCUUGUUGAUACAUACAUAUAAAAUAAGUCCACCUGAAUGCAAUACAUCUUAGUUAACCUCGUUGAGCCUAUAAGCAUGUUUCUUUGGCAAGCACUUUGCGAACCUUACCCAAUUGUUUGAAUAGCCUACCGUUCGAACCUUUUUACCUCCCUUAAGAACUUGAAUGGUAUUGAAAAUAUGCAAAAGCAAAAAUGUGGGGUGGUGGUUUGGUUUUUGAGAGGAAUCAUUGAAAUAGAGAAAAGGUGCUGAAUUUUGAAGCAUAAAAGAAUAAGUACCACGAAAAAAAAAAGUUAUAAAUAAUUAUAGUGGUUAAUACGUGGUAGCUUGUACAAAUUGAACCUAAUGGAUGGGGAUGUUUCAAAUAAAUAUGGUGGAUUGUUUGGUUGACACAAGUAUGGUCUUGAAGGUUAAUGUAAGUGUAUUAAAGUGCUUAGGGAGGUUAGUCACUAUAUCUAAAUAUAUCCUACCCGUACCUAAGCCUACAUCACAACCAAGUGAAGUCUUAUUGAUCUUAGAUUGAGUGGGCUCGAUUAGUAGAGUAUUACAAAACGGGCAAGCUUAUGUUACAUCUUUGUGGCAUGUGAAUGUUCUUUGUGAGAGUGAGCGCAUUUUAUCUAUCUAAGUUCCUAAUUGUUCUAAAUAUCAUCAUAUGUGGAAUUACUCUCUUGUUUGCUGUGAGGGCAUGUGAUUCACAAAUGAAAGGUAAGUCUUGACUCUUGUAUAUAGUGGCUUAAGUAAGUGCAAAUGUUGCAUGGUACAAAAGAUUUGACUUUUGAGGUAAAGGUUGUUCACUACUAGGUGCAACUUUGGUAAAAUGUUCAAGGUAUGAGUUGUUAAGGGGAAAGCUUAGGGAAGAAACGUUGAUGGAGUGUGGUGGAUUGCUCGAGGACUAGCAGUGAUUUAAGUGUGGAGUGUUGGUAUUAGAUUAUGUAGAUGAUAUUUACACCAUUAUAUUACCAUGCUUUAUUGUUGUUUUAUAGGUAAAUUGCCAACAAAGUGCUCUAAAUUGUGUUCUUUUGUUUCGCGAGGAAUGUUCUAAGCGAGGAAGCACCACAGAGUGUUUUGGAGGCAAUAAGGUGAAGAAAACACCCACUCGAGAAGUACUUGAGCAAUAAAAAGCAAGAGAAUGGCCUGGAAAAAUUCUACCUCGACCGCGAUGGAACCAUGGUGGGUUAAAACUCGAGGAAGAAAGAUUAGAUCUCACCGUGGUCGAGCCACUGUCUUGCCACGACCGCAGUGCACUGUUCACGCAUCAGGAAGUUUGGGGACCAAAGUGUAAAUUCGGGAAAGCUUGUUCUAAACCCUCAUAAGCUUUAGAAGCUCGCCCAAGAUUGUUUUCAAGCUUGUUUUUAGAUUACUUUGGAGGAAGAACAAUUGUGAUAAGAUCAACCAAACAUUAGAGUUUUUCUAUCUCUUUUAUUUUCUUGCAAUUACCCAGUAUGAAUAAUUUAAUAUUUUUAUCUUGUUUUGUCAUGAGUAGCUAAUUCCUUAGUCUAGGGUUUUUAUCUUGCUUGUUAUAGUUAAUUGACAGGAUACUCAAUUAGAUGUGCCUAUUUAGUAUGCAUAACUCGGGAGAGAGUGCAUAUUUAGGUAAUUAUUGAACCACACCACUCCUAAAGUAUAAGAGGGUUCUAUAACUGCGGGUUUAAAUGCGAGAUUAGGGAUAACGAAGUCUUGGGUGCAAUCUAAAGUGAGCUGUAAUAAAUAAAGCCAGCUAGCGUAACUCGGGAGAGAGCAUCUAGUAAAUUAUCGUAAUUACUCAGAAGAGAUUUACGGUAAGAGGAGCGCUCAUGAUUGAUAAAGAUGAUUUGGUGAUUUUAUGUGAAGCAUAACCGGAAGGGAUUCCAUCAAUCGGGGAAAUCAUAGCUUUCGAACCUUCUCCUAAUCGUUUACACUUUAAUCAUAGUUAGUUUUAAUUAUUUAUUUACUGUCAGUUAUAGUUAGUAGAAAUACCAUCAAGUGUUAUUGACAACGUUUGGAAAAUUGAUUCCCUAGAAUUUAGUAAGUCCAACAAAAGUAAUUGAUAGGUUAAUUCCUUGUGGGUUCGACUCUAGGCUAAAUACUUAGAUUAUACUUGCAACGUCUGUGUGUCCUCUUUAUAAGGCAUAGUUGGGCGUGAUCAGGUAUCAGAAAUGUGUCAGCAUUAUCCGGUAUCUUCUAAACUCAAAUUUCCUGCACCAACAACAUGACAGAAUAUGAAGCCUGUAUACUAGGGCUCAACAUGGUAGUCGACAUGAACAUUCAAAAGCUGUUAGUGAUCGGCGAUUUAGAUUUGCAUGUGCACCAGGUACAAGGAGAAUGGGAAACCAAGAAUACCAAGAUAUUGCCAUAUCUGCACCAUGUGCAGAAUUGGAAAAGAGGUCACGAAGAUAGAAUUUUGAUAUGUGCCCAGAAUUCAGAAUGAGUUUGCCGAUUUAUUAGCUACUUUGUCAUCAACGAUACAAUAUACAGACAAGAACUUUAUUGAUCCUAUUCCGAUGAGGAUCCAUAAUCAGCUAGUAUAUUGUGCUCAUGUCGAGGAAAAAGCAAAUGGAAAUCCUUAGUUCUACGAUAUCAAGGAGUACUUAUCAGAAGGAUAAUACCCGGAGCAUGAAAAUCACAUUCAGAAAUGCAUGCUCCGGAGAUCGUCAAAUCACUUCUUCCACAUAGGGGGAACUUGUACAGAAGAACUCCAGAUUUGGGUUUCCUAAGGUGUGUCAAUGUAAAGGAAGCUUCUAAGCUACUUGAGGAUAUGCAUGCUGUGACAUGUGGCCCAUAUAUGAAUGGUUUCGUUUUAGCCAAGAAAAUACUCAGGUUAGGUUAAUUUUGGAUGACCAUGGAGAUGGAUUGCGUCCAGUAUGUCCUUAUAUGCUUUCAAUGUCAAGUGCAUGCCGACAUGAUAAAGGCGCCGCAAAUGCCAGCCGAGAUAGAGCUUCCUUCUUUAAGAGUCAUACAAGAACUUAGACUCGGUGAUGUGGAGUGGAUAAAAAGUCGCUAUGAAGAGUUGGCCCUGAUUGAUGGAAAGAGGAUGAACACAAUAUGUCAUGGCCAACUUUAUCAAAACAGAAUGUCCAGAGCUUUCAACAAAAGAGUCAAACCAAAACAAUUUGCACCAGGAUAGUUGGUAGUGAAGAAAAUCUUCUCACAUCAAGAUGAAGCCAAAGGGAAAUUUUCUCCCAACUGGAAAGUCCAAACAUGGUUCAUAGGGUCCUGACAGGAGGAGCACUCAUCCUUGCAUAAAUGGACGGAGAGCUUCGGACAAAACCAAUCAAUUUAGACGUAGUCAAGAGAUACUACGCCUAGUUUAUUCACAUUUAUUUUCUGAUGUAAUUGAACUACGCUUGACCUGAUUAACAUUUAAGUGGAGAUAUGUAGGGAGAAUUAUAGGUUCGGUCAUAUCAUAAUAAAAUUUUUAUUUCCCCAAAAAUCAGAAAUUGGGGAAGAAUUUUAAGGAGUGUCCAAAAUUCCAGAACAAGUCCAGCCAGCACCAUCACAUGCCAAGAAGUCAGUCGUCAGUCAAGAACUGGGGCAACAACUUUGAGAAGGAUUCUCAAAAUUUUGAAAAAGAUUCAUCAAGGUCCGCCACCUGUAAACAAUUAAAAUCAUCUACCAAACUGGGGCAAAAUGUUGAGGAGGACCCUUAAAAUUCCAACAUGAGAGCUGCAAUGCCUUUAGAAUAUUCACAAUCACUAGCUCAUAAAAAAAUUACUUAAUAUAUCAAUACGCUUCCAUGCUGAUUCUAUUUUAUCGAUGAAUGCACAUUAUUCUAUUUUUUCAUAACAGUCAGGUGCUACCUAGGGGAACUCGAAAGAGGCUUCUAGAGCAUAUCAGAGCAAAGCAAGGCCAGUAGACGAAGAAAGAACCAACCCCCCUCAUAAAACUUACAAUUUUUCUUUGAACGCAUGCACAUUUGAUGUAAAGGUAGCAUUCGCAAAACAUGUAUACACAAAGAAAAUUCACCAUCCAUCUAGCCAUCAGACACUGAAUAUAUCCUACCUAAGACAUAUUUUACCCUUAUCUUCUAUUCUCUCUUUGCAUGAGACUAAGCUCUGUCUCCAUACUUGCAUGAGUCUAAUCCUUGACUCCAUACUUGCAUGAGUCUAAGCCCUGACUCCAUAUCUACAUAAGGAUAAGCUCUUCCUUCCAUUUGCAUGGAACUAAGCCCUGUCCCCAAAUCUUGCAUAAGGCUGGCUAAGCACUGCCUUCUCUUUGCAUGAGCCUAAUCAUUGACUUCAUACUUGCAUGAGUCUCGGCCCUGACUCCAUAUCUGCAUAAGGCUAAGUGUUGCUUUCUCUUUGAAUGAGACUAAGCCCUGUCUCCAAUCUUGCAUGAGUCUAAUCCCUAGUUUCAUAUCUGCAUAAGGCUAAGCAUUGCCUUCCAUUUGCAUGGGACUAAGCCAUGUAGUGAAUCUUGCAUGAGGUUAAGCUCUACCUCCAUAUUUGCAUCCCUGUUCCCCCCAAUCUUGCAUGAGUCUAAUCCUUGACUCCAUACUUACAUGAGGCUAAGCCAUAUCUCCAUUUUGCACAAGGCCAAGAACUGCCAUCUCUUUGCAUGAGGUUAAGCUCUACCUCCAUAUUUGUAUAAGGCUAAGCACUGCCUUCUCUUUGCAUGAGACUAAGCUCUGUCGCCACGUUUGCAUGAAUCUAAUCCUUGACUCUAUUCUUGAAUGAGUCUAAGCCCUAACUCCAUAUUUGCACGAGGCUAAUCCUUGCCUCUCCACUUGCACGGGACUAAGCAUUGUCCCUUUUUGCACCAAUAUUGCUCUAUUUUCUACUGCUAUCUACUUGAUUUUCAAUCGGGCUAAGAUCUGCCCUCUACUUUUUAAGAUUAAACCUUGUAUUGUUACAUCAUAUUAUUUCAAAUCAUCGGAUGAAACAUUACCAAUCUGUCCAAAGGCGUUAUAAUCGAAAGGCACCAUCCUCAUAGCCGGAAGACACCAUGCCAUGGCCUGAGAAUCCUUCAAAUUUGCAUAUCAUUAUUCAAAGGCGUCAUGGUUUGAAGGCACCAUUUUCAUGGCCCAAGAACAUCAUUUCAUGGCCUACGAAUCCCUCAUUAAACAAUUCAUGGACCAGGACUUCAUGGUCCAAGGACGUCAGCUUUAACCGUCCGAAGACAACCUUCGUGGUCCAAAUGGAAUCUGCAUCAUGUUUAAAUUUUCACAAAUUUGUAGCAUCUUUUAUCUGCAGCUAAUCAACAAAAAACCACUAUCCUAGUAGGAGCAAUCUUGCUCCAGUUCCCUCCAGUCGUCUCAAGCUUUAACCGCUCAUCGUACUCGCUUCCACAUCUCGCGUCCGUUCUUACAAUAAUUUCAUUGGCAUACUCCAUGGGUGAAUCUAGAAAUACACAUGGCCUGAUUCUUGUAAAACUAGGGUUAUGCAGGUGACUCAAAAACCAGAAUUCAACCUACGUCUAUUGAAACAUCCCAUGCGGUCAAAAUUAGCCAUCAUUUCUUUACCUAAAAACUCUUUCAUUCUUACGGGGUAAAGAGGGACAGUUGUUGAUAUUCAAUUUUUUCCAAUAUAUUUUAAAUAUUCAUAAUACCUUCAAAAUAGUAUAUAUAUGCAUAUAUAAGCAUGAAGAAGGCUUUUAUUAUUCUUUCCCUAAUUUUAAGGGUUUGAAUUGAUUUAUUUUCUCCCUUUUUAUCCAUAAAUCCCCAAUAAAUAUUUUCCAAAUUAUUUUUAUGAAGAUUUACUCAUUCAAUUUCUAUACUUAUGUCAAAAUAUGACUAUAUAUUUUUCAUGCAUUUUAAAAAUUACAUUUAGUAUUUUAAGCUAAAUUGCAUAUAAUUGCAAUGUUAGCCCUUUUAAUGUAUAAUUAUAUUUUAUACGUGUAAAGGUUGCUUCUAUAUUUUUAAAAUGAUAAUUAUACAUUUAUAAUCAUUUUGGUAUGGAAAAGAAUUAUUUUUAGAAACAGUCUUUUAUUUUAUUAAAAUUAAAAUAGGGAAAUUGACUAUUUAAAUAUUAGCCAAAUUUAGCUUUUAAUUUUUGCCAAAUUGGACCCCUAUCCCCAGCCCAAUAUUCUAAUAAAUAACCCGACCCAUACCCUAUAAACCCCUACCCAAAUCCAGAACCCACAGAUCAACGGUCUAUAUAUGACCUUUCCUUUUUAAUUCUAAGAGAGACCCUAACCUUAACCAUUUUUCUAAAUCCUCCACCCUCAAACUCUCGCAUCUCCUCUUUUGUCUCUCAACCUAAACCUAUACUAUCUUAAUCGCCUCCUUCUCUGGUCAUCUCCGGCAACCACCCGUUAAGCCCAAGCCUCCAAUGGGUCUCUCAUUGCCUUGCUCAUCAUCUCUGAGGCCUUCAAGGGUCCUGAGCCAUGCUGAUUUGGACCUAAGGUUUCUAUUUCUGUAGUUCGUGGCUUCUCUAGUAUGAUUUUGGGUAAAAUCACACCAUAUAUGUUACGAUCGGUGAUGUUUUCAACAGGUACUUUUUCUUCUAUUUGGGUUCCCUUUGAAACCCUAAAUCUCGUUUGAAUCCCUUAAGAUCUGUGUUAUUUUUAAUGGUUUAGGCAUGUUUCUUCCUAUGAUUUGCACUAUUCUCAAACUUCUUCUGAAAGAUCCUCAAUUUUAAACCAUUAUAUUUUCUUUAAAAAUUAGUGUUUUCUUGGAGUUCAUUCUGCACUUGUUCUAAUUAAUUUUUAUUUAUGAUUAAACCUCUUUCAUUGCUUAUUUUGACUGAUACUAUGUUCCUAUUAUUUUUAACUUGACUCUGUCAAAAAGCCCUAAUCAUUUAAGAACUUUUUUGCUUUGGUUCUUUGUGUUAGGAUGAUUACUUGAUUUUGUUAAAGUUUCUGUUGGUUACCAUGCUUUGAAUGGAUUUUCUACUGAGUCUUUAGCCUACUUAUUUCACUUUUGUAUGAUUGUAUUUGCUCAUCUCUUGCUUCCUUAUGUCUAUGCGACUGACUUUGCCUAUUGUUACGUCUGUUCAUGCUUCUCUAUUUAUAUGUCGCAAUCUAGAAUCAUGACCCUUUCUUGAUUUGAUUAUGAGUUCCUAAAUUGAUGGUUUGAUUGCAAGAUUUUCUUUCAAAACCUUAAGGUUAUCUUCGUCUGUUUAAAUUAACUGAUUCCAUUUCCUUAUUUGUUGUGGUACUUCACUCUUACUGAAUCCUUUCCUUAAUUAGUAUAUUCUGUACUUAGACUUAAUCAUGUGAUCUAUACUUUUACUAUCCUUUUUAUGGUAAAAAAUUAGUCUUUCUCAAUUGAUUUUCUUUCCUUGAUUAUCCUUGUUGGUAUCCGUUCAAGUUGUUGAUUCCUUGAUUAAAGGGGAGUACUUGUAUUAAUUGGAUUCUAAUUGUGAUUACUUCCAUACUUAUGCUAAACCUUUACAUGUUACCUUAUUUUCUGUCUAUUUUCAAAACUAUAAAUACCCUAAGUCUUUCAUUAGCAAAGGCAUAACACUUGGGUUUUCAAGAACUACCUCUCUUACUAAAAAUCUCUGCUCUCUCUUUCUCUUGUGCUAUUUGCUACUAUAGCCAACUGCAAGCCAAGGCUAAUCAUCUGUGCUCUUUGGUUAUUUCAUUUUGCUUACUUCUAUCUUCACUGGUAUUGCCUUGUUUUGAUUUAAAGCUCCAACAACAAUAUGCUUCUCUUAUUGUUUCUAUUUAUUUUAUUUUUGGCUUGCUUCUACUUGUGGUUCUGUUGUGAAACUUGUGGUUAAGUUACAUUAUCAGCAUGCUAUUAUGUCUCCCCUUCCCUUUAGAUCAAUGAAUUCCCUUAUGCAUUUCAAAGCAUGCCUUGUCAGCUGUCUUUACUUCAUGUGUGCUUACCAUCCUAUGAAUCUCCCCAUAUCCUUAUCACCCCUUCCAUGUGUUUGUAUUCUUCUUGACUGAUUUGUAAUUAUGCUAGUAUCUAAUGUCUCUGAGAGUGUCUAAAUCAUUCUUAAGACCCUUGUUGGGUUAUGUAUGUCUAGGGUUAAUUUCGCUGAUGGUCAUUCAACUAUCUUUCAAUUUCACUAAAAUCAGUCAACUAUUUUUUGUCACUUAAAAGUAACUAAACUUUAUUAUUGUCACUUAAAAAUAAUUUUGGUUCAAAUUCCUACUACAAAUAUGACAUAACAUAAAAUUUAAUGAAAAAUCCAAAAUUAAAUGCCACAUAAGCUUAAAUGGACCAUAUUCAUUUUAGAUCCAUUUCUCCCUUUUCAAUAGGGGAAAACCGCACACCCCUAAUAAAAUUAAGUCUUGUGAUUUUUUAUGGGGAUUUUUAUCGUACAGAUAAAAUCUUUCUUUUGUCUAAACAAUAGCAAUAGAUUGUCUGUAAUUGUAUAUUCAUUGUGAAAAUAGACUCUUAUUAGCCUUAUUAUUCUUGUAUGCUUAUGAUGUAUUCAUAUGUUAUACAAUCUUUCUUUUGUCUAAACAAUUGUAGUUGGUUGUCUGCAAUUGUAUGUUCCUUGUGAAAAUAGACUCUUAUUAUCCUUAUUAUUCUUGUAUGCUUAUGAUACAUUAAUAUGUUACAUGAGAUGGAUACAAUAUUAUUUUAACUUCACUAGAAAAUUAUAAAUAUGUUAUGUGAAUGGGAUACAAUAGUAUUUUUACUUCAGUAGAGUUAUAAAACUACUCGAUUGGGGCAUACAAACAAUUUUAUUUUUUUUAGUAUAGAAUAACUAUAAAUGGGUAUUAUGUAACAGAAAAUGCAAGAAUUUUAUAAUAUAAGAUAAUCAUUUUAAACUAAUGUGGAAUUUUAUACUUGUCGAAACUAUUUGGGUUAUGGGUCAAAUCACAUUAUGGGGGAAAUAGAUAUAAAAUGGAUAUGGUUCAUUAAGCUUAUGUGGCAUUUAUUCUAUUUUAACUUCACUAGAAAACUAUAAAUAUGUUAUGUGAGUUAGAUACAAUAGUAUUUUUACUUUAAUAGAGUUAUAAAACGACUUGGUUAGGGCAUACAAACAAGAUAAUUCUUUAGUAUAAAAUAACUAUAAAUGGGAAUUAUGUAACAGAAAAUAUAAGUUUUUAAUAGUAUAGGAUAGUCAUUUUAAAAUAAUAUAAAAUUUAAUACAUAUCAAAAUCAUUUGGGUUAUGGGUCAAAUCACAUCAUCAGGGAAAUAAAUCUAAAGUAGAUAUGGUUCAUUUAAGCUUAAGUGGAAUUUAUUUUUUGAUUUUCUCAUUAAAUUUUAUAGCAUGUCAUAUUUAUGGUAAGAGUUUGAGUCAAGAUGAUUUUUAAGUGACAAUGAUAAAGUAUAUUUACUUUUAAGUGAAAAAAAAUAGUUGAGUGACUUUAGCGAAAUUGAAAUAUAGUUGAAUGACCAUCUGUGAAAUUACCCCAAAUGUCUAUGUAUCCCCAAACCCCUUGACCCCUGUGUGACUACUAAAUUCAUUUGGAUUAUGUAAACUAGAUGUGUGUAAUCUUAUCUUAAGGUGUUUAAACUUUGUUUACUACUCCAACCUCUUUUCAAACAAUCUCUGUUGCUUUACUAAUUGUUUUCAUAGCAAACUUUCCAAAACAGUCCCUAAUAACCAUUUUCAACUUGUGUGUCCUGCACUUCUACUUUACUCUUAGUCAAUAAGUUCUGCCCCCUCUAGUAUGUGUACUUCCUUGGGAUCCUCUUGAGAGCCCUAUGAACCAUGGCAUACUGAGGUUGGCCUUUCCACACUGUACUGGUUCAAUUCUUGGUUACUGAAGUCUAGGUAUGAGCAUUGCCCGCGGUCCUUGAGACCCUUAGGAAACUUUUAUGCACCUAGAAUCUGAGUUGUCUAUGGAAUUGAGACCAUUGGAGGAUUUGGAAAACUUAGGCCUAAUUUCAAGCUCCCUAUAGAAUAGCUUCUUGAUUUUUUAUUUUAUUUAUGUAAUUAAUUCAUUGAUCUGUAAUAAUUUGUAAACACAUGUUUGGGAUAUUUAGUAAAAAAGGUGGGUAGAUGUAUACUUUAUGGGGUAAUAUGAGUACAAAUCCUGCUCUUAGGAUCUUCUUGCAAAAUCUAUCUACUUUACUAAAUAGAAAGCAUGCUCAUUGGGUUUACUCUUUUAAAUCUAAUUGAUUUGCCUAAUAGAAAUUAUGACUAUAGGAUUUCACUUCUAAUGUCGUUUGCAUCAAGUAGAAACCAUGUUCCUAAGGUUCUGCAUUUUAUCAUGUUAGAAACCAUGUUCAUAGGUUCCAAUCAAUCAUGUCUUAAAUCAAUUCAAAUAUAGAUGUCAUGACUAUAGGAUUCAAUUAUGAUUCAGUUCUAAUAAGUCUUUAUGUGUGUUGCUGCAAAUUGACUAAAACCAGUAAUACACUUAGAUAUCAUGCCUUUAGGGAUCUAUAAUCGUAAUUCUAUCUGAUAAUUUAAUUUAGCCUGAUAAAUCAAUUUCAUUACACCUAUUUCAUUUCUAAAGCUGGUCUUAUCAAACGAUAACAUUUCCUGAAACAAGUUCUUUCAAAAUUGCAUUAGUCUCAUUAGAUACCAUGCUUAUAGGUAUUAAAUUCUAUUUUGAAAAAUCUAUUUGUUUCUGCAUUAAUAUAGACACAAUAUACUGCAUAUAGGCAAGCCUUAGGUAUUUUCAAAACUUCAUUUCUCUGAAGUUGUCCCUGUCACUUAAGGUUUCUGAUUCUAAUAACUUCUAAAAGAGUCCCUAGGAAACUAAUAGGUUAUAACUUCUGGGUAUAAAAGUUUGGUAUGUUUUUGGCAGUCACUUAGAGAUCCUGCUUUAGGAUUUUGAUUAAUAAAGACCUUAAUUGUGUUUGAGUCGUGCUGCUUGUAUGUUUACUUGAGGAGGAAACUUUGAGCCUCUUAUAUGCUCCCAUUAUAUGAAAGUCCUACAUGUUUUGACUGUUGCCUUAGAGUUUUCGCCUUUCUAAGACUUAGGGGUACUUCUAGAACUACCUAUAGGGAGGUCCUAACUCCCCCCCGGACCACUAAGAAGGGACGGGUAGCAGCACACAAUAGGAAUCAGUAACCAAACACUCACUUUGCAUGACCAACAAGGGGAUAGGAAGGAUAGGCAUGGGAUAUGAUGACUAUGCGUGAAUGUCACGUGUAGCCCCUCAAUGAGGAAUGUCUAUUUGAUAUUGCGUGGGGUGAUCCUAUAAGAAAACAACCUAGGACCCCUCUUUACCACCUUCUCUCUUUAUUUAAACUUUCGUCUUUUUUUUUACAACUUUUUUGAAACCUUUAUAUUACUACUUGAACCAUCUAAUGUGCCUUACUAGCAACUUAUUUGAUUCAACUGUAUAUGUGGACAAAAGUGUGAAUAUAAUUUUGGCCGGGACCCACAAUUGUGGACCAAGAGGGGUUCCUAACACCUUCCCCUUGAGGUUACUUCGAGCCUUUACCCUAAUCUCUCAUAAUGCAAACCAACUCAAGAUUUACUCACUCUAGGUGCCCUCACACACCAUAAUCUGUUAGUUGGUGAAGUUGAUGACUCUUCAAAUACCCAAUUCCCAAAAAGAAAUAAGUCAUUACACCCCGUGAAUGUCGAAACCCGGAUUUCUCCUUGUAAAAAAGGGAGAAAAAAGGGGGGUGCAACACGUUCACACAGAAAGCGUCUCUGAAACCCAUCCCAAAGAAGUUCAGAAUGCUGGAACUCCUAAAAUACAACAAGACCUCAGAUCCCAACGAACACGUUACUGCCUACACGUGCGCGGUGAAGGGAAAUGACAUAAAGGACGAUGAGAUCAAAUCUGUCUUAUUGAAGAAGUUCGGGGAAACUCUCUCGAAGGGGGCUAUAAUGUGGUAUCACAUCCUAGCUCCCAACCCCAUAGACUCGUUCGCCAUGAUGGUAGACUCCUUCAUAUAGGCACACGCCGGUGCCAUCAAAGUAGCAACGAGGAAAUCUGACAUGUUCAAGAUAAAGCAGAAGGAGAAUGAAAUGCUUCGAGAGUUUUUAUCCCACUUCCAAACAGAACGAAUGGAACUACCAUCGAUAUCCGACGACUGGGCAGAUCAGGACUUCACCUAAGGCAUGAAUGAGCAGAGCUCAGUGUCCUUAAGACAGAUGAAAGGGAACUUGAUUAAAUAUCCCGAUGUGACCUGGUCGGACGUCCACAACCGAUACUAGUCAAAGAUCAUGGUCGAGGAUGACCAACUGGGAGGCCCCUCAGGCUUAGUAUAUCCAAGCAGGCUCUUAGCAAAGGAGUAAAAAAGACAGAGAAAGGUAUCGACUAUACCCAAAGAUAAGAGGAAUGCCCCUAGACGCAACCCGCAUCGCAAUGAUCAAUUAGUGAACGAAGGACAGAAUCCUCGGGGGCUCAUUGAUAGAAUCAGAUUUGAUAAAAAUGUGGGGCCAACUGAGGCACCUGGCUCGUCAAAAUAUAACUUCAACGUUGUUGUAUCGGCAUCGUGUUUGCCAUCAGCAAAAUUAGGGAUGCCAAAUGGCCUAGGCCUAUGCAGUCGGAUCCUUCACAAAGGAACUAUUACUUAGUAUUCGAGUUCCACAACACGCAUGAACACAAAAUCGAGGAUGUCGGCAACUCCGGGGGGAAGUGGCCCGGCUACUAGACAACGGUCACCUUUGGGAAUUCCUCAGCGAUCGAGCUAACCAGUCCCAAGAAAGAAAAACAACCAAAUGGAACAAAGGGGACGAACCGCAACAUGUUAUCCACACGAUAAUUUACGACACACCUUCAGUUGUAUUCAAAUAAAUGACCACAUUGCGUCUACUAAACAAAUGCCAGAAUCUAAAAGCGCCAUAGCCACUAAGGUAUAAUCAUCUCCCCUUUUAUAUUUUUUAUUUUAUGAUAACUUUUGUGCAGGCUCACCUAACCAAAGCAGUCGAGAUGUCGAUCCAGCUCGAAGACCUUAAGGUUUUGAAGCGCCCGUUGCACUAUUUUUUCCUUCGAUCGAGUUAUUAUCCCGAAGAGGAUUUUUCCGACAAGGUUUUUAAUAAGGCAACACCCACACACUACUUAAAGAAGACUCAACUAGUGUUCGACGCUUCCUUUGCAAUCAACCCCGAAUAUUGGAGGGCAUCCCCCAGGGUCCCAAUGGUAAAGUGAUGUAUCGGGCCAAACGGUCGAACGAACUGUGCCUAUAUAGUCAAAUCCACGACAACAAGAUUAUGUAUACUUGUGCUAAGUAAUCAAAGAAUAUCGUUUCCUAAAGCAUCGCAUACUCCAAAGGAAACUUAGAAUUUUUGCAAUAAAGAUCUCUCCAUCACGAACACCCGGAAUACUCGGAGACUGCAUCAAUAACUUGGCACCCGCAUGAAAUCAAGGUAGGAAUCUCCAAAAUCAUAAGCCCUUACUACAUGCAUAAACUCGAUCCCAAAGUUUAGGCUAUAUAUCUCAUUCGAAAGAUUCCUAAAAAGGCAUACCCUCGAUAUGGACACCUAAACUACUACACUAGCAAACAAAAAGGGCUCAGGCCAAACAUAAAUGACUAUGGUCAUACGACUGUACCAGCCAAACUAAUGCGACUUGGGGACGCCCCACCGUCUCUGCAAACUCAUAGGCUAUUACUUCGAAUCUACUUCGUAAAGAAAAGGUUAAGUAGGCUACCAUCGAUAGGCAAAAGAGCUUUGACCAUGUCAGCUCCAAAUCACAAGGCUUCGAGCUACUCAGCCUACGAGCCAAACAUUAUGAGGGGCUCGAACAUCUCUGCAAACGACUUGAAAUUGAGGCUCUUCUCGAACGCACGAAGGGUCAGGAAAAAUCAUUUCAAAAGUCCUUAACGAGAGGAAAUAAAGCCUACAUUAAAAGGUUGUUUUGACCCAAAGUAUAAGAGCUAUUGUCGCCAGUUUACAUAAAAGGCCGCAUCGGCUUAAAGCGUAAGAGCCAUUGUUGCCAGCUCAUUUGAUACCUUGAGGGUCAAUUGAGCUCGAGUCGUAAAUCGAUUCGGAGACAAAACACUAAAUAAUUAACUACAUUUGCCUAAGGGAAAAGCAUAAAAGCUAUUAUCGCCAGCCCAACGAGCCUCAAGGCCAAGCAUAUAGAAGCUCAUUUCGACCCAAGGGAUAAGAGCCAUUGUCGCUAGCCCACACAAAUACAAAACUUGAGGGUUGAUUGAGCUCGAAGUAGAAAGAAAAUCUUUAUACACUAUUAUCAUCCAAUAAAUUCACUGUAACACUACGAACAAUCAGACUUCUAUCUUGCUUACCUGCCUGACGUGUAGACCUAAUAAGAUAAAAAAAAAUAAUAUGCUUGACUAGAGCUCUUCUCCUCCCCUAUAAAAAAUCAGUCGAAACCCAACUUGAAGACUGAACCCAAAAUAGUUAAAAUACAAAUGCCCAAGGUCAAAGCAUAUUAGCCCUUGUUGCAACCCUAAUGAGCCUCAGGGACGUAUCACAAAUCUAAGAUUUCCUACUAGCUCAAUGGCUGAAUCGACCUAGUUAGAAUCUUGACAAACAGAAACACAGAAGAUACAAAUUACGGGGUUUCCCCCUUAUACAUACAGGUGAUAAAAUACAAGAUCUAUUUGCAACAUACCAUGAAAUCUAUAUACACAAGAACAAAAAGGAAAUAAACGCCCCCUCAAGGACUAGGCCCGGCAACCCCUUCCUCGCCAUCUUUAGAAUCAGACAAAAGGAGCUUGGCAUCACACUCCUCCCCCUUGGCUUGGUCGAUCUCUUCUGAGAGAUCAAAGCCUUUGGCAUGAAUCUCCUUGAGAAUUUCCCUCCGAGAUUUGAAUUUCGCAUACUCCUUGCCACAGCUCAGACGAUCAAGGGCUCUCUUUAGAUUAGUUUUAGCAACAACAGCACUCCUCAAAUAGGCCACCGCUUUUUGGUCCACCCUGGUGCUGCUCAUCACGACCUCAGCUCGGACAUUCGCCACUUCAGCCUUCGCCUUCGAGAGCUCAGACGAGAGACUUUCGACCAUAUUUACACGUGUAGACUCAUUCGCACGAAUGGUCCGGAUUUGUACCUCUAGAGUAGAAACCAUGGCUAGAACACUCUCUUUGGCAGCAACACGGGUUUCAACAUGCACUUGCAACUCGUUAAACUCACAUUUGACUCAACCAAUUUUGCCCCAAGUCUCUCCCAGCUCCUCCUCUUUGCUCUCCAACUGAAAUAUCGAAACAUUAAUCCGCAAAGGUGAAAGGGGAGUGCAAGCUAGCAUGAAAUGCAUGAUACUUGUCUUUCGAGGUAGCUCUCGCAGCUCCGGCUCUGAUUUACCAUAGCCCACAAGGAAACCAACUCACUUUCCUUUUCCGCACAAAGAAGCUUAAGGGAUUUUUCCCUAUCUAAAGCCUCCCACAACAGGCUAUUACAACGAAGCAACCCAGAUUUGAGCCUAUCAAAGCCCUAUAAAAGAAAAUUAAAUGAAAAAGGAAGAGCACGGGACCCGAAUAAUCUUAUGACAGUCGCCAAAAUUUACCAUUAGGCCGAGCUGUUGAACCUCACCAAAGGCCGAGCCAAUAUAUAAUGCCUUACUAUCCUCCAAAGAUGGCUGAUCGGUCGAGUUUCCUCUUUUUAACCGCUGAGAAAGAGUCGCCCCACUGCAAGCCCCUUCACACCCCGGGGCCCUUUCCGUUUAUCAUCGACCCUAGAUAUUGAGGUCGGCAAUCUCUCCUCCCUCCCCAAAGGACGCAGACUUAUUUUGAAAAAAUCUUAGAUACCUAUGGCGGCUAAGUUAAUAUGCUGAAAAGAAAAGCAUCAUUUUCGGGAAACAAGCCACCAAACACCUACCAUGAUGUUUCGCCUCCCACCUCCCCUUGGACAGAUCUCACCACUGGCACUUAUCAUAAAUUGAGAAAGUUGCAAGCUUACAAGACCACUCGACCAAAUCAGGGACCUCUUUCGGCAACCAAUGAGUUGCUAAAAAAAUAGAAUGGAAAGAUAUCACUACAGAGCCCGCCUCCGGUCAAAACAAUUAAAAUUCAGGUGAGACACUUACGCGUGAAGUUCCAUUUCUUAGGAAAAGAUAGAAACUCUCUAGGAAUGAUUUCGUUUGUUCGAACUCAAACGAAUUAAUUCAUCCAUCCACUGUCCUCUUCCUCUUUGCUAUUAAUGGCUGGGACUCGGGUGGACUGACGCUACAGAGCGAUCAAACCCCAAUAGCGCAGUGGAUGAUAUAACCUCACAAGAUGGCUGAGGGUAAACUCAAUCCCGGCCUUAUUGGUGAAAUACCUUAUCGGCUACACUAUUUUCAAAAGGAAGGGGUGAGCCUACGCCAAGGUAACCCGAUAUUCUCAAUAGAAAUAAAACACGACCCGAUCGGGGGACCCGACAUGAAAAUACAUAUGUAUAUGCUUAGAAACCCCUCGACAUAGGUCAUGAUGCUCUCCUCGGAAGAAGGUACUUGUAGUACCACACCUUUUUCCCAUCCACAAUCUUUUCUGAUUAUUUUGAGGUUUUCCUCUCCCAUUGAUGUGAUGAUCCUUGACACGUGCUCCCGGUGACCUGGAACAUUGGGGGACCUCCCUAGUGUGAUGGAUCUCCUUGAGGCAAGGAACCUCGAGGCCCGCUCACCGGGCACCAACGGUGUGCCAUUGAUCGAAUGCGGAGCAUAGAAAGAAUUCCCCUCUCCUUGGUGGUUGAACGUCGACGUAGCAUCAUGGAUACGAUAGAAUAAGAAGGGAAAGAUAUAGAUUUGGGAAAAGAAUUUGAGUUGAAAUGGUGGAAGAACCAGCACAAAACGCCAGAUUCUGUGGAAGAAAUAGUCCCUCAAUGGAGCAGAAUCACCAAUGGAGAGGCAAGUGAAUGAAUAUAUAGGGGAAAAGCAGCAACUGCCCGCCUACCCAGAAGGCUAAUUAAUUCUGGUCGCAUUAAUAUCACCCUCCCCUAGGGAAAUGUACUGGCAGAAUUGCCUUGGGGCCCCUUUACCAGAUUGAUAGAAUGUCUCUACCCUGUGAAAUCUGAGAAGAUGCGAGGCCUUGAGGGCUCCUCUAUAUCGCUGGUAUCGGCCCUACAAGAACUGUCGAUUUAACUUCGGGGCAGGACCGGAUUUAAGGGUUUUGAUUGCUCCAAGAAUAGUUUUUGAAAGCUUACGUCAAAAGUUGAAGGUCUGCGAAAGCAAAAGAACGGAAAAACUGAAAGAAGAAACCCCCCAUCCCCCUUUUUUACAUUGCCAAAAACAUAUCUACACGAGACAACUUUACAAGAUUCAUCCAUCGGGGAUUGCAUACAAAAGAAAAAAGAAAGAAAGAAAAACAACAUGAGGCCUACUCCUCAUCACCACUAUCUUCGCCCUUAUUUGGGGCAAUCAAAAGCACCAACUCUCUCUCUCUCUGACUCGCGGGCCUCCUCAAGAUCAACUGACAGAUCGGCGCCCCUGGCCUCAAUUUUCUCCAGGGUAUCCCUCCUCACCUCUGCCCUAGCAUGAUUAAUAGCCCAAGCUAGUUUCUGCUCGGCUGCUAUCGAUAUGUUACGAGCUAUUUGAUGCACUAUGGCUGCAUCCUCCAGGUAAGUAGCAACAUUUCUUUCAAUCCCAGACUUGGCCGUAACCAAUGCAACAAUCUCCUUGUGAGGAUCCUUGAGAAAAUCAUGGGAUAACGCCAACUCUGCAGUAGCUACCUCACUUUGUUUCCUUAGCCCCAAGAUCACCACGUUGACUCAACUAAUCUACGAGUCAUUUUUCUCGACAUACAAAAGUAAGACAAGACAAUCUAUGUAGAAAUAUGGGAGCAAAGGUCGGGUACGAGUAGGGCGAAAUACCUACGCAGUAAGAUCAGCCUUUUCCCGGAACACUCACUCCAAAGCAGCCCGAAGCUCUCUUGAUUCUUUCUCUUGUCGGGCAGAGUGAGCCUCUGACUCCCUCGGCAUUGAGGUAAGCUUCUUAAUCUCCUUUUCACGAUAUGAAAGCUCCUCAUAGAGCUGAGAGAGGCAUGAUCAUACAUAUUCUUACACUACAGUAUAGCAAAAUAGUUAAAAAUGAAGAAUAAUGCCUGAGACUAAAAGAAAUAUACGAAAUACAGCUAACCUACUGUAGGAAGCUCUCUGCCGCCUUGACGGUACCAGGAACGUCAAGACUGAUGUUAUUUUCAAACAUUGUCAAAGAUAUUAGCAAGUAAUCCUCCGCCUUAAAGAGGAAUCCCUGCUUUGGCGGCAUUCACAUCUUGAGCAUCCCUCAGUUCCCUUGACGAGAUCUGAAAGCAUGAUAUGAAAUCGCUUAUGUCACCGAUUUCCCAAGGGGCAAUCCCUUCUCCUGAAAAGCUCCAGGCCCCGACCCUGCAGGAUCAAUAGCAACGGCCCCCCAAAUAAAAACUGCGCCAAACCCGGUCAUGUGAUCUGAGGCGAUAUUAACACCGUCCUCAAGGGUCAUCGAUCUACGAGACCGACCUGAGUCGGUCGUUCAAGACUCAGCAGCCUUCGGUCGAGGCACCUACGAGGCUCCCGCAUUCAACCUUAUCCUCCAUGCUAACUGACACUCAUCGUCAUCCUCCGUGCUAACUGGCACUCAUCGUCAUCCUCAGCACCGGGAUUUGUCCCUGAAGUUGAAGUCGAGGUACUCGUAGCGGAUCGAUGCUCGAGUGACUUGGGUUUCUUUAUCACAAGAGGAUCAAGAGUUGCCUUACCUUCCUUUUUCUUGCCCUUGCCAGGCUCUGAAGCCUUCAUUUCGCCACCAGGGGGCGGCCUCAUCUGCAUAUUCUCACCGAGGCCGGCACAAGUGCGAUAACUAUAAUUUGUUAGCACAAAGGACACAUGGGUAAACACAAUCUAAGGCAUAUACGGUAAAGAAGCUCUUCCAUGAUUCUUGGUCACCCAUCGCUCCUUGUCCAAGUCAGUCCAAGAUCGAACAAGAUACGGGAAUGCGGUGUCUAACCAUUUGACCCACCCUGGCAAAUUUGAAAUAGCCUCAAGGUACCAAGCGGUGACUAUAAGAAACACAAAGAGGUCAUUAUUCCGAGGGAAAGGGGAGAAAAUUAUAAAACGUGGUUGAGAGAAAAUCGCUUACGCUGUGUGUUCCAUUUCUCUGGGAAAGGCAUCCUCCAGGCUGGAAUGAUGCCCCAGGUCCUUACCCAGACGAACAUGCUCAUCCACCCUCAAUCAUUCCCCUUGUCGGUGCUCAAGAAAAAUGAUAUUUUGGAUCGUUGGUGAAGCUUGAUCAAACCUCAAAAAAAUUGAGGGAUGUACAAGCUAAUCAAAUAGUCAAUGGUAAAGGUCUCGUCCGUAACCCUUUCAGUAAAAUGGCGGAGCAUCAAUACUAUCCUCUAGAAAGAAGGAUAGAUCUGACCGAGCGUCACUUGAUAUUUGUCACAAAAAUCAAGGAUAAUUGGAUCUCUCUUCAAGGGAGAGGAUUCAGAGGAAUCAUCAGGACCCAAGGUGAACGAGUAGGUAUACACAUGAAGGAAGUCGGCCUUGUAGUCCGUUAUAUUUUCAUCAAGGCUAGGAAUCUCUACCUCCACUGCCUCGUUCCAACAGUAGUCUGUCCGUACUGUUUCUAUGUCGGUCACGACACUAAUAUAUCGGUACACAUAUUCACAUCGGCUCGGUGUGGAUGAAGUGGUAUCGAUGUUAAAGUCCUUUGACAUAUCAAGCUUGAAGGGAGUGCACUAUUCCAAGGUGGAUAUUGCUUUGGGUUUCUCCUUCGAAGAUAGAGAUGAAGAUGUAACUUCAUUCCGCUGAGGAACCCUUCUAGAAGUCCUGGCCAUAGCAAUGGUAAUAUUUUCUCUAAGAAAGUAAGAUAGAAAAGUGUAAAAGAAUAUGGGCCUGGACUCGUGAAUUUGAAGAUGUUGUGAAAAUAAGGAUUAUCUAAUAGUCGAUAUAUUUAUAGGAAUCGCUUGGGCAGUGGAAAGGAUGAGCCAAUAGUAGUUCGUGGGUUCCUUUAUAAUAGUAUUUGACAGUGACCCUUACACAGCAUUCUGGGGCAUGGAAUUUAAUUCUCCAAUAGGUUGAUGUCAUGGCAAUGAUUCCCUUAGAACGGCGGCUCAAAAUCGUUUCCUAUUACUUCGUUCUAGGAAACAUGGAGACUAUCUGUAUAUGGCGAAAUAAGAGAGUCCAAUUUCUCGUCAUUAAGGCAUUUUAGGGAAUCAUAUCGAGACCUCGAGGCUGCAAAGUUGCGGUUGAGUUCCUUCCCUCGAAGCCCACAUGCACCCGACCUAAUGACGAUGCCAGGGUUGGGAGUUCCCUAGGCGUGCAUCUAGCACUGGCAGACCCUGGUGUCAUCUAUUUGUCCCAUCCCCUUAUCUUCUUAAUUAAUGUUUUUGUACUAUAUUGGGUUUUCCCUUCUAUAUAAAGGGGAUCCUUACCAUUUUGUAAACAACUGUUGUUGCUCCAACUAUUCUACACGAAAUAUACAAGAACUCUCUCUCUCUUUUCUCUCUAACUUAUUCUCUCAAUAUUAUUUUUCUUAUUUAUUGUCUUCAUUUAUUUCUUAUCAUUGGCCAUAAAGAUCCUUCCUUAAUUAUAUCCUAACUGUUAGCCCUUCCCCGAGUAUCGUAAUAGCUCAGGCCCGAGCCUAGGAAUCAGCCUCGAGGGCCCGUAUCGAUUAGUCCGAGACCCCAAAUAGCUAACUCUUCAGUUCAACUAUAGCUUUAUUUUAGCUCGCAUUUCAUUCUAAACUUCAUAUAAAUAGCAUCAACUGCUUAACAACUAGAAUAAAAAUAGAUCACGUAUUUUUAGAAUCCCAUCAACAAAUUUAAUUAUUUUUACCAUUUUCAUGGUAAACAAGGACCAAAAAAUUUAUAUCGAAGAUAUGGAGGCAAUAGCUUCAACUCCAAGAUAGGAGGCUCCUCUAUUGAGGGCUUUGUUGAAGGAGUUGUCCUAUUUUCAAGAUCCAAGGACAAUUGGGGCUCAUAAAUGUAGGACCCUAUUCCUUGUAGUGAGUUCACACAUUCCAUGAAGAUAUUCAUCUCGUCAUCAUCAAAGUUGAGCAAGAAGACCUCCAAUGUAUCAUCAACAUUCAUCACAACACUUGUUUCAUUUACAAUCACGUCAGUCACCAACUCCAUGAAAGAACAUUCCUAUUUUCUAUUGGGUUGCCGUAUGGACUUACACACAUGGAAAAUAACUUUUUCAUCACCAACCCAUAAGGUAAUUUCUCUGGUGUCAACAUUAACUAGAGCCUUCCCUAUAGCAAAGAAAUGUGUACCAAGAAUAAUCGGCACCUCAAAAUUAACUUCUCAAUCAAGAAUGAUAAAAUUCUUUGGAAGAAUGAAUUUAUCAACAAAAACCAAUACAUCUUCAAUCACUCUCAAUGUUCUCUUCAUGGUACAAUCAACCAUUUUUAAUCUCAUAGAUAUGGGUCAUGGUUUCCCAAUUCCCAAAGUCUUGAAAAUUGAAAUUAAUACUUUCCCCAAGAUCACAAAGAGCUUUUGCAAACACGGCAAUUCCAAUUGUACAAGGAUUCUUGAAAGCGUCGGGAUCCCCCAACAUUGGAGCUAUUGAAUUCAUAAUUGCAUUCACUUGAUGAGUCAUCUUUAUAGUUUCAAAAUUCACCUAUCGCUUCUUUGUCGCCAAAUCCUUCAUAAACAUUGCAGAACCGGGAAUUUGCUCCAAUGCUUCAACCAAUGGCACAUUUAUGUAUAGACUCUUCAUCAUGUCAAUGAACUUUUUGACUUUAUUCUCGCCAUUUUUCUUGGCAAGCCUUUGAGGAUAUGCAGGAGGAGGCCUAGACAUUGGUGCCUUAGCCUUUUGCACUACUAGUUUCGGUAUGCCAACAAUGUGAUCCCUAGACAAGUUCACUUCCUCUUGAGUCUCCUCCACAUUUUCAUCACUAUUAAUUUGUACUUCAUCAUUGCUUGCACCAUAUUGUCUGGGCUCUCAUCUUCUAGUACCACUUUCUCAUCAUCCAUAAGUUUCCUUUGAUUUGAGGUGGGUGCAUCCCCACCUUUUUCACUCCUUGUAGUAACGGCCAUCGCAUGUCUCGUGUUAUUUCCACCCUUUAGGUUCACCACCGUGUCACUUGGUAGUGCUCCAGUAGGACGAGUGGUGAGGACUUGAGAGAUUUGCCCCAUUUGGACUUCCAAGUUUUGGAUGGAUGUAUUGUGAUCGGAAAGUUUGUCAUCGGAAUCGAUAUUAUUUUCCAUCAUUUGUUUAAACAUGUUCUCAAUUCGUCCCAUCUCAUUGUUGGACGAACUUGGACCAUGGGAAGGAUAAGUAGGCGGGUUGCUCAGUUGUUGAUACAAUGGGGGCCUUUGAAAACCCGACCCCCGAUUACCUUGAUUAUUGUUCCAUCACCCUUAGUUUUUGCCUCCCCAAUAUCCUUGGUUGUUGCCACUACAAUUGCCUUGGUUAUUUCCACCAUUCCAAUUCCCUUGGUUGUUACUACCAUUUCAAUUACCUGAGUGGUUAGAAUUUUCAAUUACCUUAAUUACCUUGAGGUCGCCAUUGUUGUUGAUUUGGGCCUUGAGAGUUGUUUCUUUCCCCUUAAAAGUUAUUCAAGUAUUGUACUUCCUCCUCUUGUUCAUUGUAAGAUUCAUCUUGAACAAACCCACUAUCUUCUUGCACCUAAUUCACCACACGCUUUUGUACUUGUGGACCCUUUCGCCUUCUUUUGUUCACCAUCAUGUUAACUCCCUCCAUAGCAUUGACUUGCUUAGGAUUUUGCACUUGUUGAAGUUGAGCUUUGGAUAACUGGUUCAUUGUGGUGGUCAACUCGGCAAUGGCUUGCCCAUGAUUAUGAAAUUCUUUAUGCAGGUGAAUCAUGUUCGGAUCACUAACGUUUACUCUACUUUGCCAUGCCAAUUAAGUAUCCGCCAUUUCACCUAGGAUCUCACAAGCUUCUGCAUAUAGCGUUCUCAUGAAAUUACCACCAACGAGUUGGUUGACCGUACAUUGAUUGGUAAUGUUGAUCCACCGAUAAAUAGUUUGAUCAUAGCCUCCGCCAUGUAAUUAUUGGGGGAUUAUUUGUCGGUACCUCUCCUAUAUUUCAUGCAAUGUCUCAUCAGGUUCUUAUUUGAAUGCUAGAAUCUCAUCUCUAAGAGUAGCCAUAUAGAUGGGAGAAAAGAACUUAAAAGUAAAUUUCUCCACCAAUUCAUCCCAUGUGUGGAUGGAAUGGUUUGGCAAUAUUUCUAGCCAAUCCAAGGUUUUCCCCCAUAGAGAGAAAGGAGAUAGACUCAACCUUAAAGCAUCCUCGGAGAGUUUACUGUUUACUCCCCAACAAUUGUCCACAAAUCUCUUCAAGUGUUUGUAUGUAUUUUGACUCGGAGACCUGCUAAGAAUCCUUGUUGCUCUAGCAGUGUGAGCAUUACAUUCGUAAUUUGAAAGUUGGCUGCCUAAUGCUGGGCGGGACAAUAGCACUUGCAUACCCUUCAUUCGGCAACAUCCGAUGUGGAGCCGCUCUUGAUGGAGGUAGGGGUGAAAUUGGGACGUUGUCUUGAGGCCCCGACCUCUUCUAUUUUAUUGAGGUUCAAGAGGAACCUCUUCAACUUGGUCAUCUUCAAUGUCCACAUUCCCCAAAGGCAUGUUUCUGAGUUGAUCAUUGUUGUUUUCUAUUUUGGUACCUACAAUUGUUUCACAAAAAAGAUUAGUAAUACAGAAGGAAAAGAAGUCAAUUCAUACACCAAACCAAAUAUAUAGCUAAAUCCUUUUUAGCUCCCCGAUAACGACGCCAUAAUUUGAUCACGUCCAAAUGCACGCCUCUAAGGAGGUAUAAAAUAGUCAUUUGCAAUAAUAUAACUCAACAAGGAGUCGGGAUCAAAUCCAUAGUGAGUUGAGAUGAGAAUUAGCAGUAUAUAUUCUGAGUGAGUAUGUGAAGUAUCUAUAUUUCACUUUCACAAAUAGGGUUUUGUUUUUACUUUUAAAAUUAAGCUAAGGGUUGCAAUUCUAAAGGUAUAAACCUAGACAUGAUUGUUUUUGAGUAUUUUUCAAAGAUAUAAAAAGGCCUAGGGUUGUGACCAUGACCUAGGCGUUUGCCUAAUGGAAUAAAGACUUUUAUAUUGUUUUGUUGAUUGGGAGGGUAUUAUAGCUCACAACACUACGUUUCCCACUCAAUACUUCUCGGUCAGAGAGUAGCUUUGCCCAAUUUGGCUUUCUCAAGUCCAAAUGAGUAUCUACCAAAACGGUUGAUAAAAGCUCAAGUCAGGUUGUUACUAUCUCUAGAUUGAACCCUUUAACUAAGUUAAUCAAUCUCUCAAUUGACCCAAUUCCUUGUUAGAUAAGUUAACCUACACUAAAUUUAUCUUUAUUAAGAAGAGACUAAGUCAAAUUGGCAUAAAUCAGUAUUUGCAACCAUCAAUUUGACAUUUGAAGCAUAAGACUAGCUAAAUAAUACACCCAUUCAUAAACAAGCAUAACAUUAAUCACCCAUAAGGUACACACUAGGUAUGGGUCACAACCCUAGUAAAAAUCUAGCUACUCAUAGUGGGCAUAGAAGAAAGAAAAAAAGAUAAUAAAACUCAUAUUGAAAGCUUAAAAUAUAAAAACCCAAUGUUAAAUUACCAAAAUAAGCUAAAUUUUCCUAAAGAAGAAAGAAGAAACAACUACGAUACUUUAAAUAUUCAAAACUUGACCUAAUUUUGUGAAACUAUUAUAUUUAUACAAAGCUGAAAAUUUCAGAUAAAAAUGUCAUUUCGGAGGUUCUGCGGUCGCACAAUUCCAUGUGCGGUCUGCACAUUGCUCAACUUCACAGGAUUGCAUCUUUGUGGCUGCAUAAUUCUAAACUGCGGCCGCAUUUCUCAUAUUCUGUGGCCCACACAUUUUUGGGUGCGGCUGCAUAAGGUUCUUCUACGAACCGCAUAAAUUUGAGUGCCACCACAUAGCUGACUUCUGUGAUUGCAUAAUAAUUGUAUCGUCCGCACUUCCUUUGAACUCAAUAUGCAAACUCUCUGAACUUCUUAUCUUGCUUAGCUUCUGCGAACACACAUUUCAUUGUGAGGACUGCACUUUGCACUUGGACUCUGAUAAAUUUUCAUUGUGAGGACUGCACUUUGCACUUGGACUCAUAUAAAUUUUCCUUCACAAUCUGUGGUUGUAGAUGGAAAUCUGUGGUCCAUACCUUGAGUUUUUGUGCCUAAUUUUGUCUUUGAGUUCAGAUUACUCCUUCUUGAGUUGGAUUUCAUCUUAGUAGCUCAUUUCCAAUACUCCUCCAAUUAAGCAUAUUUCAUCAGUUUUGCGGAAUAUAAUUAAAUACUUUUGGACUAAAACUAAAGCAAAAAAGUAAUCAGAACCCCAUUUAUCAUGGGGCAGUGGCAUCAGGGGGUAGCAGGGUGGGUGGUGACGAAAAUAAAACUGAAAUCUGAACAAAAAAAAAAUUUUUGGAGAGAGGGGAUGGGAUAGGUAUGGUAGGGAGAUAAGGGGGCUGGGUUGAGAUUAGAUGUGAGGGUAGAUGGAAUUUUUGGUUAAUAUUUUUCUAACUUUUGCUAGGGAAAUCAUUUUUCUUCAAUUUAAGGAAAAUGUGAUAUCUAGGAAAAACAAAUUCAAACUAUUUUGUUCAACCAAAUAAUAGAAAGUGGGAAAUAUUUUUCAUCAUUCCAAACACACCCUAUAUAUAUACUCGAUGAAUAAAACUUAAUUUUCCACAUACCUUCAAUCACCCAAUAAUCCUCAAAGCAAGUGGAGCAAUUAAAAUUAGAAAAAAAAUAUAUAAAUUGUAUGUUGUACUUAUUGAAAAAGUAGUCAUACACUUUAACUUUACAGCUUGUUUGGAUAUUGUUUACCUAUUUUAUUGUAUCGUAUUGUUACUUUAAAUAUGAUAUUAUUUUAAUUGUUACUUAAAUUUUAUUGUAUUAUAUUAUUAAUUCUGUCGUAAUAUAACGUCGCAAUGUGUCACUUAAUGUAACAAUCAAUUUGGUGUGGUCGCAUCGUUAUCUUGUCUUUUUCUCUCAUCUCACCCUUAAUUAUUAUUAAAUAAUUUUAUUUUAUCAUUUACCCUACCUUUUAUAUAAUAAAUUUACUAUGUAUCAUAAUUUUUUCUUAUAAUAUUGUAAGUUAUUUUUUAUAUUACUAGUGUAUGAUAUCAUGAAAUAAUGGUAAAUGAUACAAUCUAUUCAAACAUUGUAUUCAUCAAACGAUAUAAUAUAAUAUGAUAUAAUAUUAUACAAUACGAUAUAUUAUAAAAUAAUAUGUAGCAACCAUCCAAACAAGCUGUUAUGGGCUGUCUAUCAUCCAUAUAUUUUUGCUUGAAGUGGAACUAAUAACCCUUUGAAUUAUACAGAACUAGAAAAAUUGUAUAUGGUAUAAAUCACACGGUCCACAUGAAAAAUUCUUGUAAUUAUUUCAUUUUCCCUAUUUCCCUUUUUUUAAAUCCAGAAACGAAUAUUUUUUUUCGUCCAUUUUAUUUAUCAUUACACCAUCAUGUAUCUUGAUUUGGGUGACAACAGCUUUAUUAAAGAUAUCCCAUCGGCAAUCGAGAGCUUGACGGAGUUGGAGAGCUUGUAUAUUUAUUCGAAUUUAUUUAAUGGAAAGUCUCAAUACAACUUUUUUCAUACAUAAUAUUGAUCGGAAAAGAAUCAAAGUUUAGCUUAAUUAGGAUUAGGAUUUUGAAUUUAGUUGUUUCAAUAGAGGACACUUAACUCUGAUCUCUAACUUUUUUUGCUGUUAUUUUGGAGACUUUAAAUUGCGAAGGCUCGAGAGAACGAGCUUGAAGAAGGGGUCACAAUGGAGGAUGAAUUUGAAAGAUGUCAUAAUUUUUGAAAGGUAAAUCCCUGAAUUAAGUAUUGAAUGCUUGGUUAAAUGGAAAAAAGGGCAUUCUCUCGUGCCAAAAAAAUUAUUAAAGACUUGCCAUUAUUAUUGAAGCAAAAUUUACUUUGUAAUUAACUCCCUUAUUCUUAUUGUUUAAUUUGUGGUAUCAUUCAUAUUACAAUCAACUUUAGCAUUUAGAGUACUAAAUAUUGCGUUUGAAGUUUUGGGAUGCUGAGAUGGCCAUAGCGAUAAGUCCGUAAGGUGGUGAAACGUUCGAAGAUAUUAUAGUAAUGAUAAAGGUGGUGACCAUGAAAAAGUGAUGGCGGAGCAGAAAAAAGAAAGAGAAAAGUAAAAAGAAAGGGCCUAUAAAAAAUUUAUUUGCCACUAAAACCUCACCAAAUUAGAUAAUUAUAGAUUAAUAAAAAAAAUGCUUAGUUGUAUAAUGUUAAAUUAAAGAAAAUAUGUAUUUUAAAUCUUUUUCUUCACCUUUCACGCGCCUAUAAGAAAGUGAAUUUAUUUUCGUGGUCAUACCACUUUUUAGAAGGGGUGUUAAUUCUAACUCAAGCAAGAAGGGUUGUUACUCGAAAAGUUAAAGUGUAUAACUAUCUUUUUCGAAUAACUACAAGGUGCAAAUUAUAUAUUUUUUCUUACAGUUACCUUCCCUAUUAAGAAAUUGUCAUUGAUCCCUAAAAUAAUUAAUGAAUUAAAUAAAAUACAAGAUUUAACGUUGAAGUCCAGAUGAGAUAGCAGAUAGUUUGGUUUCGGGAGCAGAGCUUCCGGAGACAGUAAUAAUAACUAUAAACGAAAAAUAAAAUGUUAUUGAGCUUAGAAAAAUGUGUAUAGCAUAAGUUUUUUAGAAAAUUCCUUCUCCCUGACAAUGGUUGUUGAACUCACUAUUUAUAGUUGCAGAUAAGGAACAAGGUCCUAAGAUCAAACCUCUCUUAAAUGACAUUAUGGGGGUUGUUGAAGAAUAACGGCAGACUAUGAAUGAUAUAUUCUCUAUAACAGACUAUGUACUUAAUAUUGUCGAAUAUUCUCUAUUGAAUGUUACCGGUUACAUUCAUUUAUUUGUCUUUAAGAGCACCAUUACCUUCGGGGACAACCGAGAUUGCUUCCCUUGAACUCAAUUUUCACCUGCCUCGCUUUCCAUCUGUAUCCGGCUUCAUGUGUCGCUCUAUUGUACAAGAAUUUAAUAUGAACAUAUUUUACCCUAUACAAAUGGUCCUCCUACUUUCCAGUAACACAUCCUUGUGUCAUCGGAAAGUUGGUGAAGAUACCAAUACUUUUCUUGACAUGAAAUUCUCUAUCAUCAUUUGAAAAAAUUCUGACGCUUGAUGAGAUGCACGUCUCUCCAUAUUUAAUUCUCCAAACAUGCGUCAUCCCACGACUCAAUAAUACUUUCACCAGUUCUCGAGGUAAUCAUGGCCAUUAUUUUAUCCACCUCUUCUUUUGCUUACAUGCUUCAAUCUCUUCUUUAUACUUCACACUUUAUCAAACUUUCUAAAAACCUUCUUUACUCUAAACACUCCUCCUUUCAAAUUCCUUUAACAUUCUUCUCUCGAGAAAACCCUUACUUUCUUUUACUAACGAUGGCCUCUUUUUCCAAAAGCUCCAAUUCUCCAGAGAAUAGGGAAAGCACUUAUGAUGAUGCUUCUCUUACAGUGAGAACCAUUAUCCCCAAAAAGCUUUCUACGGCUAAGGACUUCGAAGAGAAGUUUCCUUCCACUAACUCAAGCAGAUACAUUGUUGGUGUAUAUCCUUAUUUCAUCCGUCCUUCUAGCAUACCCGCUUAGAAGGAAGACUGUGAUUGCCAUGAUUUGAACAUCAUUGCUCCUGAACUAGCAGAACGAGUAACCUUCCCGAAGAAGUAUUUUAUGUACGUUUACAGGUAUCCAUUCACUUUGGGCCCGCUUUCAUUGAGCGGGGGACUUGACUCCGUAAUCUUGUAGUUUUGCUUCUGUUACUAAGUCUACCUGGCAGAGAUGAGCUUUUAUGUGUGGUUGACGAUAGCCUAUCGUUGGCGUUUAUGCCAGUAGGAGGAAGAACUCUCCCUGGCUUGACCGAUGAACCUUUAUUCCCCCAAGAUUUUCGUGGGAAAAAAAUAAACUUCAGUAAACGUGGUCACCAUGCUCUGGUCACCAACAUGAAUGAUGACAAUGACUAUGGAUGCAUGGAGUGCUUCUUUGUUCCAUCAGGGACAUCAUCCCGGUAACAACUCCAUCCUUUUGAAUCAUGGAAUCAUACUCGUAAGUUUAAUGCAUGUCCUUAUCUUAUGGUUAAAUGUUGUCCCAUGCUAUCAUUGAUCCUUCUUUUUUCAUUAUUUCACCAACUCGUUGGACUCCACCAAGGGUUGAAGGCUUGGACUAGUGGGUCUAGAAGUUUUUGGACGUCACUGCACUUGAAACCCGCCGGAAUAAAGAGAUAUCCCUUAAAUACGUUGGAAAGCUAAAAAUCAUAGUAAGUUGAACUUAUCUUGUUUUAUCUCACGUAUAGGAAAACUAGCUAACUUUUCUUUUUUUUUUUGAAUUCAGGUCUUUCGCAAGGCUCUAUUACCAUCCCCGAGGAGGACGAUUUGGCUGAUCCGACAGAUGCAGUGAGGUUGCUACACGAAUCCUUCACCCGAAUGAGUGUCAUCAGACAUGCUUCUGGUGCAAGUACUUCCUCCUGAAGUCCCCUCUCGGAGAAACAAAAAGACAACAUUCCUCUAUGACCGAGGAUAAAAAUGAAAAGGCAAAGAGCAUCGCAACCGAGCCAGUAGACACUGUGGUGAUCCAUGAUGAUGGAGGAGCGAAUGAUGGGUGGCUUCUCUACAUAGAAGACGACAACCUUCAUCACCUCAAUAGAAUUUUCAAUAUGUUGAGAUGUUACACCAACCGAGGACAAUAUCCAAGCGCUUUGGGAGUGUGAUAUAAUGGAAUAUGCCAACUUCACUUUUAUGUACCAAGUCGCUACUCUAAGAUCCUGAGGUUGGGUACUUUCUUUCUUCAGUUGAUGAGCAACCAAUAACUAUCACUGCUUUUGCUGCAGCAACUUCUUAACCUACAAUGCCAUCAGCUUCAUAUCCUUCUUUUCCAGCCUUGCCUUCAUCACCAGCAAUUGCUACAUCAUCUCCACCGGUUGUAGACGUCUUAGAAGAGGCAGUCCCUCCUUCCCAGUCCCUAGUUUAUGGGAAUUUGGAGCAUAACUAUUCAUCCCCCUUUGUAGAUCCUCAGAGAAGAGGAACGUCUCCCUCUCGGUUUCUACCGAAUGUCAUCUGUUGUCGCGACCGAGAAAGCUCCAAGUGCAAUUUUAGUUUUUUUCUUCAAAAAUUUGAAGUUAUGGUGGUCCAAAAGUUCAAAUGAGAGUAAACAUAGCGUGGGUUGGAAAAUUUUUAAUUGGUAAUUGAAAAUUAGUCAACAAUUGUAAAGUAAUUGAGUAAUAACCAUUAUUAUUCAAUUACUUUGUUCUUUCUUCAUGAGUACAGUAUAAAUAUUAUGGAUAUGAUAUCUUAAAGUUUAACAACAAUAGGUGCAAAUACAAGAUACUUUUUCCUUAAUAUUUACACAACACUUAUAAAGUAAAGGACAUCAUGUCCUUAAUAUUUAUACAACACUCAUGAAGUUAAGGACACAAUAUCCUUAAUAUUUACAAUGUACACAUGCAGUUAAGGACACCAUCCUUAACAUUUAUGCCCCACAUAUGAAGUUAAGGAUAUGAUGUCCUAAAGUUUAACAACAGAAGGUGCGAAUAUAGGAUAUUUUGUCCUUAAUAUGUACAUAACACUCAUGAAGUUAAGGACACCAUAUCCUUUCACAACACUCGUAAAAUUAAGGACAAUAUCUCCAAAUAUAUACGCCGCAUAUAUGAAGUUAAGGACAUGAAGUUCUAAAGUUUAAUAGCAAAAGGUGCUAAUUCAGGAUAAUUUGUCCUUAAUAUUUACACAGCACUCAUGAAGUUGCGGAUAUCAUAUCUAGCAAAGAGAUAUUUUUGUCCAAGAUAAAAAUUUAAUAAAGUACUGAUUAAAAGUAAAUAUAUUUUAAAUAAUAGCUUAAGAAUAUAUACAGCUCUAAUUAGUUGCUAAUUGUGCACUUCUCCCAUAUUAAUGCGAGCCAAAGCCCAAAUUACAGUCUUAUGACAAGACACAUUGUAGGAGUAAGUAUUUAUUUUUGAAAAAAAUAGUGUGGACGCACUUCCAACCAAGACGUUGUGAGUUCGAGUCUCCCCAAGAGCAAGGUGGUAAAUUUUUGGAGGGAAGAAUGCCGGUGGCUCUAUUUGGAAACAGCAUCUCUACUGCGUAUACACUAAUCUCCCCAGACUCGACUAAGUAGGAUUAUUGUUGUUGGUGUAGAGUGUACUAUAGAGACUUGUGGGUAAGGCUGUAUCCGGUUCCAGUUCUGGGUCUAUUUGGGUAAACGGUUCCGGUUCUGGCGGUUCCCGGUUCUGGCGGUUCCGGUNNNNNNNNNNNNNNNNNNNNNNNNNNNNNNNNNNNNNNNNNNNNNNNNNNNNNNNNNNNNNNNNNNNNNNNNNNNNNNNNNNNNNNNNNNNNNNNNNNNNNNNNNNNNNNNNNNNNNNNNNNNNNNNNNNNNNNNNNNNNNNNNNNNNNNNNNNNNNNNNNNNNNNNNNNNNNNNNNNNNNNNNNNNNNNNNNNNNNNNNNNNNNNNNNNNNNNNNNNNNNNNNNNNNNNNNNNNNNNNNNNNNNNNNNNNNNNNNNNNNNNNNNNNNNNNNNNNNNNNNNNNNNNNNNNNNNNNNNNNNNNNNNNNNNNNNNNNNNNNNNNNNNNNNNNNNNNNNNNNNNNNNNNNNNNNNNNNNNNNNNNNNNNNNNNNNNNNNNNNNNNNNNNNNNNNNNNNNNNNNNNNNNNNNNNNNNNNNNNNNNNNNNNNNNNNNNNNNNNNNNNNNNNNNNNNNNNNNNNNNNNNNNNNNNNNNNNNNNNNNNNNNNNNNNNNNNNNNNNNNNNNNNNNNNNNNNNNNNNNNNNNNNNNNNNNNNNNNNNNNNNNNNNNNNNNNNNNNNNNNNNNNNNNNNNNNNNNNNNNNNNNNNNNNNNNNNNNNNNNNNNNNNNNNNNNNNNNNNNNNNNNNNNNNNNNNNNNNNNNNNNNNNNNNNNNNNNNNNNNNNNNNNNNNNNNNNNNNNNNNNNNNNNNNNNNNNNNNNNNNNNNNNNNNNNNNNNNNNNNNNNNNNNNNNNNNNNNNNNNNNNNNNNNNNNNNNNNNNNNNNNNNNNNNNNNNNNNNNNNNNNNNNNNNNNNNNNNNNNNNNNNNNNNNNNNNNNNNNNNNNNNNNNNNNNNNNNNNNNNNNNNNNNNNNNNNNNNNNNNNNNNNNNNNNNNNNNNNNNNNNNNNNNNNNNNNNNNNNNNNNNNNNNNNNNNNNNNNNNNNNNNNNNNNNNNNNNNNNNNNNNNNNNNNNNNNNNNNNNNNNNNNNNNNNNNNNNNNNNNNNNNNNNNNNNNNNNNNNNNNNNNNNNNNNNNNNNNNNNNNNNNNNNNNNNNNNNNNNNNNNNNNNNNNNNNNNNNNNNNNNNNNNNNNNNNNNNNNNNNNNNNNNNNNNNNNNNNNNNNNNNNNNNNNNNNNNNNNNNNNNNNNNNNNNNNNNNNNNNNNNNNNNNNNNNNNNNNNNNNNNNNNNNNNNNNNNNNNNNNNNNNNNNNNNNNNNNNNNNNNNNNNNNNNNNNNNNNNNNNNNNNNNNNNNNNNNNNNNNNNNNNNNNNNNNNNNNNNNNNNNNNNNNNNNNNNNNNNNNNNNNNNNNNNNNNNNNNNNNNNNNNNNNNNNNNNNNNNNNNNNNNNNNNNNNNNNNNNNNNNNNNNNNNNNNNNNNNNNNNNNNNNNNNNNNNNNNNNNNNNNNNNNNNNNNNNNNNNNNNNNNNNNNNNNNNNNNNNNNNNNNNNNNNNNNNNNNNNNNNNNNNNNNNNNNNNNNNNNNNNNNNNNNNNNNNNNNNNNNNNNNNNNNNNNNNNNNNNNNNNNNNNNNNNNNNNNNNNNNNNNNNNNNNNNNNNNNNNNNNNNNNNNNNNNNNNNNNNNNNNNNNNNNNNNNNNNNNNNNNNNNNNNNNNNNNNNNNNNNNNNNNNNNNNNNNNNNNNNNNNNNNNNNNNNNNNNNNNNNNNNNNNNNNNNNNNNNNNNNNNNNNNNNNNNNNNNNNNNNNNNNNNNNNNNNNNNNNNNNNNNNNNNNNNNNNNNNNNNNNNNNNNNNNNNNNNNNNNNNNNNNNNNNNNNNNNNNNNNNNNNNNNNNNNNNNNNNNNNNNNNNNNNNNNNNNNNNNNNNNNNNNNNNNNNNNNNNNNNNNNNNNNNNNNNNNNNNNNNNNNNNNNNNNNNNNNNNNNNNNNNNNNNNNNNNNNNNNNNNNNNNNNNNNNNNNNNNNNNNNNNNNNNNNNNNNNNNNNNNNNNNNNNNNNNNNNNNNNNNNNNNNNNNNNNNNNNNNNNNNNNNNNNNNNNNNNNNNNNNNNNNNNNNNNNNNNNNNNNNNNNNNNNNNNNNNNNNNNNNNNNNNNNNNNNNNNNNNNNNNNNNNNNNNNNNNNNNNNNNNNNNNNNNNNNNNNNNNNNNNNNNNNNNNNNNNNNNNNNNNNNNNNNNNNNNNNNNNNNNNNNNNNNNNNNNNNNNNNNNNNNNNNNNNNNNNNNNNNNNNNNNNNNNNNNNNNNNNNNNNNNNNNNNNNNNNNNNNNNNNNNNNNNNNNNNNNNNNNNNNNNNNNNNNNNNNNNNNNNNNNNNNNNNNNNNNNNNNNNNNNNNNNNNNNNNNNNNNNNNNNNNNNNNNNNNNNNNNNNNNNNNNNNNNNNNNNNNNNNNNNNNNNNNNNNNNNNNNNNNNNNNNNNNNNNNNNNNNNNNNNNNNNNNNNNNNNNNNNNNNNNNNNNNNNNNNNNNNNNNNNNNNNNNNNNNNNNNNNNNNNNNNNNNNNNNNNNNNNNNNNNNNNNNNNNNNNNNNNNNNNNNNNNNNNNNNNNNNNNNNNNNNNNNNNNNNNNNNNNNNNNNNNNNNNNNNNNNNNNNNNNNNNNNNNNNNNNNNNNNNNNNNNNNNNNNNNNNNNNNNNNNNNNNNNNNNNNNNNNNNNNNNNNNNNNNNNNNNNNNNNNNNNNNNNNNNNNNNNNNNNNNNNNNNNNNNNNNNNNNNNNNNNNNNNNNNNNNNNNNNNNNNNNNNNNNNNNNNNNNNNNNNNNNNNNNNNNNNNNNNNNNNNNNNNNNNNNNNNNNNNNNNNNNNNNNNNNNNNNNNNNNNNNNNNNNNNNNNNNNNNNNNNNNNNNNNNNNNNNNNNNNNNNNNNNNNNNNNNNNNNNNNNNNNNNNNNNNNNNNNNNNNNNNNNNNNNNNNNNNNNNNNNNNNNNNNNNNNNNNNNNNNNNNNNNNNNNNNNNNNNNNNNNNNNNNNNNNNNNNNNNNNNNNNNNNNNNNNNNNNNNNNNNNNNNNNNNNNNNNNNNNNNNNNNNNNNNNNNNNNNNNNNNNNNNNNNNNNNNNNNNNNNNNNNNNNNNNNNNNNNNNNNNNNNNNNNNNNNNNNNNNNNNNNNNNNNNNNNNNNNNNNNNNNNNNNNNNNNNNNNNNNNNNNNNNNNNNNNNNNNNNNNNNNNNNNNNNNNNNNNNNNNNNNNNNNNNNNNNNNNNNNNNNNNNNNNNNNNNNNNNNNNNNNNNNNNNNNNNNNNNNNNNNNNNNNNNNNNNNNNNNNNNNNNNNNNNNNNNNNNNNNNNNNNNNNNNNNNNNNNNNNNNNNNNNNNNNNNNNNNNNNNNNNNNNNNNNNNNNNNNNNNNNNNNNNNNNNNNNNNNNNNNNNNNNNNNNNNNNNNNNNNNNNNNNNNNNNNNNNNNNNNNNNNNNNNNNNNNNNNNNNNNNNNNNNNNNNNNNNNNNNNNNNNNNNNNNNNNNNNNNNNNNNNNNNNNNNNNNNNNNNNNNNNNNNNNNNNNNNNNNNNNNNNNNNNNNNNNNNNNNNNNNNNNNNNNNNNNNNNNNNNNNNNNNNNNNNNNNNNNNNNNNNNNNNNNNNNNNNNNNNNNNNNNNNNNNNNNNNNNNNNNNNNNNNNNNNNNNNNNNNNNNNNNNNNNNNNNNNNNNNNNNNNNNNNNNNNNNNNNNNNNNNNNNNNNNNNNNNNNNNNNNNNNNNNNNNNNNNNNNNNNNNNNNNNNNNNNNNNNNNNNNNNNNNNNNNNNNNNNNNNNNNNNNNNNNNNNNNNNNNNNNNNNNNNNNNNNNNNNNNNNNNNNNNNNNNNNNNNNNNNNNNNNNNNNNNNNNNNNNNNNNNNNNNNNNNNNNNNNNNNNNNNNNNNNNNNNNNNNNNNNNNNNNNNNNNNNNNNNNNNNNNNNNNNNNNNNNNAAAAAUAUGGCCGUUGGGAACCGGAUAGAACCGGAACCGGACCGGUUCCGGUGGUUCUAAACGGUUCCAAACGGUUCCGAUAUUAAAAAAAAAAUUUCUUUUUUAAUAUCGGAACUGUUUGGAACCGUUUAGAACCGCCUGAACCGGUCCGGUUCUGGCGGUUCCGGUUCCACGGUUCUAAAAGGUGGAAUCGCAGAACCGGAACCGCGGAAUCGGAACCGUAUAACCGGAACCGUUUAGAACCGCGGUUCCGGUCACGGUUCCGGUUCGGAACCGUUAUUCGUACAGCCUUAGCGCUAUGAUAGAUGUCAUCGACAAACAUUUUAUAUUGGUUCCAAUAAAUUUUCAUAAAAACAUAACAUAGAGAUCUUCACUCAUAUAUUCAGAUACCUGAAUCUCUCAUGAGAUUUUACUUGUGGGAUACUCUUCGUUUUCACUCCCUCUAUAUGUUCUCUCUCUCGAUCGAGACGCUAGUAGCAGUAUUUAGUGUUGAUUUUGACGUCAAAGAGUUAUGGCUUGGCGCAAACGAGCAAAGACUACUCUCUUAGUGCAGAAGCAGUUGAAGGCAACGAUGAUCUUGUAACCAAGAUUCUGCUAUUACUCCCACCAAAACUCCCCUUCACUUUCAAGCUUAUUUCCAAAAGAUGGCCGUCUCUUAUCUCUGAUCCUUGUUUUACUUCCCUCUGGAGCCCUAAACCUUCCUCAAGUGCACUCAUUCUGGAGCCCUCUCUUACCUACGACCUUUGUUACAUUCCCCUCAAAGGUAAGGAAAAAUUUAAGGUUUUUGGCAAAUUCUUUGAUUUUGUCAAAGACGAAUUUGAUAUUAAAUUAUGGAAAAUUUGGAAUUCUUCCGGUGGUUUAGUUCUUUGUGGCUCUUACUAUGGUAGCAAAUACUAUGUGUGUAACCCAACAACAAAGCAAUUCAUUACUCUUCCCAGCCCAAAUAUGUGUCCACUUGACAUGAGGUUGGCUUUUGACCAUUCAAUAUCACCUCAUUACAAAGUUAUUAGCUUUGACAUGUGUCUCCAUAUUGAAAUAUACUCUUCAGAGACAAAUUCCUGGAAGCAAUCGCGAGUUCUGUUUCCGAAACCAUUUAAAAAAUACAUUCAUCGUGCUGGUGGAGUUUUCUUCAAUGGAGCAAUUUUUUGGACAUUCAGUCGGUUAGAUAGCUUUUGCUAUUUUGAUAUUGAUAGGGAAAUUAUCCACACUUAUCCAAUGCCAAAAAUGAAAAAAGAAUACUAUUGUGGAUGUAUACAUGAUCAUUUGUAUCUGCUUGGAACUUCAUUUGGUGAGGGGCAUCAACUUGACAUCUUUGAAUGGGGAAAGGGCUACUCCUCUUGGGGCUUAAAGUAUCGCAUUGAUCUACGUGAACAAAUGACUAUCCCAACAAAUUUUCUGUUAUCUAUAUUACUGCUAUGCUCUUUGUUAUGCAAGCGAAGAGAAUCUGGAACCAUAUUUGGGCAUCUACCACAUCGUCAAGUUAACUUAAUCAGCUUAAAAGAUAGUACUUGCAGCAAGCUACGCUUGUUGCCAUUACAUCCUGUUGAGAAGAUUCCAUCAUGGAGAUCUAUAAGGAAAGUUCAUCAUCUGAUUGAGUAUCCAUUCUUGGUAGGAAGAAACUGAUCGACCAGAAGUUAUACGAGGAAAUGUAUCUGACACUUUUGUUGUUCUAUCUUGUUCAAAAUCAGUCAGAUUUUAGCACUUCAGGGUUUACAAUCUUUGUUUUAAGUCUUCUCUCACUUCUUUUUCUUCUACUGAAGGCUGCAAUAGUAACUUUGUGUCAAGUUAACUUCAUUAGAUGGUUGUCACCUUUUUAUAUUCGUAAAGGUAUCCAUUGAAUAGAAAUAGCUUCUCUGCAAUUUUCAGUCGGUGAUAAUAUAAAUGGUAAUUUGCAAUUGUGCCCCAAGGAAUGAAAUCAAUAUUUGUUUACAACAUUUUUCAUAGAUUAUGCCCGAUUCCCUGACCCAUUAUCAUUCCUUGCCGACUCGAUAGGGAUUGCAAUCUCGAGAGAGGGAGAACAACUGACCUCCUACAAUAGGUAUGUCUCUCAGAAUUCGAUGAGGACAGUCGAAACAAUUGCUCCUGAAAUCUGCCAAAUACCAAUAAGCUCUGACAAGAGGUAAAAGCACUAUCGGAGAAAGAAAUGGUGACCGUUAUCUAAAAACAAAAUCUGUGACAGCCUUCAAGUGUAUUAUACAAAAUUUGAAAUACUUGCAGUAUUAACAACAUUCAAAUACCUCACUUUUUUUGAAUGAGGUGCUCGACUUGUAUUUAUAGAUACCAGGCUUUGUGUGCUCGUAAGUCUUGCCAAUAACAUCACUGGAAAAAUAUCUGCUUCGCUGAUAGAAUGAGUGUAGUUGCCCUUUUUAUUGAUCUCUGUGAUAUAAAGUUUAGAAACCACUUGAUAGAAUUUAUUAGAUCUCUGCUGGAAUGACUAUGCUGUAAUCUUUGAAGUUGUACUGCUGUUGAGCACCAUCUUAGUCUAGUGGCUUCUGAUUUCAAUAAAAUUUGUACUAUAUUAAAAAAAUAGGCUUAUCAAUUUAGAAACCACUUGAGUUUCCUACAAUGUCCUUACUAAGUAGGCCAGUUGUCAGGGCAAUAAAAUACAUGGCAGCUCGUAAUAGUAUAUCUUCAACUCUACCAACUCAGAUGAGGAAGUGAUGAUUGUGCAGCAACAAACCAUAAGGGGGAACUGAGAGCCGUGAAGCCCGAUACUUUUGCAACAGUGAUUAAGUUGUCUACUAUAUAUUGGUUAAGGGUUUGCAAGCCAUGGCAAGCACGAAUUUAUUGAGACAAGCUAAAGGGUAAUUGGUAACUUUGCUGCCUCAUAGCAUAGUUUUCGGCUUCACAAGUCUGUAUGGAUGCUUGUUCUUAUAUGUUACUGAUGAUAUUGCGAUGGUAAGGCACAUUUGCUGCAAUUUAGAGGUUGAAUAGGACAUUUGGAUGAUGCAUUUCGCAGUCAAGACUACUGACAUCUCAAAACAUUCUCUUGUCGUUGAAGUAGCUGCUCAUUUUUUUAGAUUACACUCAUCUAGUGCAAGUGUAUUAUUGGAUAUUUCUAUUGUUGAAGCAGGGGUGCUAACGCAAGGCCUGCAGCCACGACAAUUCAACAAAAGCACUGAAUCUCACCCUUCUGGACCUCGUGCGAAGAUGACCAGCCAAGGUUGCUUCUCUUUUAUGACCUCAUUUUAGUUCAAUGGAGAGAGUCUGUGUGUGUGUUUAUAUACUACUCAAAUGAUAUUACUAAAGCUGCGUAUUUUUGGUUAAAUUUUUUCCCCGCUUCAUUCUCCUUGGGUUUUUUUGUUAUUCGAGAGUUCUGACCGAAAUUGAGCUCAGCCCUUUACACUUCAUUUUGCUACUGUGGUGGCCACACAUGCUAUACUUAGGAUUGCAUAUAAACGGUUUGUAGCCCAAUUUAUUUCCACUGUAACUCUUGCAAUACGAAGCAGGACUAGAGAAGACAUUGAUUACAGCAUCGUGGAAAAAGGAGAAGAGGACUGAAAUUGAUGUGUAGCCAAUAAAGUUCUUAUGUCACUGGGAAUAGGAGCUGAUUAACUUUGCCUUCGUAGCAUUAAGAGGUUCUAUGGCACUGUCCAACUAUAAGUAUGAGUUUUUCCAAUCUUCAGCUUUGGUUUUAUUGUUUAUUUACAAGUCUUUUCUUUUUCUCGUCGUUUCAACUUCGCCUUAACCGUACUAAAAGGUUGCUUCACUUCUCUGUGAAGGUCUUUGUCGUACUCCCUUUUUCAACUGUUACUUGACAACAAAUCUUAUGGUGAACUCUUUAUUUGUAUUGGUAUCACUUGGUCAUAACGCUUGAUUUAUUAGCUGCUGGUUUUGAAACUUGAGACUUGAAUGCUACUGUAUUAUGAUAAAACUACAUGCUUCCUGUCUCUUGAGUUCUAAUUUGUAGAAUGAUAUCAUAACAUGUGUUACUGAGAUUGUUUUAGGUAUUUAAGUUAUUACAAUUAUUUAUUUCUAGCAUCCAAGGAAAAUACACAUUAAAAAAAAUAUUUGUAUACUUGCUGUACUAACAACAUUUGAAUAUCUCAUAUUUUUGAAAUGAGGUGUUUGUCUUGUUUUUAUAGUACUCAUUUCCUCUGCCAGGAAGGAAUUUUAAAUUCCUAUAAAUUUUUGGUGACACCUCACAAAGUACAAGCAAUAUGGGGAGACAGAUCGAUGCAAUGCAUUGGUGACAUGAGAAAUCACUCAAAACACUAGGUCAGCACUUUCAUCAUACUUUUGCACUAAGUUGCGACAUUGGUUAACAUGCGUUGUCUAUUAUAUAACGACAUUGGUUAAGGUUUUGCAAGACAGAGAGAGAGCACAUGUUUGUCUUUUACGUUAGCCCAUAUUUUGAUUGAGACAAGCUCGUCUAUAUGUACCUGCAUAGUUUUAUGUUUCAGAAAUGUAUCACUGGCAGUUCUUUUCUAUCACAUGCAUAUGCCUCCUCAUGUUGUGUGGGUGCUUAUUUAUGUAUGUUAAAUGGUGUAAUUGUGAUCGUAAAACUAGCUUUCUGAAAUUCAGAGAUGUCGAAUGGGCCAUUUGGAUGAUGCAUUUCACAUCAGGACAUCUCAAAAUAGACUCUUGUUGUGAAAGUAGCACACUCAACAACCGAUAUUACCCUCACCUAGUGCAAGUAUAUAUCAGAUAUUAUUGUUGAAACAGAGCUGCUACUGCAAAAGGCUAGUAGCCACGCUAAUUAUUUUCAAAAAAAUACUGAACUGAGAUCGUUGUGGACCUCUAGCAGGGAUAACUCCAAGGUAGGACUGUGCUAAUGCUCAACCCAAUGAGUUGUUGAUGGCUUUGAUGAUAAUGGGUCAAAGAGAAGUGAUCCAUCUUGGUAGUGUCUUCAGAAGUAGAUGGUUAAUGCCCGAUUGCAUAGCUAGUUUGAUAAUGGGAUCUUCCUGAUUCAAUACCUAUUUGUUUCGGCAAAGAUUUAUUUUUACUUCUUGUUUAAUUUUUAACCAUAGUGCUUUGGAGAUGCUAGUAAAGAUCUGCUGGAGUAGCAGUAGCUUCUGUUUUAUGACCCCAUUUUAGUUCAACUGAGAAGUGGUAUAAAGAAGAUGUGAGUCGUGUGUAAGCUAUAUGUUUCAGUCGUGAAGUGAGGUCUCUCUAUCAAUGCAAUUUUCUAGAUUACAUAAAGCGCUUCAUCCAGAAUGUACAGCGAUAUUUUCCAACAUCCUCCUCCCAACCCCGAAAGAUUCUCCCAAUUAAAAAGACAUGGGAAGGGAGAUCUUUUAUAUACUUUUGAAUUCUUUGGCACUGUAAUCUCGGGUGUUACCUAGCCAUGAAGCAAAAGUUCAACGACUAGUGGGAGAAAGAAAGCAACAUAUAGUUUACUUGUACAGCUCAUUUACCGUAACUUGUAUCUUAUAUUACUUGCAGCAAGCUAUGCAAUUUGCCAUUACGCGUUUCUGAGGAAGAGCUUUGAUCAAGCUAUUCAACACAGCUCUGACUGAAAAUCUUUUCUUGGUUGGAAGCUUACUAGAGUAGCAUAAACCAGUAGUUUCUUGUGUUUCAGACUUUUAACCUCCUGUUGUAAUCAAUAAGAUUUUAGCACCAAGGCGGUGGUUUAGUUCUUUGUGGCUCUUACUAUGUGUGUAACCCAACUAUAAAGCAAUUCACUACUCUUCCCAACCGAGUCCACCUAUUAUAUUGAUUAGGCUAAACAUAGCUUUAGAGGCUCUAACUAGAAUGGGCAGAAGAAUAAAAGUCUCACUACUAGUUUUUAGUCUUAAGUAGACAGCAAUUCUCUACCACGGCGAAUUUUACAAUAACCCUCGCACCAUUUUCACACAGUGCAAACACCAUUAACAAAACUAUUUAUUAUGAAUUAACAGUUAUAUUCUGCCAUGAUCUAUUAUUCCCCGUGCUUCCAGAUCUAGAACAUAGUUAUCGCGUUGCAAUGAGUUGAAAACAGGGUUGCUACACGAUAAAGGGUCUUGAAAGGUUUGAAUAGUAUGCCUCUACGCUUGCCUUCAAAGUUGACGUUUCAGAUAUGUGAUGUAGCUCUUUCAUCGUUAAUUUUGGAAGUCUUCUAUCCUAAUUAACUCGGGGAAGACGAGAACUUGCGAUCCAUAUGUGUUGUCGGCAUUAAGUAGCACAUUCAUCAACUCAGAUUGUUCUCACCUAGUGCAAGUAUUUCAAGAGAACCAUAUUCUUCACUUGUUCUAGAGAGCCUCCAAUUCCCCCACCCCACCCCUUUUUUUGUUGGGGGGUGGGGGGGUUUAAUUUUUCAUAAGGGCGUCUUGGAGGUGCAUCUCUACUUGUUUAAAUAUAUAAAGUGGAGUAGCUUCGAUUCAGUUACCUCCAAUUGAGUGAAGACGAUGUGGUCUCAUCCGGUAUGUACUGCCAGCAUAAAACUUCCAAACCAAACGGUAUCUCUUAUCCCCUCACACGCCACAUAUCAAAAACAGCUUGCAGCUGAUAUUCAAAUACCAUAAGCACGAAAGAGAUAGAUUUCAAGAGAUACAAUCAUAUAGUAGCCAAUGCCCAAAACCACCAAGAGUGAGAUUUCAAAGGGCAUUACAAAAAUUAUUCUUGAGAAAAAAGUUCGUUGAAACAGAAAUUGACAGGCUGAGGGGCACCUAGGAAGAAUUUAAUUGCCCUCCCACAAUUAUUAUAGAGCUAUAAAAGCUUCAUGGUACAAACUUUGUUCGUGGCCUCCCCCACUCAUCAUCAUGCAAAUGCUGUAAACCAUUAUCAUUGUGUUAGUACUCAUCAAAAAGUAGAAUUUGAGGCUUAAAUAUAAUGGAACAAAACAAUAACAAGUAAUCUCUUCUCACACUACCCCAACAAGGUAUUAACAAUAGUAGCGAUAAUAUCUCCGGUACAGGAACAACAACAAUAACAACAACCCAGUAUAAUCCCACUUAGUAGGGUCUGGAGAGGGUAGUGUGUACGCAGACCUUACACCUACUCUUGGUAGAGAGACUGUUUCCAAAUAGACCCCCGGCAUCCUUUCCUCCAAGAACUUCCCACCUUGCNNNN
rnacentral:lncRNA from 1 species